ACACACACUCACACACACACACACACACACAUAUUUGUGAAAGGCCCCUUCUCAUUCAGAAUUUUAGCUCCGCCAUUGGGUACUUCUAUAUAUGUUAAAUGUAUUUUAUCAACUUAUGAUAUAGGUAUCAUAUAUGAUGACAUAUAAAUUUUCUUUUAACUAUUUUCUGUGAAAGUGGUUAAAUUUUCAUAUUUAAAUAUUCAAAGGGUUGUUUUAUUAUCACUCUACAUUUUGUUGACCACAUCAAAACAUCCCACUUUUACUUUUUAAAUUAAAAAUUAUCUUAAUCCACCCCACGUAAUUUCUUACACUACCCUUACACCCCACAAGGAAGUAAUAAAGGUUGUUGCUGCCUUGUUGGGAGAUUUAUCUAGUGUUAGAAAGAAUUGCUUCUGUUUGUCGAAUUUCAGGAAAUAAAAUGUGCCUAGCUUCUAGUGUACUGCUAUUUGUAUAAUUUAGCUGUUUUUGUUUGAUUCUUGGUCUAGUCUCUGACUUGACCUCUUACAUUUUUAUCCUAUUUUGCUCUGGGAUUUCAAACUUCAGCUAGCUUUUCUCUUCUCUAAGUCUUUCAUUUCAACCGAAAAAAUGAGAAAUGAAACUCUCUUUUCCAGACAUUCGUAAAUGCCAAAUGGAAUUAGUUUCUAAUUCAUAAUUAAUGAUUAUGCAUGUAUCAACAUCAAUAUAUUUCCCUUACGAAAAAUCUCAUGGGUUCCUUGUAGCAUUUGCUAUUGUGAUCGCGAUUACACCCCCAACUAAUGAAAAUUAUCUUUAAAAAAGUGAUAUCGGAAUUUGCAGAAUUUAUUUUCAAAUUUGAACUCUUAGAAUAAAGCUCGAAAACAAGAAAAAUCGAUCUCAACGUGUUCUUGAAUUAUAUUAGGUUUUGCUGUUAAAAGAACUUACGGAGAGUACUAUUUAAGGCUUAAAUAGUCAUUUUAUAUCAAGAUAUGUGAGUUAUUUAUUAUUAAAUUUUAUGUGGAAUGUAGUCAACAAAAUAUGGGGUGUUAAUAAAAAAAAAACCCAUAUUCAAAUUAAAAUUUUGAGUAAAGAUGCAUAAUCAAAAUUGAAAAGUAGGAAAAUUGGACUAAAUCCAACAACUCAAAUUUGGAUCUUGGUCAAAGUACCCGAAAAUCUAAGUCAAAUGUUAAAUCUCAAGUUAUUUCCACAUACAUACCACAUAGAAAUACCCUACACAUAUGCAGAUAAAUAAACAAACAAAAUGUGCACAACAGAUGUAGGAAUUACCGACGCAAAUUUCACCAUUAAGAAAAUCCACGGGCUCUCAAAUUAGGACAAACACUAAGAGAAGAAGUAUAGAAAGAUUUACAAAACUCAUCAACUAGAUACACAUACUAGUAGGCAAUUUUGUCCACUCGCUUUGCUACUCGAUCUCUCUUCAGUCUUUAAGUGUGGAAGUGGCACCACACUAACGUGGCCGUCAAUUAGAUUCUUCUCGAAAUUUGCAAGAUACUAAGGUGAUCAUUUAGAAUGUAUGGGAUGAAAUGUUUUUUUCAAAAAUUAACCGAUUACGGAAAUCACAAGACACAUUUCUAUCAUACAUUUCUGAUUUAUACGUAAAAAAAAACCUAGAAAUUAAAAAAAAAAAUCUUUAAAAACACACGGACACAAAACUGAUUUUUCUCAAAGUAAAAACUCAGGGAUGCUGAUCACGUUAAAACCCAUAACAUGCAACACUUAGGUUUUGAAUAAUCAGUGAAGAAAAUAUAAAUUUACCUACAUUUUACAGAUUCAAUAAUGUAUCUAUAUAUAUAUAUAUAUAUAUGUAGUUUCACUGAUUCACCUAGAUUGUAUAUGUGUAAGAUAUUUAUGUAUCUUUCCUUUUGUCUAACUUAACUUUAUGUACAUUAAUGCUAAUCAUAAGUUUAAGUUUCGCGAUUCGUCAUAUCUUUUGCUUACUUAGAUGCACCUAUAUCUACAUUUUACGUUUAUUAAUGUGCCUAUAUGUACAUUAAUGUGUAUAUUAAUUUACCAGAGAAGGAUCAAUUAUGAUAUUUGAAAAAAAAAAAAAAUUAAAUUGGCAUGUCAUUCCCACCCAACACAAGAUGGUAAAUCAUGCAUUAAAAUGCAAGUGAAAGAUAUAGUUGGUAUGUACCAUUGUUAAGUAUAUUUUCAAUGUCCCUCUACAUAAUUAUGACACAUGCACUAAAAAAAUCUCUCACACCUUAUUAUACAUCCCACUCAAUUUGUAAAUUUAAACCAAUAAAUGAGAUAGUAGCCAAAUUUGCAAUAAAUCCCACCAAAGAUAUAUGUGUUCAACAAUAUUUUUUGGACAAGGAAAAGUAUGUAAUAUGGGAAAUCAAGGAAUAAAAGGAAAUUUGCUUACUUAGAUCUCACCACCUCGUUGAUUACCAUUAGAAGAGUUUGAUUUAAUAUAUCUAUUCGACGAAUCUCGAAACUCAAAUUUAUCUAACGGUAAUCAAUGGGGUGGUGAGGAUGUGAAAGUAAAAAGGUUUUACGAUGAAAAAGAAACCUUGCAAGACUUGUAAGAGUUAGACUAUUUCUCAUAUUGGCAAUUAGUUUUACGUAGAACUUCAACUUUCUUCAUGGUAUCAAAACAAGUUUGCCCAUGUUUGAAGCCCCACGUGUUCCGCGUCACCCAUUUCAUGUUGACCAUGUAUUUGGCUUGAAAAUCACCACACAUGAGAAAUGUGUGAGAAUGUAAUUAUAAAAGAGUCCAACAUUGGUAAAAGAAAAAACCUUGCAAUGGUUUAAAAGAUGUUGAAAUAUUUCUCAUAUUUCCAAUUAGCUGAAGAUAAGAAAAAAUUAGCUUCAAGUAACUCAAAUUUUCUUUUAUUUUUAUUAUAAAUAAUGAGAAAUCGGAUUCAUAAACGAAGGGCCAGCCAAAAGCCACAAAGGCGAAUACAAAUACAGGAGGGAGUACAUAAACAACAUUUAAAUAAUAGAUGGUAUUUUCCCAACCAAAUUCACAGAGGAUGAAAACCGCAUUGUCAUGAAAUUCAACAGGCUUGAAUACAUCAACAACAUAAAGCAAAAGUAAAAAUACAAAAGUCACAAGGAGGGACAACAAACUCAUAGUGAGUUGCCGCAACUUAUUCUGAUUCAUUAUGAGUCAAACAGAAAACUAAAACUUGAAUAACAACUUGCACAACGACUCUGGUAGAUCCAUUGUACUUUAUUCAUUAUUUGGGAUUCAAAUUUGAUAAACAAGUUUGAUGUCCUCAUCAUUAUCAUCCACAGAUACUUGAAUAUUUUUCAUAUUUCUUUGGCUCUUCUUCAAGAAAGUUUUGAACCAGUUUGCCGAGCGUUUUGGGUACCUUGUCAGUGCACCAUCAUAGUCCACAUAGUUAAGACCAAAUCGACUACGAUAUCCUUCUGCCCAUUCAAAGUUAUCUAGUAUCGACCAUGCAAAGUAUCCUUUUACUUUAGCACCCGAUCUGCGCACACAUGUAGAAAACAAAGCAACCAAAUGCAUUGAUAUGGAUAAUUAAAUAUAAUAAUAAAAAAUUGUAAGAAGGCAUAGAUAUAUAUAUAUAUAUAUAUAUAUAUAUAUAUAUAUAUGUAUGUAUGUAUGUAUGUAUGUAUAACACUAUAUAUAGCCUUAUUGAAUUCCUAAACAAGGUACUAACUGAAUUGCUGCUUGAAGGUGACAAAGGUGGUCACGAUAGUAGUUGACUCUGAUGGUAUCAUUAAGGGCUUCUGCGAGUGAUAAGCUGCUAUUAGUGAACUCAUCGACGUCUUCAACAUAAUGAAUUAUUAUAUGCGUUGAUAAUUUUCUCUAAAGUGAAAUCUGCAUUUAGUUUUUGAGUUUAGACUGCACCUAAUUUAGUUAUGCAUACACAUGUCAAACUUUGAUAAUGCAAUUAAUUAAGGCUUGAAAGUACUGCUUACCAUUUUCAGUAAUAUAAAUGGUUGGAUCAUUAUACUUUUUCUUGGUAUAAAUCAUAAGAUCGUGAAUUCCUUUUGGAUAAAUGUAUAACCAAUCCGAAGCAGCCUACAAAACCAUUUAAAGAUAAUUGGAAUUCACAUGAGUUAUGUUUUUAUGCAGAAAAAAAUACAUAUUAAUCCUCCAAGUGCCAAAAACUUUUAAGUUCAAAUUGGAUGUGUACCCGUGGACCAAUGGGUUUUCCAUUAACCUCAGCUGUCAUAAUAUACACAAAUAUUAGAAUCUAAGUAUUCUGAGAACUUAAUUAAUUGCUUGAAAUAAGUUUUUAAUUUGUACUCACCUGUCGCAUUAACAUGAGGAUCAUUUAUGUAGUUUUCAGGGUCAGAUGAAUUCUCUAGUGGAUUGCUUGCAUAUCUAGCAGAGUAGUAAUUGAUUCCUAUAAAAUCAUAUGACCUAUUUAGAGAAUCGGACCGCUCUUUUGUGAAUUGAGGUAAUCGUGAUCCAACAUAUGUUCGCAUGCUUCGGGGAUAGUCACCAGUUGUGAUUGGGUCCAUAAACCUACAAAAUAUACAGAUAUUCCAAGCAUGAACUCAUGGUAGCUAUAAUGUCUUGCUAACUAUAUUUAUAUUUUUUAAUUUUGUAUAAAAAAAUAAAGUAUUUAUAAAUAAAAUAUUUAACUAGUUGAUACAUCCGAUUGAAAAAUACUAGUUGAUAUAUAUGUAUAUUUCAAUAAUAUAUUUACCAUCCAAACAUAAAAUCCAAAGCUCGAUUUGCAGCAUCUAUAUCUUUUUUUGCCUUGGAAGCUGGCUCAAACCAGUGUGUCACUACUGCUAAUCCUAUCGCACCAUUUUGAUAUUCCUACAUAAGAAAGUUCAAGAAUAUAUAUUAAGAGGCAGACAAAAAUAUCACCGUUGUUUAUCUCAAUAUGCCAAGUAUUCCUAAUUUAUUGUAACUAAAUACUACUAAUGCCUCAAAUAUAAUUUUUAAUUAAGAACCAAAUAUUCAGUCCCAAAUAAAUAAUUAAUUAGACCUGGUAUUUAGUCUUGUACAACUUCACAGCGGCUGCAUGAGAAAGGAGUUGGUGGUGUGUCACCAAAUAUGGUUCAACAGCCGAAUUUCCACCAAUGCAGUUCAAUUUUUGCCAAGCUGAGCAUCGUCCCGGUGCGUGAGUCCCGAUUGCAUAACCAUGGUUAUUUACAGUAAAUGGCUCAUUCAAAGUGAGCCAGCGCUUUGCUCGAUCACCAAAAUGCAUAAAACAAAGAUCUGCAUAAUAAGGUACUCACCAAAAUAAUAAGGUAUUUUUCCAACCAAAUUCACAAAGGACGAAAACAACUUUGUCGUAAAAUCCAACAGGCUUGGAUACACCAACAACAUAAAGCAAAAGUAAAACUAAAAAGCCACAAGGAGAGACAAUAAACUCAGAAUGAGUUGCUCUAACUCAUUCUGACUCAUAAUGAGUCAAACUAAUAACUAAAACUUGAAAAAACAACUUGCCCAAUGAUUCUGGUGGAUUCUUGUACUUUAUUCAUCAUAUUUGGGAUUCAAAUUUGAUACACAAGAGUGAUGUCCUCAGCAUUAUCAUCCACAUACACUUGAAUAUCUUUUGCAUUUUUUUGGCUCUUCUUCAAGAAAGUUUUGAACCAUUUUGCUGAGCAUUUUGGAUACCUUAUGUUGAAUAUUUUAAAAAUAUAUAUAUAAUUAUAUAUAUAUAUAUAUAUAUAUAUAUGGGAAUGUUUGACGGGAAGUUGGGUCAUUGACCCAACAAUUAUAUCUUUUCAAAUUAGCAUUGUAACCUUUUGCUAAUACCCAACGGUUGCUGCAUGUUUUACAACAUAUAUGAUCUUUGGGUAAUUGGUGUUUGUAUUAGAUAUGUCCAUUGGACAUAAUGAUGCAAUGUGUUGUAUCCCAUGGUGAAAAGACAUACUCAAAUCAAAUGAUGUGUCUAAAAGGUGUAAUUCUCUUUAUAUAUAGUGGUGACAUUAGUAGAAAAGAAUCAUUCAAAAAUUUGUUGUCUACAUAAUUUCUUUGCUCUCUUCUCUCCUCAUCACAUUUAUACAAUUUCUUUCUAGUUAUUUUUAAGGGAAUACAAUUCGGUUUUGCUAAUCGAAUAUUCCAUACUUUGUUGUAUCCUGGAAGUGAUUUGCCAAGAACCCUUUAGCAAACUCAUUCGAGUGGGGGCAAAUAACACUUUAAGGAAACGAUUCAAGUCGUACCUCAAAGUCAUUAUUCGGAUUAUUCUCCAUAUUUCUAUAUUUAAUCUAACAAUCUUAAAGUGUUAUUUUCGUUAUGGAUAACAAAUCUGAUAACAUGGCUUUGAAGAUUAUCAAUCAAGAUGUCUACAAGUUAGACAAAUUUGAUGGAUCAAAUUUCACCCGAUGGAAGGACAAGAUGCGUUUCAUGCUUACUGUUCUAAAUGUCAUAUAUGUGUUGGACCCGAAAUUGGAGCCUAUUCGUGAACCAAGUGACAAAGACUCGGACAAUAUAGUUGCCGAUCGAAAGAAGCGUGAAGAAGAUGAAUUGGUAUGUCGAGGACACAUCUUGGGCACAUUAUUUGAUCGUUUAUAUGACCUGUAUGCACACAUUCAAUCUCCAAAGGAAAUUUGGGAAGCACUUGAACACAAGUACACAACGGAAAAAAGAGGUACCGAUAAAUUUUUAAUGUUCAAAUAUUAUGAAUUCACUAUGUUUGAUAACAAACCCAUCCUAGACCAAGUUCAUGAAUUAUUAGUCUUAGUCUCCAAGCUUUGUGAACUUAAAAUAGUUAUUCCAGAUCCUAUGAUAGUUGGGGCUAUUAUGGCAAAAUUACCCCAAACAUGGAAUAACUAUAGAAAGAAACUUCUACACAUGGUGGAAGAUAUUAGUUUGGAGAAUUUGCAAAAGGGUAUUCAAAUUGAAGAGGAAACUCGAAAUCGUGAUAAGAAUUUUGCAAAUCAAGAUUUCUCUAAAGUUCACAUUGUCGAAGGAAACAAAUAUAAAAAGAACUUCAAAGUCAAAAUUGACAAAGGGAAGUUUAAGAAGACCAAUUCCAACAACAACCAAAAGAAUGCAAAUGGUGUAUGUUACCAUUGUGGAAAGAAAUGCCAUUACAUUCGUGAUUGUAGACACAGAAAAGCAAGUGAGGAAUAUGCCAAUAAGACCAAUAGCGCAAAUAUGGUGGAUUUUUACAAUUGCCGGAGGAGCAAUUUCUUGGGCUUCGAAGAAGCAAACAUGUAUAGUACAUUCAACUAUGGAAUAUGAAUUUAUAGCAUUAGCAGCAGCAGGUAAAGAAGCGGAAUGGAUUAGAAAUUUGUUAUUGGAAAUAGAGUUGUGGCCACAACCAAUGCCAUCCAUUUCUUUAUACUGUGAUAGUGAGGCUACUUUGUCUAGAGCAUACAAUAAGGUAUACAAUGGAAAAUCUAGACAUAUUAGCUUGAGACAUGAAUAUGUCAAGCAAUUAAUAACUGAUGGAGUUAUUAAUAUUGUUUAUGUUAAAUCAAGUAAUAACUUGGCGGAUCCGUUAACGAAAGCACUUUCAAGAGCUUUGGUAGUUAGUACAUCUAGUGGAAUGGGGCUAAAACCCUUUACUGAAAAUUAGCCACCAAUAAUGGUAACCCGACUUUGUCUAGAACAUCACUAGUUUAAAAGUUUAAUGGGUAAUAACAAGUUAUUGUUAAGUGGUUGUGUAAGCACUGAAAAUUAUUAUAUAGCUCAUUCCAGGAUGAUCAGUGCAAGACUGCUACGUUUAGGAGGAUGAGUUUUAACUCUUAAUGAGGUUAUUUGUAGUUAUGUCUAUAGUAGCAGGGACAUGGGAAGGAACCUCACCUAUAUAAACAUAAGAAGUGGUGCCGCUUCUACCAAGAGUUGGGUUUUCUCUUGUAAAUGUUUAUGAAACCAGGAUGAAGCACAAGGCCAUAAUAGUGCUUAAUUGGUUCAAGAAUUUCUUUAAAGAAAUAAGACAUAAUCAUGUGUGUAGUGAUUCCGGUUUUAACAUAAGAAUAGGUGGUUUAAACUUAGGUCACAAUCGCAUUCGUUAUAACUUUGAAUUACUUACACUAAUUAAAGGUUUAAUUCGAAAGACACCUUUAUUGUAUGCAUGAUUAUAUCGGUAUGCUUGUGAUAAUUAUAAAGAGAGUUGUAAUAUCAUUUUCUAUAUAUUUUUCAAAUAGGGAAGGAUUGUUGAAUAUUUUAAAAAAAUAUAUAUAUAAUAAUAUAUAUAUAUAUAUGGGGAUGUUUGACGGGAAGUUGGGUCAUUGACCCAACAAUUAUAUCUUUUCAAAUUAGCAUUGUAACCUUUUGCUAAUACCCAACGGUUGCUGCAUGUUUUACAACAUAUAUGAUCUUUGGGUAAUUGGUGUUUGUAUUAGAUAUGUCCAUUGGACAUAAUGAUGCAAUGUGUUGUAUCCCAUGGUGAAAAGACAUACUCAAAUCAAAUGAUGUGUCUAAAAGGUGUAAUUCUCUCUAUAUAUAGUGGUGACAUUAGUAGAAAAGAAUUAUUCAGAAAUUUGUUGUCUACAUAAUUUCUUUGCUCUCUUUUCUCUCCUCAUCACAUUUAUACAAUUUCUUUCUAGUUAUUUUUAAGGGAAUACAAUUCGGUUUUGCUAAUCGAAUAUUCCAUACUUUGUUGUAUCCUAGAAGUGAUUUGCCAAGAACCCUGUAGCAAACUCAUUCGAGUGGGGGCAAAUAACACUUUAAGGAAACGAUUCAAGUCGUACCUCAAAGUUAUUAUUCGGAUUAUUCUCCAUAUUUCUAUAUUUAAUCUAACACCUUAUCAGUCCACAUUCAUAGUCCACAUUGUUGAGACCAAAUCGAUUAUUAUAUCCCUUUGUCCAUUCGAAGUUAUCCAGUAUCGAUCAUGCAAAGUAUCCCUUUACUUUAGCACCUGAUAUGCGUACACACAUAGAAAACAAAGUGCAUUGAUAUAGAUAACUACAAAAAAAAUGUAAGAAGGCAUAUAUAUGUAUAUUAUAUGUAGCCUUAUCUAAUUCCUUAACAAGUACUAACUGAAUUGCUGCUUUAAGGUGACAAAGGUGGUCACGAUGGUAGUUGACUCUUAUGGUAUCUUUAAGGGCUUGCUCAAGUGAUAAGCUGCGAUUAUUGAACUCAUCGACACCUACAACAUAAUAAAUUAUCAUUUGCGUUGAUAAUUUUAUCUAUAAAUAAAUAAAUUUGCAUUUAGUUUUGAGUUUAGACUUUAAAACACCUAAAUUUACUUAUAUAUACACAUGUGAAACAUUGAUGAUGCAAUCAAUUAAGGAUGAAAGUAUUAAUGCUUACCAUUUUCAGUAAUGUAAAUGGCUAGAUCAUUAUACUAUUUCUUGGUAUAAAUUAUUGAGAAAUGAUUUUCAUUACCUCAAAAGAUAAGUUACAAGAGUAUUUAUAUGGAAGCUAAAGUAACAAACUAACAGAGUUAAGGAAAGUUACAAGAGUGGUAAUUUUCCUAACUAACUUUUAACUGUGUGUUAUUACUAUUAUGUUGAGUUACUUUAGUAACUUUCUCUUCACACCCCCUCAAGCUAAACGGAGAAGGUUGAAGUGAUAGCUUGGACCAGAGAAGAAGAAAGCGUUGCAUUGGAAGGGAUUUGGUGUGAAUGUCUGCAAGUUGAUCCUGACUGCAUACAAAUUGGACGGUCAGCAACUUGGCAAGAACAAGUUCUCGUAUGUAAUGGUAAUCUAUUUCCACAUGUUUGGUGCGAGCAUGGAAAACAGGGUUGGAAGCAAGAGCAAUCGCAGAAACAUUGUCACACCAAAUUUGAGGAAGAGAAGGCAGCUUGAAACCAAUAUCCAUGAACAAUUUGCAGAUCCAUGUUAAUUCAGCAGCAGUAUGAGCCAAUGACCUAUAUUCAACUUCGGUGGAUGAACGAGCAACAGUGUGUUGCUUCUUGGCACUCUAACUAAUGAUGGAGGGUCCAAGAAAGAUGCAAAAUCCCCCAGUGGAACGUCUAUCCCAGGAACAUCCUGCCCAAUCAGCAUCAGAAUAUGCUUUGAGAGUGAGAGGAGUCGAGUUUUAGGAAACCAGAUACCAUAACCAAGCGUUCCCUUAAGGUAGCGCAGGAUGCACUUCACUGCUUGAAAAUGGGGUUCUUGAGGAGAGUGCAUAAAUUGGCAGACCAAGUUGACUGAAAAAGAGAGAUCCGGACGAGUCCAUGUAAGAUACUGAAGAGCAUCAACAAUAGAACGAUAUUCCUCUGGAUUAUCCAAUAGAGAACCAGUGAGAUCAAGCUUAGUAGAACCAAGAGGAGUGGUGCAGGGCUUUGUUCCAUCCAUUUUAGUGCGUUUGGGAAGAUCUAAGAUGUACUUAGAUUGAUGAAUAAAGAUCCCUGUAGAAGCACGGGUAACUUCCAAUCCAAGGAAAAAGUGCAAAUCACCUAAAUCCUUAAUGGGGAAUUGAACAUUGAGUUGAGAGAUAACAUUGGUACAAGCUGUGGAAGAAGGUCUGAUGACAAGAAUGUCAUCAACAUAGACCAAAACAAGCACCAAGACAGGUUGUUGCAACACAAACAAGCUAUGAUCAGAUUGGGAGGCCUGAAAUCCCAUAGAGAAGAGAGCAGAUUGCAGUUGUUCAAACCAAGCUCGAGGAGCUUGUUUCAAUCCAUAGAGGGAUUUCUGCAAGUGACAAACAUAAGAAGAUUUGUCUUGAUCAAUGAAUCUUGGAGGCUGAGACAUAUACAUAUCUUCCUUUAAAGAGCCAUGCAAAAACGCAUUACUGACAUCUAAUUGAUGCAGAAACCAAUUUGAGUGAACUGCAAGUGUGAGAAGAAGGCGAAUGGUAACUAGUUUAGCCACUGGGCUAAAAGUAUCACUGUAAUCAAUACCCUCAUGCUGAUUAUAGCCCUUAGCUACUAACCGGGCUUUAUAACGGUCCACAGAACCAUCAGGGUUCCUUUUAAUCCGAAAGACCCAUUUGCACCCAACAAGAUUGUAAAAAGGAUCAGAGGGAACCAAUGUCCAAGUUCUUGUAUUUUGUAGAGCAUUAAACUCAUCUUGCAUUGCAGUUCUCCAAUAGGGAUAUUUGGAUGCCUGAAUAUAUGUAGUGGGAACAAAAUCAGUGUUUAAGUUAGAAGGAAUAGGAUGGUUGGUAGCAGUAAAUGCCUUGGGCUUAAAAAUGCCAGAUUUGGACCUGGUUUGCAUAUGAUGAGUAGAGACAAGAAGGGUUGGAGGGGGUACAAUACCAGGAAGUGAGACAGGUGCAGGUAUAGAGACUGAUUCAGAUGCAAAUUCAGUAGAACUGACAGGGUGUAGAGGUUGAAAGACAUGUGGAGAGGCAAGAGAUGGGGAAUGUGUAAUAGGAGAAGUAAGAGUGGAUGGAGAAUAAAGGUUGGGAAAUGUAAGGGAAAAUGAGGAAGGGUUGACUGAGGAUGAAGCACAAUAAGGUAGUUGGGAAACAAGAGAGGAAUUAUGAAAGGGGAAUGUGGUUUCAUCAAAAUAGACAUGCCAGGAGACAUACACCCUAUUAGUGAAAGGGUUUAAGCAUCUGUAACCUUUGUGAACCAAACUAUAGCCAAUAAAAACACAUAACUUGCUUUUGGGGUCGAGUUUGGACUGUGUAUAUGGCUUGAGCCAAGGAUAGCAGCUGCAACCAAAGAUUUUCAACUGAGUGUAAUCUGAUUUCUUCUUGAAAAAUUGCUCCCAAGGUGAAAACUUUGCAGUUGGAGGAAGUCUGUUAAUGAGAUAAACUACAGUGAGAAAUGCUUCUACCCAAAAUUGAUGAGGAACCUGAGAUGCAAUAAGUAGGGUCCUGGCUGUUUCCACAAUGUGUCGAUGUUUCCGUUCUGCACACCCGUUCUACUCAGAAGUGUAUGGACAACUAAAAUGUUGUUGAAUGCCAUGGCUGGACAAAUGAUGUUUGAACUGAGCACUAAUAAACUCACCCCCUGAGUCACAUCUCAAAGUUCCAAUUUUGUUACCAGACAGAUUUUCAACCAAAGCUUGAAAGUUGACAAAAACUUGAAAGACAUCUGAUUUAUGUUUGAGAUGAUACAACCAAGUGUACUUAGUAAAGUUAUCAACAAAGAUGACAUAGAAUCGAUAUCCACUUACAGAAGACAAAGGAGCUGGACCCCAAACAUCCGCAUGAACUAACUCUAGAGAUCUAGAAGAAUUACAGAUAGAAUUCUGAAAAGGUAACUUGGCACAUUUUCCUAAAACACAAUUCGAACAUAAAUAUUGUUUUACAGUAGUAGAUAAAGGCAAUGAAGACUUUGAGAUCAUAGAUUGCAAAGUCUUAAACAUUAGAUGCCCCAAACGUUGAUGCCAAGUAUGUUGUGAUGCCUUGAGUGCAGUAAGACCAUGAUGCUUUGGUGAAGACUGAGAAAAUGAAGAAAAUGGAUAGAGACCACAGCGAACAUGAGCUCUAAAAAGCAUCAUCCCCCGUAGUAAGAUCAUUGACAUUAAAGUCAAAAGGAUUUAGAGUUAGGGAACACCAAUUGUCUCUAAGAAACAUAUCUGUAGAAACAAGAUCAUGCUUCAAGUGUGGAACGUGCAACACAUUCUGUAAUUUAAAAGCAGCAGAAUGUGUAUGAAGGAAAGAGGAACCAGAGUGGAGAAUCGGCAAACCUUGGCCGUCUCCAAUGGAGACCUUAUCGGGGCCACUGUAAGGCUGGGGAUUCUGAAGAUUGUUGAUGUUGUUGGUCAUAUGAGAGCUUGCUCCAGAGUCAAGUAGCCACGGAGGAGAAGAAGAUGCAUUUGAGCGAGCAUACAUAGCAAGCUUGGCUGGUGGAACGGCCUUGAAAAUUAAGAUUCAUGCGAUUAGAGCAGUCAAUCGCUUGAUGACCAGUGUCUUCACAGAUUUGACAAGGAACAUUCCGGGAAAUGUUGUUGAAGAACUGAGAACUAUUGCGAUUUCCUUCACUACUACGAUUUCCUUCACGAUUAUAAGCAUUCUUGUUGGUGUUGGUACGAGUGUAGCAAUUGCGAUUAUUGUAAUUCCUUGGAGAACCAUUGCCUCGGUUGAAAUUAGAGGAAUGAGGUGGCUGAGCAAUGUAUGCUUGAGGUGUAGGAAGGAGUAGAGGAGCAGUGGAGGACGUCGGAAUAGAAUGAAAAGCUUGAUAGGGUUCAGAGUUUGUUCCUUGAGUGGUAUGCUUACGAGCAAGGGCCAUUUCUUUACCUAACAAAAAUCCGUGAAGAUCAUCAACAAUAGUAUCAGUAAGGAGAAACUGAACAGAAUCCACAAAAGAAUCAUACUCAUCAGGUAAGCCAUUUAGAAUGAUGAUGAGUAGAUCAUGAUCAUCCACAGGAACACCAGCGGCUGCAAAAGCAUCAGUGGCCUCUUUGAUGCGUUGGAGAUACUCCGAGAUAGAAGAUGAACCUUUCUUUGCAGAUUGCAAGGAUGAACGGAGUUGAUGAAUAUGAGAACGAAAGACACCGCCAAAUCGCAGUUCAAGAUUUUGCCAGAGUUCUCGCGCAGAUUGAACGCCAACGGUGAAAGGAAUCAGAUCUUCCGAUAGUGUGGAAUUGAUCCAAAUAAUGAUGUUUUGAUCUUUCUCAUACCACAAUUCAUAGUCUGGAUUAGGAACAGAGGUGAAUCGACCAGAAUCAUUAGUAAGAAACUGAGGCGGUGGAGGUUCAUAUCCGUUAACAAUACCGGUAAGUUUGUAACGAUAAAAGAUCGGCUCAAAGAGAGAUCGCCAAACAAGAUAGUUAUGGCGCUUGAGCUUAGUCUGAAUCAUGCUCCCAAUAUUGUGGAUCGUAAUCGAGUUGAUCGAGGCCUAAAUUGAAGAAUUAGGGUUUGUGUUUAUCGGAAUUGAAGGACGAGGAUUUGGAGAAAAAGAAUAAGGAUCAACAGGCACAGAAGAAGAAUGAUGGUGCGCGAUCACUGGAGAAGAAGAAGUCGAAGAAUUUGACGCCAUAGAUCGUUGAUCUCAGAGAGAAAUGACAGGAAUGAGACCUGUUUGAUGACUGAGAAAAUGAGAGGAAGCGUAAAAACGAAGGAUCUUAGUCGGUAGACUUUAGGCGAGUGAUACCAUAUUGAGAAAUGAUUUUCAUUACCUUAAAAGAUAAGUUACAAGAGUAUUUAUAUGGAAGCUAAAGUAACAAACUAACAGAGUUAAGGAAAGUUACAAGAGUGGUAAUUUUCCUAACUAACUUUUAACUGUGUCAUUACUAUUAUGUUGAGUUACUUUAGUAACUUUCUCUUCAUAAAUUAUAAGAUCAUGAAUUCCUUUUAGAUAAAUGUAUAACCAAUCUAAAGCAGCCUACAAGACCAUUUAAAGAUAAUGAAAUUCUCAUCACGAGUUAUGUUUUUAUGGAGAAAAUAUACAUAUUAAUCCUCCAAAUGCUAAAAAAUUUAAGUUCAAAUUGUAUGUAUACCCGGGGACCGAUGGGCUUUCCAUUAACCGCAACUGUCAUAAUAUAGCCAAAUAUUAGUAUCUAACCAUGGAAGCACCAGUGACUCCUAAUAGUUUGUAUGUUUGGAGGAGCAUCGCGGCUUCGAGGUAGGUGAUUCACAAAGGCCAGCGGUGGCAAGUGGGCAAUGGGCAGAAAAUUCGAAUAUGGAGUGAUAAUUGGAUUCCGAGGGAUUCCUUUUUUCAGAUUCUAACGCCACCACCAAGGAACUGGGAUAUGGAGGCUAUGAUGGAUGAGCUUAUCUAGGGUAUACCGAAACAGUGGAAUCUCCAGUUACUGAAUGUUCUUUUUUCAUCCGAGGAAGUGGAGUUAAUCCAAAGUAUUCCGCUUAGCGUUCGGGAUGUUGAAGAUAGGCGAGUUUGGCAUUAUGAACAUAAUGGGAAGUUCUCAGUCAUGAGUGCUUAUCAGGUGGCUCAGGGUUUACUCGACAAUAACGGUAAUAGAGUAGGUGGAUAUUCGUCCUCUUUUGGUGGUGUGAGGGAGAAAGAUUGGAAGAAAAUUUGGAAUGCGAGUGUUCCUGGGAAGGUGAAGAUUUGUGUGUGGCGUGUUUGUUUGGAUGCUUUACCCAUACGGUUGAAUUUGCGCAAAAGGAAAGUGUUGGGAGACGAGGCGCGUGUGGUUUGUGGGGUACAAGUAGAGUCAACGGAGCAUGGAUUUAGAGACUGUAGUCUGGCGAGAGUGGUGUGGUUUCGAAGUUUGGGGCUAAGGGUGGAUAGUGGAUGUGACCGAAUGUCUCUUGUGCAGUGGAUGGUUACAUGUGCGCAUCAACUCCCUAUGGUUGGUUUCGAGCUUUGGUUGAUGUUGUUAUGGGCAUUUUGGAAACAUAGGAAUGAGGUGUUGUGGAAUGGGACUCGGAUGCCACCACAUGAUGCAUGAAUUUCAUAAAUGGCAUAAACCCCUAACUUGGAGGAUGGCUAGGGAGAUCCAAAAAUGGAGGAAACCUAGGGUCGGAUGGAUCAAAUGUAAUUUUGAUGGGGCUUGGAGUAUAGGUGGCUCUCGGGGGGGGGGGUGCUAUGGUGUCGUGCUUAGGGAUCACACAAGUGGAUUUCUGGGGGCUAUGGCUGGUCUUUUGAUGGGGCUUAGAGUAUAGGUGGCUCUCGAGGGCGGGGGGUUGGGGGGCACUAUGGUGUCGUGCUUAGGGAUCACACGUGUGGAUUUCUAGGGGCUAUGGCUGGUCCUGUUGAGGGGUCUACGUCGGCCUUGUAUUCAGAGCUGUUUGCAGAGCGCCACGCAGUGGAGUUAUAGACUAUAUCCGCCCGAUGCCAAGGUAAAGUUGGAAGGCGAUUCAUCUGUGGUGACGGCUACUAUGACAGGAAAAGAGGACGAUGAUUCCGUUUGGGGUUAGGUUAUAAAUGAUUUGAGAUUUUUUUCUUAUGGAGUUGCCUUAUGUGGAGUGUGGUCACGUUCAGAGUGAAGGUAACUUAGUUGCGCAUUGUCUUGCCCGGUUGGGCCUCAGCUGUUCUCAGGAUGUGAUGUGGUUCGAGGAGCCUUCGGAUUUGAUUCAAGAUCUUUUAUUUGAGGAAGGCAUGUAAUUUCAUUUCUCUUUGUUCAUUUGAGGAUAGGUAUUUUGUUGUGUGGGACACUCUUUUCCUUUGAUUGGGUUGAAAGCCCCAUCAAGGUUUUUAUCGAGGUCCAAUUAGCACACUAUCCUUAGUUUGUAUGAAUUCUAAUUAUCUUAAUAAAUGUCGUACUUGUUGCAAAAAAAAAUAAAAAAUUGUAUUUGUACUUAUGUUGGACCUUGGAUGUGAUCACGCAUGACAUACAUGUCGUAUGUGGGAUUUGAUUUGGUUUGUUAUGAUAUAGGUCAAGAUUCAAGAACAAUAAAUUUUUAUCACAUUACGGAGCUUUCAGGUUGAUGUUUUGACUCCAUCAAAUUAAACAAGAUUUGAUUAGAUGUAUUAGGUCCGAAGAUACAUCUUGUCUUCAUAUAGGUAGAUGGAAACAAUCGGACAAGCAUACCCACAUGUUCAUGUAUAUACUAUAUCAUGUAUUUAUUUUUAUUUUUUGUCAAGAAUACUAUAUCAUGUAUUAAUAUAGUACAAAACUGUUGUAUGCUCAAUAUUCUCCUUUUCGUUCCUAAUUGUAGGCAAGAGUAUAUAUUUCACCUUAUGAUGAACUAUUUAUAUGCCGGGAGAUUCAUUUUCCUUUUUUUCCCUGGAGACCCUCGGUGGUACACUAAUCAUUGAUAUGAUAAAAAAAAUGUACACUUAGUUAAGAGAGAUAUAAACCUUACUCCUCAUAAAGCAAGGAAAAGAGAAAAUGAGUCAAAAGUAAAGCAAGAUGUCACACUAAAGAGUCACUUUCAAGCAAUAACUUUUGUCAACCCUACGCAUGAGCAAACUCCAUCAACCCCGCACAUGAGCCAACUCCACAGCAAGAUUGAUAGCAUAAAGCUCUGCAUAGAAAGAUUAUCCCAAACUCUGAGAUAAACCACCAAGAAAAUGACCCACAAAAUCUCGAAAAUCCCCACCAUAAGCUGCAAGAUCCAGUUUGUUUAGCAAGGUUAUCCCUGUUCAUUUUUGACCCAAGGACAUGAAGAAGGAUUCCAAAUAAUGGUAACUAUAUAAGGAAAAACGCAGCCUCAUUUGUAUCUAAGCUUAAAUUUAUACUGUUUUAAUAAAAUCAUUGAUGAUUUAGACAUGGAAUUAAUGUUAGAUCUUUCUUUUUGGUUAUUAGGUUGGAAAAUUGUUACCGAGCAUGAGAAUUGGUGGAUUCUAAUGGUUAGAGAAAAAAAAAAGUGCUUGAUGCAUUGUCCACGUCUUGGAGGCAUGCUUUAGUGAAUUCAAUUUCUUAUCUGAUGCUAUCAUCAACCUUGGUUACUAUGUAACUAAUGAUGUAAACUUGAGUUGUAUAAAGAAAAACCAAGCUUAAUUUGACUUGACCAUUUGUGUUGGAGAUAUGUUUUUAAAUAUAUAGAUAGCAAAUGCUGUCCGUACGUCCGUGUGGAAUGUUUAUGCCCAUGCUUAGAGAGAGAAAGAAAAGAGGAAAGAUAGGUAGGAGGGCACUCCAGGGGAGAGGAAAUGGGAGGAAAAUAAUCUAACAUGCUAAGAUGGAGUUUCCACUAUGACUAAAAGGGAGCCCACCCUUAUCAUGGUCUCUUCAUGCACGUAUAAGCCUAGCUCUGCCCUAGCUCUGCCCCAGGUGUAUAAAAUCUACCAUGAAUUCUCUCAUGGACUUACAAAUAAAACCAUCACUCUCCCUCCCUCCCCAGCUGUGUAGGGUUAUUAGCUACAAGUAUGAAUUACUAUAUUGCUAGAGCUUAUCAGUGCCUUAUUAGGCAUUUUUGCAGCUAGCGCGUUGGAUAAUGAUCUUGACCUAGAAACAAUACUACCGACUGAUCAACGACCGGUCCACCACCACCGCCGCUGCUGUCAGCCACCGCAGCCAGCUCUAGGUCUAGGAAUCACAACGUAAACUGGGCGAAGAUUAUCGCGGCCUAUUGCUUGUCGACAGCCAUUGGAAUGGCUCUCAUUCCCAUCCAACUUCACUCCAACAAGCUCCCUCUAACCUUUUGCGUUCUUGGUCUCGGAAUCCUACUUGCCUUUGCUUGUAUAAUGGUUAGCAAAUUUAUCCAGCACUCCUACUCACCACGAAUAAUAGUUUCUCUCUUCCAAUAUUUCAGGGUUUUCUUCGGAGUCACUGCCUUCUUCGUUUCCGUCACAAUCCCAUUUCCUCUCUGGUUCAGAUGUACCGCUUCUCUCAUCUAUGCGGCCUCAGGCCUUGUAGUGUUAUUUUGACACCGCUACUAUACAUAAGGCUAUAGCAAGCAAGGAGAAUACCUCAUAAACAAAACGUUCGAUAGGGGAAACAUAGUGGACGAAAGAUAAAUAAUUUUUUUUAGUGGAUUAUAUUACUUUAUGGGGUUUUACCUUAUGAAAAACAAAGGGGUACGUGGACAUUCUUUGGUUUGGAAUUGACAAAAAAAAACAUCGAAGUUUUGUUUGGUUAGACAUUGAUACUCCCUUCGAAUAACCAAAAAAAAAAAAAAAUGAUACUCCCAAAGGGAUCAUAGCGAGGAAUAUAAGUUCUUGUGUAUGUAUUACCAUUAAUGAAUUCUCUCGUGGAAAUAACAAACCCAUUUCUCCCUCCCUUCCUCCACCCCAGCUUGUGUGCAGGAAAAUGUACUAUAUUACUGGUGCUAUGCCUUAAGGGCUGCAACAACUCAACAAGAUAUUCAUUAGCCCGCCGUUGGACGAUGAUCUUGACCCCGAAAAAGUACCAAUACCAGCUGAACCAGCAGAAACCAGCUCAACUUAGACUAAAUGGGCAAUGAUCAUUGUGGCGUAUUGUUUGUCAACAGCUAUUGCAAUGGCUCUACUACCCAUCCAACUUCACUCCAAGCAGCUCCCUCUAACCUUUUGCUUUCUCGGUCUCGCAAUCACACUUUCCUUUUAUGGUAUCAUGGUUAGCAAAUUCGUUCGGAAAUCUAAAUGCCCGUGUGUCAGAGUUCAUCUGUUCCAUUAUGUCGGUGCCUUCUUCGGAGUGACUUGCCUUCUUCAUUUCCAUCACCAUCCCCUUUCCCCUCUGGUUCAAGUGAAUUGCAUCUAUCAUCUAUGUGGGCUCAUGCCGUGUAAUACUAUUUUGUCACCACUACUAUAAUUGAUCGGAUAUAUCCGGCAAGAAUUAAAAUAAUUCCAGGAAAGAUGAAAGCGUUCGAGAGAGAGGAGACAUAAUUAAAUUGCACUGUUUGAAUUUUACUCUUAUAUAUGUGUGUUCUAGAAUUGGGACAGUUUGUAAACUACAUGGACUAAAUCCGAAGAAAAUGAAAGGACAUGGAUUGCCGGCCGAGAAGCCAGAGCUGCGUGAUUGCUGCGGCAAACGUGUCCGGUGCGUGUGGGAUGUGUAUUAAGUCGAGCUCGACGAAUACAACAAGCUCUUGAUAGCAUGAAUGGAAAUAUGAUUCCAACCUAUCCUCCCAUUGUUUCCGCUUACGCUCUUCUCUCCUUUUCUGCACUUUCUCCUGAGCUUUCUUGUCUGCCAUUUUGGUUUCCCAUUUUCUGCUUGCUUCAAUAGCUUCUUCUGUGCGCUCUUCGAAAUUGCUUCGCCGCCAUUCGGUGCAUUCCUCCGCUUGAGGACCUUUUCGUUUACCUGAUUUUCUUUGCCCUCCAUAGUUCGAUUGUCGUUGCUGCUACAAUGCAUCUGCUUUCUGUAAUUUCAGAUGGAGGAUUCUUUCUCCCUUUGGAUGUUUUGUUUUGUUAGGGUUUAAUUUUUUUUUUGGUUGGGAACGAUAACGAAGGCUGCUCAAAAAAUUUCUUAAUUUAUUCAUAUUUAAUUAAUUUUUCAAUCUAGUUAGGUAAAAGAGUGGGUUCCGAUUCUGCUAUGUUAACAGUUGAAAGAAAAAUUAGCGGAUUAAUUAAUAGAAGUCUGAUAUUGCAACGAAUUCGUUAGUUGAUGUAUAACUUUGCAAUGUUCAAAAAAUAAGGUAUAAGUUUGUUAUAUGACUUAUACUAUGUUUGGAUGAGGGAAAUAGACUUAGAAUUGUGAUAAAAGUCAAAAUUUAUAAAUUGACAUCCACCAAUUUUUCUUGUUUGGAUUCAUAAACAUAGAAAUUUAGAAUUUAUGCGUGGAAAAAAAAACUUGGAAUUUGGAACCUCAAAUUCCUUAGUUUAAAUUCCAUGUAAAUAAGUGUCAUUUCCCAAUUUCUAUAUUGAUUGAGAGUUUAAAAAUAACAAAUUUCGUAUUCAAUUCCAUUGUUUUUUUUAGGUUAACCAAACAAGAAAAUUUACAAAUUCUAGAAAAUAAAAUCUCGUCAUUUCAAUUUCCGUUAUUUUUAAGUUUCUUAGUAAUCUUAAAUUUCUUCAUCCAAACAUAGUAUUAAAGUUGAGGUGAUAAAAAGUAAUUUAUCCAAAAAUUAACGGUGGUUAAAAUACGUCACAUUUGGACGGUAAAGUCAUGGAAACACCUGUUUCUUCAAUAUGUUGGAUCUUAGCUCCAUGAAACAAUAUACUAACUACUACUAAAACAUUGAAAAAUUGAAAUUUAGUUCAAAACAUUGUAGAUAUAUGGAUCAUAUGAACUGCCUGAAAAAUUCUUGAACAACAAACAAUUAGAGCUAUUACUCACAACAUCAAAUAAACUUUCAUUAAUGAAAGAUGUAAAUCGAGAUGUUAUGGGCAAUCAAUGCCCUAUGUAGAGAUUACUCUCCAUCCGAGCGGUGGACACAAGUACUUUCACUAAAAGAAAUAGAGUAACUAAUUAAUUAACUAGAUCCGAUGAACAUAGCACUAGUGAGGCUGCAGACAACUAAUUAAACUCCAAACAUAACAAAAAACAGUUGACACUGAAACCUACGACAAAUAUGAGAUGCCCAUUCUGAAGAGUAAAUCCCAUAUAUAGUCAUAUAUAAUUAUUCACCAGCACUUCAGGGCAUCCAUGAGAGUUAUUUCGCAUCACACAAUACUAUUUGUGCACGCUUGAUCAUCAAUAGUACUAGUAUCGCCUCGGCAUGAUUCUGUUGCAGGAUCAACGGCGGUUUUUUAGAAAUCUUUUAGGGUUGGGUACUUAGAACUAUUAGGUUUGUAAUAUUUAUUGAAGUGAAGAUUACAAAGUAUUAUGAGGAGAAAGGAGGCAACGUAGAUAGAAUAGGCAGCAUAUUUGAACCACAAAGGAAAUGGGAUGCUGAUGGAUAUGAAGAAGGCCGUGACUCCAAAGAAGAGGCCAAAAUUAUGGCAAAGGAGGGUGAUUGAUAUUCCGGCGGGACAGUAGUUGAAGUGAACAAACUUACUUACCAAGAUACAAGUGAAGGCAAGCAAGACUGAUAGUCCAAGAAUGUAAAAGAUUACAGAAAGCUGGCUGGAGGGAAUUUGGACGGGGAGAAGCGCUAGUCCCGUCGCCACUGUGAAGCAAAACAUGACGACUAUCUUUGGCCAAUCUAAAUUGCUGUUGUGGAACUUAUAAUUAGUCUUGUCUGCAACCUGUUGCAUUACAGCUUCUAGGUCUUGUUCGCGAUCGCGAGCAUGAUCAUCCGGGCUAAUUAUAAGAACUUUGAGUAGUUGGAUUGUCUUUGCAAUAAGUGCAAGGAGAAAGGGCUUUAAGAACUGAUCAUAUAAGAAUUAUUAACACCACACUUCAUUUUUGUUCAGCACCGGAGGGAGAGAGAGAGAGAGAGAGAGAGAGAGAGAAUGAGAACGGUUAGAGAUGGUAAUUUAUAUAUAGUAUAAGGAGGGAAGAAACGAAAGAGAUAGAAAAAGAAGUGAGGGAAAUUAUUUAAUACCAAAAUUAGGCCAGAAAGAAGGAAAAGUAAAAUUAAUUAAAGCUAGCGAUAUUCGAUUACAUGUUUUUGGAUGUGAUUGUGAGCAUUGAUAUAGGAAAAUGAUUUGUGCACACUGUUAUUUUCUUCCAGCCGUUGAAUUGAACAUAUAAAGUAGGAUCAAGGGGCUAAAAUUAAGAGAUAAUGUGCAGAAGAUGAAUAAGAGUGUGCAUAAAUCAGUUCCCGUCUACAUAUCGUGUGAACGCUCACAACUACAUGCACAUGUGGACGAUCGACCAUACUAGCAUCCCUCGAAACACUAUCAAAUACACGCCAGGUGAGAAUUGAAAAAACGGGGACACUGACCGAUGUACUUAAUCAAAUUAAGGUCGACUACGUACAAAAAGGAACUAAUUCACAUUCCUCUUUGAAUUCUCGAAAGAGUAGUACAAGAGUGCAGUUAUGAAUUGGGUCCCUUGCUCGAUCCAUAAAUGAGUUUUUCUUAUUAGAACGAUUGUCGAAUAUAUAAUAUAGGUUACUAAUUUUAUUCUAAACUACAAUGAAAGAGAUUCAAACUCAAUCGGUAUACAUAAAAAUAAACAUUGUCUUAGCCAACUUGACUUACCAUGCACGGGUAUGAUACAAAAGAGUUCAUAAAGUAGCUGACUAUGGGGAUAGGGAUUCAGAUUCUUGAGGCUGCUUGACUAUGUGCUAGAUAUUCAUGAGUCAACAGCUUCUGAGUUCGCAAAUAAGAGCUCGACCUGUUUUCUUUUUUAUUAGACACCAGUGGGAAUUUCAAACUUUAGUUGAGCUUAGUUGCCCAGAAAGUAAUUUUACCUCACUGGUCCAAAGUUCUAUUCAGCUUACCAGUUGGUGGAGUCUAGACUUGCUUUUUGGGGCGAGUCUUGCUAGUAUUUCCUUUAACGGUUAAUUGUCUCUUUCUAUGUGCUAAUUAUGAUAAGAAAAUUAUUCGACUUUGAUUUUUUGUGCUGAAUUCUUUCCGUGCAUGCGGAUUUUAUAUAAUUAUUAGCGAUUCGACUUUGGAUUUUUAAUUGUGUUGAAUUCUUACUGUGCGGACGGAUUUUAUGUAAUUAUUAGUAUCGUACCACACCCAGUAACAAUUCGCUCUUUUGAUUGUUAUUCUUUACUUAUAAUUUUUUUAUUUUGUUUAAAAUAUUUUUUAUUUAUUUUAUUUAAAAUAUUUAAGAAAUAAAAGAAAAAAAACUGUCCAUGUAGUUAGAAGACUAUAAAUUAAAUUAUGUGGAAAUAUUUAAAGGAGGGAGAAAAAGAGGAACUUGGAAUUGGAUAGAGAAGUUUUUAUUUUUAUUUUUUAAAUUAGACGAUAUUAGGAUCAUCUUUGGAUGAGACUUUAAAAAAAUUGUCAAAUUAGUUUGUGUGUAUUUAUUUUACUGCCCGUCAUUUUAUUUUAUAGUAAAAGACUAAAUUGUAUUUUCACCAUCUUUUGAUUGACAAAUAGAGUUUUAUUAGUAUGUAGUUUAGAUUAUUUUAUUUUAACAAUUUUAAUUAGAGAGGGGUAGUAAUUUUGAAAUUAUGAUUGUUUCACCUUUUUUGCUUUCUGACUUUAUAUAUAUUGUACCAGUACAAAUUACAUGCUUCAUCCUCAUGCCUCCUUCUACCAGUUUUUCUGUAAGGCAAUCCACCAAUCUAGUUGGUAUAUUUCAAGUUUCGAAAAGUCACAUUUUCAUGUAAGGUUUCAAAAUCUCAGAGACGAUUCUGUUUAUAGUAACAAAUAGGAUUCACACAAUAAACUAUUAAUGAAAAACAUUUAAUGAACUAUUAUUGAAGUCACUGAGUAUUAUGGUCCAGUGGUAUACCUCUUCACUUGUAAGCAAGGUAUAAAAUAUCGAUGAUAUUGGAAAUAUCGGUAGUUCAAACACACGAAAAUAUCGAUGGAAAUAUCGAGAGAUAUUAUCGAUAUCGAUAAAAAUUGAAUAAAAACUACGGAAGUUGUAAGAAAAACUUGGAGGAAAUUUUUAUUGAAACUUUGGAGAAUGUUUAUUUAGUCAAUUAUCUAUUAGUUUAUAAAAAAUUAGAAGGAAAUGCAUUACAUGAUGGAUUUAACUGAUUUAAGUUGAUUAUACAGCGAGCUGGCAAACACUGUGAGUGUAGAAAAUAUGUAGUAAUUAAUGAAAAAAAGAUUAAACACACCAUAAUCAUUUAUAUAUAAUGAUUUACUACAAUAUUUUACACUUUAUACAUUGCAUGUGCAAAAGAAAUUGUCAAAGAUUCAUUGUCAUGUGCAAAUUUGUUUCUUGCAAAAAGAAUACAAAACAAAACCAUAUAUAUAAAUAUUUUAGCAUAUGUUCACAAAAACUUAAGUGAUAUGGUGGUUAAGGUGUUGAAGGAGUAAAGUGGGAGGGGUUCGAAUCCCCUUGGUGUUAUUUUAGCAUAUUUUCAUUGUCAUAUGCAAAUUUGGGUUUUAUCUCGCGAUAAUAUCGAGAUUUUAACGAUAUAUCAAUGGAUAGCACCGAUAUUAUCGAUUUUUUCGUCCUUGCUUGUAAGUGAGAGGUCUUAUGUUUGAUUCUCAGCAAAGGCGAAUUUGAACCACGUUAUUGCUAGCUCAUUAUCGAUUUUUUCAUUAAAAUCAUUGAAAAUAUCGUACCUCAAUAUUAUCGCAAUAAUAUCGAGAUUUUAACGAUAUAUCAAUGGAUAGCGCCGAUAUUAUCGAUUUUUUCGUCCUUGUUUGUAAGUGAGAGAUCUUAUGUUUGAUUCUCAGCAAAGGCGAAUUUGAACCACGUUAUUGCUAGCUCAUUGUGAGGCUAAGCCCACCUUCUCUCCCUUAGUGUAGAUAAUAUUUUUUUGUUUUAAAAAACCAAUCAUUGAUAAUAAGAACCAAAAAAAGGAAAAGAAGUAGUGGUAUUUUUGUAAAUAUGCAAAUUUGGGUUUUAUCUCGCGAUAAUAUCAUAAUAUCGCGAUAUAUUUCUCAAAUAAUGUAUUAAAAUCAUUGAAAAUAUUGUAUCUCGAUAAUAUUGAUAUUUUAACGAUAUAUUAAUGGAUAGCGCCGAUAUUAUCGAUUUUUUCAUUAAAAUCAUUGAAAAUAUCGUAUCUCGAUAUUAUCGAGAUUUUAACGAUAUAUCAAUGGAUAGCACCGAUAUUAUCGAUUUUUUCGCCCUUGCUUGUAAGUGAGAGGUCUUAUGUUUGAUUCUCAGCAAGGCGAAUUUGAACCACGUUAUUGCUAGCUCAUUAUCGAUUUUUUCAUUAAAAUCAUUGAAAAUAUCGUAUCUCGAUAUUAUCGCAAUAAUAUCGAGAUUUUAACGAUAUAUCAAUGGAUAGCGCCGAUAUUAUCGAUUUUUUCGUCCUUGCUUGUAAGUGAGAGAUCUUAUGUUUGAUUCUCAGCAAAGGCGAAUUUGAACCACGUUAUUGCUAGCUCAUUGUGAGGCUAAGCCCACCUUCUCUCCCUUAGUGUAGAUAAUAUUUUUUGUUUUAAAAAACCAAUCAUUGAUAAUAAGAACCAAAAAAAGGAAAAGAAGUAGUGGUAUUUUUGUAAAUAUGUUGAACUUUGAAUGCAAUGACAUUUUUGUUAAUAAAUUGAAGUUCGCUAGCAAUAACGUAAAUAAGUUGAAGUGUAUUUUCAUCAGUAGCAAAGGUUUGUAGUGUCUUUUUAUUUGUUUUCUAAUAGGUUAAGGGGUAGUGAUAUCCACAUAUCCAUUUCACCUCUCACAAUUUUGUUAAUUUUUGUUAAUUCGAUAUGACAGCCAAAAAUUAAUAAGUUGUGUGAGAGGUAAAAGUAGGUGUAGGGAUAUCACCACAAAUAGCACUAUCUUAUGUUAAAUCAUAAACAAUUUGAUGACAUAUUUUCUGGGAUAUGGGUUUUUUUUUCCAAAAAAUUUUUUUUCCAAAAAAAAUAAUCAACUAAAUUCAUAGCAUUCACCAACGAGAGAGGCCAAGGAGACUGUCUCAAAGUGAGAUUUUCUAUGAACUUUCUAUCACCUCACAGUUUAAUGUUAAUUCAUAUGCUAAUAUUAUAAAGUAUUGUGGCAAAAAUAAGGUGACAAAGAGUACAUAAAAAAUAUUACUUUUGAAAGAGUCUCUUUAAACCCACCACAAGUAAAUGGUAGCCUCAAAUGUUACAUAUCUGAAUCAACCACCUAGACCCGCCACAAGUAAAUGGUUGUCUCAAAUGUUACCUAUCCGAAUCGACCGCUUAGACCCACCACAAGAAAAUGGUUGCCUCAAAUGGGAUAGUCAAAGUGUGUGAAUCGAAAUUAAAUUAUUUGGCUCUUGAAAAAUUCAUAGUGAAAGAAAACAUAAAUGGUCAAGAACAAUGAUUUAUCAGUAAAAGUCUAGGACACUUAUAGUGUGAACCGAAAUUAAAAUAAUUUAGUGCUUGAAAAAAUCAGUGUUUGGAAAAUACACGGUCAAGAACAAUACUUUGAUCAGUAAGGAUCUAGGAAACUAAUUUAGUUUGUUAAUCAACAGAGUUGUUUAAUUCACACCACACCCCACAUCAACCUCGCAUAUUCUUGCAUAUUCUUGCAUAUUUUUUAUUCCUCCAACACCCAAAUAGGAACCAAUUCUCCAACACCCAGAAUAUCUUGACCUAAUGCGGACUAUUUGUGCACCACGCCAUGGUGACCGAGAUCAAAGCACGCUAUCAGAAGAUGAAUGGGACGCAGCUUAUUUGUAUGUCGCAUUUGUCUUGAGGAAGCGAGGGGAACCUAAUCAGACACAUGUAAAUGGUAGACGACACAAGGGGAAGAUGCAUAUAUCGAAAGAGGACAUCGUGUACGUUAGCAGUGGUUAACAACGCACCAAUGAUGUCUCAAAGGUUCAUGUUUGUAGCAAAAGAGAACAAUGAUUUUUGCUCGGCCAAGUAGGAAAGCAAAUUAAAGAGCUCAACUCCCACAUUGUUCUACUGUGUAAUUCUUGAAAUGGAUGUAAUUAUUCAAUUUAAUUUGUGGAUUUACAGUGAUCUAAAAUUAUUCGUUCUUUACAUAUUAUAAUCUAAAAAAAAAGAUUAAUUUUAUGACUAGCAUGAUCCACCAUUAACAUUAUUGAUAUUUUUUUAAUUAAUUAAACACCUCAUGAAGAGAGAUUUUUCAGUGUGCCGCGGCGUGAUACUCCUAGUGUAAUAAUAUAAUUGGUUAGAAAAUAGAUUUUUUUUCUUUCAACUAACUGCAUUAUGACACCUAGGUAUACCGGGCCACUAUUCUGAUACACUGAAAAUUUUCUAAGGAAAACUAAUAAAAAGGGUUUGAAAAUUUUGAGUUUUAACGAUAAGGACAAAAUAAAGAGCAAAGUGAAUAGUACCAUGAUUGACUUUUUAGUAUAAAAAUGUGAUUUUUUGUUACCGGAAACUUUUCGUUAAAGUUUUCUAAUUUCUACUUAAUGACAUAAUAAGUAAAUCUACCACGUAUAAACCGUAUAUUAUUUUGUUAUCUCUCCAACGUGUUACUCUAUUUUCCAAUAAGUAGUGCCAACUACUUCCAUCAAACAAGAGAAAUACAUAUCCCGGAGAUGCUUCACUCAUAUUAACACAAGGUUUGUAAACUCAACUUUAUCAACAGAAAUCCUAAUCAUGCAUAUUGGGGCGAUUGAAACGUUAAUAUAUUAGAGUUUUUCUCCUCAAACAGUUGUGCUGAUGCAUGCAUGAUCAGCAGCAGUAAUAUAGUACUGCCUCCGUAUGGUUCUGGUACCGCAGGAUAAACGACGUCGAUGGCAUAUUCUUACAUAUUUUUUUAGAGGUGUGAUAUCCACACACUUUUUUUUUCUCAUAUUUUUUUAAUUUUGGGCCGUCGAAUAAGAUGAAUUGAAGAAUAUCAAAUGACAGAAAUUAAUAAGAAAUAUGAGAGAAGUAAAAAUAAGUGUGUGAAUGGCACACCCCAUUCUUUAUUCCUCCAACUCUCAGAUACGAACCCAAUCUCCUCUUCUUUCACUGUAUACAGUUUUGAUGAGUGAGGAAGUCAUUGUCAAACCUUUUUUCCGAUACGUUUGCUGCAGUUUUUUUUUAAUAAAAAAAUAGAUUAUGUUAGAUUAGCCGUCGAAUAUGAUUCAUACUCAUAAUGAUACAUUUUCUCUACUACUGUAAAGAGCCACUUACAUACAUUUGCUGUUCUCCGUAAUGUUUCCAUCACCUUCCAUUAAGGACCUUUUGUGUAAAUAAUUGUAUGUCCGUUAAAUUUUCAAUUGCAUUCUUCAAAUAGGAUAAUAUAUUUAACAAUCACUAUUGCUUCAAAUCAUGAUUGUCUUUUACCUGCUAGUAUGUUUUUUUUUUAACAAAUGAUAUUAUCUACAUUAAGGGGAUGAAAGAAUGAGCUAAGUUUAACAAUAGACUAGCAAUAAUGUGGUUUAAAUUUGCUUUUGCUAAGAAUCGAACAUGCUAGUUCUAGUUAGCUUCAAAAUAAUUAAUUUAGGGGUGUAUUCAAAUUUUUAUUUUCUUUUAAAAAAUCUUUAUGGGGCCUAAAUAAUCAUUUCAUAUCAAGUGAUAAGUCAUUUAAUAAUUAAUUUUUAUGUGAGAUGUAUUUAGCAGUACGUAGGGUGCUAACAAAAAAACCUACUCAAAAUUAAAAUUUUGGUGCUUGAAAAAUUCAAAGUUUAGAAAAACAUGAAAGGGCAAUAACUGAGCUUGUUUGAAUGAGUUUUGAAGGCGUUUUUGGUGAAAAUAUUUUUAGAAUUAAUCUUUCGUAAAAAUGUAAGCAAAUCAUAGAAAAACACUUAAAAUGUUUCUUCCAAGAAGCACGUAAUUGAUGCUUCUUGAACAAAGCACUUCAAGUGCUUUUCAUACCGAAAAAUAUUUUCUCUAAAAGCACUUUCAGUAAUUUUAGAAGCACAUGCAAACAAGCCCAAUGCUUGGCUACUCAAGAAUGAGUGGGAAUUCUUACUCAAAAUUCUUCAUGUCCGAUAAUAUAAAAUUUCAUGUUUAUAAUAAGAACUAUUCAUAAUGUGAAUUGCUCUAUAAUAUCAUCUUUGUAGAAAAUGAACAAUUCUGAAUAUAAGCACGAAAUGAUCGUUAUCAUAAACAUGGAGUGGUACGAAUCAGAAACGAAGAAUUUUGAGUAAGAGCUUGUACUUAUCCUUUGAUUAGCUAAGUAUUAUUCGUGACAAAUUAUAACUCGCAAAGCAAGAGAGAGAAAAGUUUCUUGAACAUAGCCAUGUAUAUUUCUUGAACCAAACAAAGAAAUGUGUAUAACUUAUGGUGGGAUUGCAUUAGACCUUAAGACCCUCUUAUAGAACUAUAGUAAUAUGUUUAGCUAUGAGAUCAUCUCCAAAUUGCAACGUGGAUAUUGUAAGGGGGCGUUUGUUUGCCCUUACUAACAUUCAUUGGCUUGGACUGGCUUAAAUAUUAGUGAAACCUGUGUUUGUUACCUUGCAGGUUUAAGUUUAAUGAGACUAGGGAGGACUAGCCUCACCUAAAGACCUCACAAACUGGUCUUAGCGAAAGCCCCGGAUAAGGAUGAGACUAGCUAUGACCACUUCGUCCUGCUCAUCUUUUCCUCAUUGCUCACUUCCUCUCCCUGCUUUAUGAUGUUGUCAUCUUUCUCUUAUCGCCCCAAACUCAGAAUCAUGAAGAGGCCCAGAUUCGAACUUCAAUCGAAGAACCACGAGCACCAUCGUCCGAUUCAUCGAUCAAAUCAAGCUUAUUGAUGUCACCCUCCAUUUAAAUUUCAACACCUCAUGCUACUUUUAGAUUGAGUAAUGUACUUUAUGUUCCACUAAUGAAAUUCAAUUUACUCUCUGCCUACCAAUUCUUGAAAGAUAACUAUUGUUCCUUGACCCUUGAUUCUGAUGGUUCUGAAAUCAAUGAUCGUUUUUCGGGGAUGACGCUUCUUUUAGGGUCAGUUAAAGAUGGGUUUUAUCCCUUUCAAGGUCUCUCCACUGUCACUCAUUCACAUUCUACUCUUAUUAGUACUAAGCAUCAUUGCAGACUUGGCAUAAGAGACUUGGCCAUCCUUUCUCUGCUAUGUUUAGAAAAGUUUUCAAUAAGCAUAAUCUUGUUCACAAUAGUGACAAAUGUGUAUCUUUCUUUUGCACAGAUUGUGCUAUAGGCAAAAAUCAAUAAAUUGUCAUUUUCCUCUAGUACUAAUUGUGUCUCUACUAGUUUAGAGUUAAUUCAUUGUGAUGUUUGGGUUCUAUCUCCAGUCACUUCUGUAAAUGGUUACAAGUUUUAUCUGUUGCUUGUGCAUGAAUUUACCAAAUACACUUAGUUGUUUCCACUGAAAGCUAAGCUUGAGGUCUUCUCUAUAUUGGUAAUCUUCAAAGCUUAUGUAGAAAACAUGGUUGGAAAUAAAAUAAAGAUUUUGAGAUCAGAUUCAGGAGGUAAGUUCACCAGUUUUGCAUUCAAUUAUUUUCUGUCAAGCAAUGGUAUUUCUCAUCAAUAUAGUUGUCUUCACACUCCAGAACAAAAUAGAUGUGUUGAGAAGAAGCAUAUACAUCUUACACAGACUACAAAGACUCUUUUGGUUUCUUCUCUAGUUCCACAAAAAUUCUGGGUUGAAGCAUUUUCUACUGCUCUUUAUCUUAUCAACAGAUUGCCAAUAUCUAGAUUGGACAAAUCUCCAUAGGAAUUACUUUUUAGGAAUUCUCCAGAUUAUUUAAAAUUGAAAGUGUUUGGGUGCAGCUACUAUCUUUGGCUUAAACCAUAUGUUUCUCCAAAAUUGGAAGGGAAAAGCAAGCAUCGUGUCUUUCUUGGUUAUUGCCUUCAGCACAAAGGCUACAAAUGUUUAGAUCUUCAAUCUCAAAGAAUCUACAUUUCUAAACAUGUUCUGUUCAAUGAAGCUAAUUUCCCAUUUUACGAUGCUUAGACGCUUAACUCAUCAUCAAUGCCACACAAUACAUUGCCUAAAUCAUCUCCAGCAUUUAAUCUUCCAUUUCUAAUAUCUCAGAUCACCACAAUAUUACCUGAGAUUUCUCCAACAAUGUCUUCACAACAAGUAGUAUUUCCACCAACAGUACAAUCUGAGCAAUCAUCAUCUCAGUCAUCAACAACAUCUCAGCAAUCAUCUUCUUAGCAACUUAGUCACUCAUUACCUUCACAAUCAAGCAACUCCUCUUAAACUCAGAAACUCAUUACUACCAACUCUCAUCCCAUGAUUACAAGGUCAAAAGUAGGCAUUUUUAAACCAAAAGCUCUCUUUGCAACCAAACAUCCCAUUGACAUUGACAAUUUUGUGCCUACCCUUAUCUGCAAGCAUCCAAGUAUGAUCAUUGGAACCAAGCAAUGUUAUAGGAAUUUUAGGCUCUCAAAAACACAAGUACUUGAACCUUCAUACCAUCCUCUCCACAUCAAUACAUAGUAGGUUGCAAAUGGGUGUUUAAGAUUAAGAGAAGGCCAAAUGGUACAAUUGACAGGUACAAUACCAGACUUGUGGCCAAAGGGUUUUACUAGCAAGAAGGUACUGAUUUCCAAGAGACUUUUAGUCCUGCUGUAAAACCAGUGACCAUUCGAAUUCUAUUAACUCUUGCUAUUCAAAAUGAUUGGUUCCUUAAUCGGUUGGUUAUUAGCAAUGCGUUUCUUCUUGUACAUUAAAAGAAAAUGUGUUUAUGCAACAGCCUUCUGGAUUUAUUAAUGUUUCUCAACCUUCAUUUAUUUGCAAGCUAAAUAAGCCUCUAAUAUGGCUUGAAACAAGCCUAUUGGGUUUGGUAUGAAAAACUUGGUCAUACAUUACUUUUUCUUGGAUUUACCAAUUCCCAAUCAGCUUGUUCAUUGUUUGUGCAGACUUAUCCUUCUCUUGUGAUAGUAUUGGUCUAUGUUGAUGAAAUCCUAGUCACUGGCCCCAAAUGCAUCUCAUUGUCAACCUUUUAUUCAAAAGCUCAGUUCUUUGUUUCCUGUCAAAGACCUAGAGCCCUUGCAAUAUUUUCUUGGCUUGGAGGUUCACAGAUCCCCUUAAGGUAUUUUUCUAUCAUGGGUAAUAUGCCUUAGAGAUUUUGGUAAAGAUAAAAAUGGAAGGCUAUAAACCUUGUGCCACUCCUCUUGGUACUGAUAAUUUGGAUCACAUUAGAGUUUUGUUGUCAAAUCCAAAGGAAUACAUGUUCAUAGUUUGAGCUCUCUAAUACUUAACAUGGACAAGGCCAUAUAUCUAUUUUGCAGCGAACCAAGUCUGUCAAUAUCUUCACUGUUCAAGGGACAUUCGAUUUCAAGCAGUUAAACGAAUUCUAAGGUUUCUCAAAGGUUCAAUUGAUCAGGUAUUGUGGUUUAGAAAAUGUUCCAUGAAUCGUACAACCUUCUCAGAUGUUGAUUGGGCUGUUAUGUAUUUGAUAGAAGAAUAACAUCUGGCUAUUGUGUUUACUUAGGCAUCAACCUUAUCAGUUGGAGUGCCAAAAAGCAGCCCACUCUUGCCAGAUCUUCAACAUAAGUUGAGUACAAAUCUCUAGCUCUUAAUGCUGCAAAAAUAACAUGGAUUUGUAAGAUUUUCAAGGAUUUUUUUUUAUUUAGAAAACCUCGACGGUACAAGGAUAAUUUUAUUGAUAUAAAAAAAGGAUACACCUAGUCAAGAGGACAUAAACCUAACCCUUCAUAAUACAAGGAAAAAAAUGAUAAAAAAAAAUACAUGAAAAGAAUGGGGGACAUAGACCUUACCCUUCUAGAAACAAAAUCAACAAAGAUUUUCAAGGAUAUUACUUUCCCUCUCACUCAUGCUCCUACAUUGUGGUGUAAGGAUGGAAAUUCUAACCAUUAAACCUGAUAACCGUGGAUAACCACUCAAAUAGAUUGGAUUUGGGUAUGAAAAUUCGGGUAUAUUUUGGGUAUGGGGAAAAACCGUGAUUAUUAUUCGGUUAUGGUUUUGGAUAUGGUUAUAGGGGUCCCCAAUCCGUAUACAUCCCCCCAUCCGGACCGAAUAAUAUAUAUUAUAUAUAAUAUUAAAGUAUUAUAUAUAUAAAUAUAUAUAUAUAUAUAUAAAGUUUUAAUAUGGAUCAAAAUCUAUGAGAAUUCAAUGGUACUUAUGGGAGAUAUCAAAUAUCAAACCAACAUUAUCAACGUUUAGCUUUAAUUUUUAUGUUUCACAAGAUCCAUUCAUUAAAUCAUUUUAUACAUCAAAUAUUUAAUGACAAAAAUAAUAUUUACUAAACUAUCAUGUGUCAAUUGAAUGAAUAUAUUUUUUUUAUUGACGAAGAUGGAUAUAACCGUUAACCGAUGGGGAAUCCGUUACCCGGUGAAUAUGGUUAUGGAUAAUACUCGAUGGUUAAUUUGCGGUUAUGAAUAUGGUUAGUUUUCGUGGUUAUGGGGAUGGAUAUAGCAUUUCCAUCCCCAAACCGAACCGUCGCCAUCCCUAUUGUGGUAUGACAAUGAUUCUGCCAUUUCUUUGGCUUCAAAUCCUGUGUUUCAUGCGCGUACAAAACAUGUGGAAAUCGAUUACCAUUAUAUUAGGGAGCUAGUUCUUGCAAAUUUGGUAAAACUUCUGUAUGUCAACAUCGAGCACCAAAUUGCAGACAUUCAUACCAAAUCUCUAUCAAAGACAUUCAUAUAACGAUAUUUCGCGAGUAUUCCUUUAAUUAUCGUUAUAAUAUCGCGAAAAUAUCGAUAUUAUCGCGAUAUUAUAAAUAAUAUCGCGAAAACCUAAAAAUAUUUGAAAAUUUCUGAAAAGUCUCAAACAUGCACAUAAAGGGAUUCGAACUCCUCCCAUCUAACUCCUUCAGCGGCUUGACCACUAUACCACUUACGUUUUUGUGAAAACAUGCUAAACUAUUUAUAUAUAUGGUUUUAUUUUGAAUUCUUUUUGCAAGAAACAAAUUUGCACAUAUUCCAAAUUUUUUGUGGUAUUAUAUUUUAAAUUGUGUCAAUUAAUUACUUAGUCAAUGGCAUGUGGUUUUUAAUUUUUCUAUUUUUUAUUUGGUCACUUACAUGUAUGGUUGGAAAAAAUUCCCAAAAAUCCCAAACCAAACCGAAAAAGUCCCAAACCAAAACCAUCCCGAAAAAUACCGAAAUUUUCGAUAUGGGAUUGGUUUCCAAAUCCCAUUUGUUUGGUAAUCCCGAAAUCCCGAAAAAUACCGAAGUAUUCGGUUUCCUAUUGACUUUUGGGUUUCGGUUCUUGAAAGCCAUUGUCAUGGUUGCUGACUACUCUUCACAAUACACUUACUCUACACAUAGAGAUGAUGAAGAUAGUGAAAAUUUUGAACCUCAUAGGAACUCUAUGUGGUACUUAGUCACUCAUGUAUCUUACCAUGCAAUGUAUAAAGUGUAAAAUAUUGUACUAAUUCAUUAUAUAUAAAUGAUUAUGGUGUGUUUAAACUUCUUUCAUUAAUUACUACAUAUUUUCUACACUCACAAUGUUUGACAGCUCGCUAUAUAAUCAACUUAAAUCAGUUAAAUCCAUCAUGCAAUGCAUUUCAUUCCAAUUUUUUGUGAUAAACUAAUAGAUAAUUGACUAAAUAAACAUCCUGCAAAGUUUCAAUAAAAAUUUCCAAGUUUUUCUUACAAUUUCCGUGGUUUCCAUGUAAUUUUUAUCGAUAUCGAUAUUAUCCCGAUAUUUCCAUCGAUAUUUCCGUGUUUUCGGACUACCGAUAUUUCCGAUAUUACCGAUAUUUUCUUCCUUGCAAGUAUCUUUAGUCCAAGCUUUCUCUGAGUUCCCCCUUCAAUUAGCUUGAGGGGGUGUAAAAGGAUAACUCAUAGCUAACAAUGUGUACAACUGUAUUUUAGUUGUAACUGUUUUGUACCUAAUCUUUAUUUGUUAUAGAUUUAAUUAAGUGCAAUUAGUCACUAAGCUUUAUUAGGAAAAUGUAUAUAUACUAAGGUGUAUUUCUUAAACAUUAAGAAAGAAAAUAAUACAAGGCUUCUUUCUUUACAGGAAUGCUAACCAACUUGUGUUGUUGAAUUAGUGAGCGGGAGUGCAUCAAUUCAAAUUCCUCAUUUUGAGAUUGCUGGCUUGGAGAGUCAUUUGACAUGGAUUGCUGACAUGGAGAACCAUCUUGAUUAUUAGGUUUAUCAAAGAUUACAAAGACCUAUAAAUAGGAAGGCAGUGACGCAGAUGGAAUAAGCAGCAAAGCUGAACCAGAAAGGAAAUGGUAUGAACCAGAAAGGAAAUGGUAUGGUGAUAGAUAUAAAGAAGGCAGUGACUCCAAAGAAGAGACCGAAACAAUGGAAAAGGCAGGGGAUCCAUAUUCCGGUGGGACAGUAGCUGAAGUGAACAAACUUGCUUACCAAGGUACAAGUAAAGGCAAGCAAGAGUGUGAGUCCAAGACAAUAAAAAGUUUUAGGGAGUUUGGAGUCAUAAGUUAGGCGGGAAGGAAUGCUGGUCCAGUUACAACUGUGAAGAAAACACCACAAUUAUUUUUGACCAAUUUAAAGUUGUUGUUGCCACGCUGACGGUCUAAUAAUAUUUCUCUCUAUUUAUAAGUGAAAUGUCUUGGACCCGACUUGUAUGAAUACAAAUUUGAUACUAAAUUAGGCCUCAUGUCUCCCUCAAAUAAUUCAUUAAUAGUGUUCUAGAAAUGCAUUUGUAAAAAUGAAAUAUAAAGUUUCUAUGUACUUUAAAGCUUCGAGUUCGAACAUAUAAUUUUUCUACAUGGAGAAGGAAGAAGGAGAGACUCGGUAGUCGAUAGAGUGAGAUAUGAUGAAUUGAUGUGGAUGAAUAACUUAUACAAUGAACGGGUUUUGGGGCAUUUGUUGUAAAAUAUAAACUUAGAAUAAUGCUAUUUGUAUCACAUUUUUUUGACAAUCUUAUUGACCACUUUUAAUUAAUAAAUUGGUCCCAAGUUUAGUUUCCUAAGGAUUUGUUUGUUUGGGCUCAUCUUUGUCAUAGCAACUUAGGUUGGGCUUGGAUUUUUAUUGGGUUUACUUAGCCAUGCGAGCUCAUAGUGAGCUCCGAGUGGAUUGUAAUUUCCUGAGGUAUUCUCUUCAUGUUCCAAGAAUUCAAAUUUGAAUUCAGGGGUUUUGCAUCACCUUUUGGUAAUGGAAAUAGAAUACCCUAUUACUUGGAAAGUCGCUCUACCAUGGUACUAGAUGAUUUUCCAAGCGAAAAGCGUGCAUAUGAUCAACUAAAGUAAAACUAUACAUGCAUGCCGUCAAUAAGAUCGAAAUAAAAUUCCAAUUUUAGAGCUAGGCUCUUGAAACGGAUAAAAAAUGUAAUGCAGAGGACUAUGUCUGAUUCAAAAAUGAUUAGUUGAAAAAGAUCGUUUUUAUAUGUUCAGUUUGAAGAGAGUCUAAAACUAACAGAGUUUCGUGUAAGUGUUUCUUUUGGUCGUGUACUAGUCGUUGCCCACUAACUAACGAGAAGAUGAGACGUACCAAAUUAAUUUACUGGAUUAGAUGAAACAUAGCAGUAGUGAGGCUGCAGACAACUAUACUCCAAAUAUAACUAGAAACAGUUUGACAUUGAAACCUACCACAAAUAUGAGAUCCCCAUUCUGAGGAAUAAAUAGUUGUAUAUACAGUACUGCAGGCCACUAGUCAGGAUAUGUAUAAACAUCAUGGUUACAUGAGAGUUCUUUCGCGUCACACAAUAUUAUUCAUGCAUGCUUGAUCAUCAAUGGUACUAGUACCGCUUCGGCAUGAUUCUACCACAGGAUCAAUGGUGUUUUUAGAAGCUGAAUUCUUUGGGGUACCAUGAGGCUUGUAAUAUUUAUUGAAGUGAAAAUUACAUAGAACAAUAAGUAGGAAGGCGGCGACAUAGAUAGAAUAGACAACACAUUUGAACCACAAGGGAAAUGGGAUGGUGAUGGAUAUGAAGAAGGCUGUGACUCCAAAUAAGAGGCCAAAAUUAUGGAAAAGUAGGGGGAUUGAUAUUCCGGCGGGACAGUAGUUAAAAUGAACAAACUUGCUUACCAAGAUACAAGUGAAGGCAAGCAAGACUGAUACUCCAAGAAAGUAAAAGAUUACAGGGAGGUGGCCAGAGUGAAUUUGAACGGGAAGAAGCGCUAGCCCAAUCACUGUUGUCAAGCAAAACAUGAUGAUCAUGUUUGACCAAUCUAAGUUGUUGUUGUAGUACUUACAAUUAGUCUUGUCUGCAAACUGUUGCAUUGCAACUUCUAGAUCUUGUUCGCAGUCGCGAUUAUGAUCAUCCGGACUAAUUAUAAAAACUUUGAUGAUUAACUCUGGCCGGAGGGAAUUUGGACGGGGAGAAGCGCUAGUCCAAUGGCCGAUGUCAAGCAAAACAUGAUGAUUAACUCUGGCCAAUCUACGUUGUUGUGGUACUUAUAGUUAGUCCUCCUAUCUGCAACGUGAUGCACCGCGGCUUCUAGGUCUUGAUCGCGAUCGCGAUCAUGAUUAUCUGGACUAAUUAUAAGAACUCUGAGUAGAUGGAUUGCCCUUGCAAUAAGUGCAAGGAGAAAAGGCUUUAGGAACUUAUCAUAAGAAUUAUUAACAACACACUUCAUUUUUAUUCUGCAGAAGAGAGGGAGAGAGAUACAGAGAUACUGAGAAUGGUUAGAGAUGUUGAUUUAUAUAUUAUAAGGAGGGAAGAAUGAAGGAGAGAGAAAGAUUGUCAGUCUAGCUGAGGGAACUUCCUCGUAAUUUAAUAUGAAAAUUAGGUCAGAAAGAAGGAAAAGUAAAAUUAAUUAUAGCUAGCAACAUUCGCUCACAUGUUCGUGGAUGUGAUUGUGAGCCAUCGAUAUACGAAAAUGAUUUAUGCACACCCUUCUAUUUUUGCAGCCGUUGGAUUGGACAUAUAACGGAGGAUGAAAGGGCAAUAUUAAAAAAUAAUGUGCAGAAGAUAAAUAAGGAUGUGCAUCGAUUGACCAUUCUAGCAUCCCUCAAAAUAUUAUCAAAUACACACCUUUUUCAUUAAUUUUGUUCUAAACUACCGUGAGAGAAAUUCAAACUCAAUCAGUACACAUAGAAACAUUGUUUUAGCCAACUUGACUUACCACGCUUGGGUUUGUUACAAAAGAGUUUAUAUAAGUAUCUGACUGCGCAGAGAAGGAUUCCGAGUCUUGAGGCUGCUUAAAUAUGUGCUAGAUAAUAAUGAGCCAACAGCUUCUGGGUUCACAAAUAACAACUCGACUUGUUUUCUUUCUUAUGAGGACGACAACAAUGGGAAUGUCAAACUUUAGGGGACUUGUAUAUCAAACUUUUCUGCAGACUCCAUAGUAAUAUUAGGCUUAGUUGCCAAAAAGUAAUUUUCCUUCAAUGGUCCGGGUUAUUCUAUAGUAUGAGAAAUGAAUGAUUAUGAUUAAAUUGAGAAAAUAACCUUUUUACUUGUCAAUUUAAUAAAUAAAUAACUCCUCCGUGCUUUUUAAAUUCAAAUUUUGCCUCUUCAUAAAUUAUUAUAAUAAUUUCGAGAUCUUACUCUUAUAAUGGUAAAAAAAAUUUAGAAACAAAUUUAAAAUAUAAAACUCGAAGACUUUACUCACCUAAAAAGUAACAUUAAGUUAUUAUUAUUUGUAUCUUUAUGUUUUCUAAUUAUAUAAUAGGACUAAUUAGAUUAUUAGUCCAUGUAGUGAUAGAGUAGUCCAAAGAUUGUCCAUGUGGAAAAGAAAUUAAGAUUUAAACCUUUGUGGUGAAGUUUGUUAGGAUUUAGGCCCAAAAUUAAUAAUUCCGUCAACUCUUUGUCAAUUAUUAACACGUGAGUCAUACAUAUGAGGCUAAAACGAAACUUUUUGUUAAUGUUAGCAUGUGAAGCUAAUUUUAUCUUUUUAACCUCACAUGUGAGCCUCAUGUACUAACAAUUUACAGAAAGUUGAUGAAAUUUUUUGGGCCAAAAUCCUAACAAAUUUCACCAUAUGAACUUAAAAUCUAAAUUUUUCACCAAAUGAGCAAUUUUCGGACCACUCUAUUAACACGAGACUAUUAAUCCAAUUAAGCCUAUAUAAUAAUAAGAUAGUAUUUCGACUUUGGAUUUUUGUGCUGACAUCUUUUCAAGGCACGCGGAUUUUAUAUAAUAACGAGUACUACAAAGUUAGAUGAUUUUAUCUUCAUGUCUCCUUCUACCAAUUUUUCAUAAAGCAAUCCAUCCACCAGUCUAGUUGGUAUAUUUCUAGUUUAGAAGGGUCACAUCUUCGUAUAAAGCCUUCAAAUCUGAGAGAUGACUCUGUUAAUAGUUAAUGAAUAGGGCUUCACACAAUAAAUUAUUAAUGGUAAACAAUAAACACCUAAUAAACUAUUAUUAAUAUUAAGGACAAAACAAAACAUGAAAAAAAUAGUGACAUUUUCAUAAACAAGUUGAAGUUUGAAAAGAAAACUCCAUCAAAUCGGCGUGAAAUGCUAAAGUUUAGCUUCAACGUUCAAUUUUUCAGUUGAAGUAGUAGUCUUUUUGCCUAAAGAGAGUUUAAAUGACAAUUUAUCCUGGUUGAUCCCACCUAUUUCUACUUUUGUAAAUAAAUUGAAGUUUCGUGACAAUAACUUAAAUAAGUUGAAGUGUCUUUUCAUCAGUAUCAAAAUGUCGUUUUCUUGUCUUUUAUUCGUUUUCCUAUUACUUUAAAUCAGAAACAAUUUGAUAUCACAUAAAAAGUUAAAUCAUAAACAAUUUGAUGUUACAUAUUUUAUAGGAAAUGGCUUCUUUCUUUUUUUUUUUUUUACUACGAUAAAAAGUUUAUUAAAUUCAUAGCAUUCACCAAUUACAUAGAAUAAUCUAAAGUUACACAUCCGAAUCAACCACUUAGACCCACCACAAAGUGGAUGUGCCAAAGGUACUUUUAUGGGAUAUGGCUUUGCAAAGCCUCAAAUGGAUUAGUUAAUCAGUAAAUGUCUAAGAAACUUAGUGCCUUGAUCGAAAUUAAAACACUUGGUGCUUGAAAAGUUCAAGUCUAGGAAAAUAUGAAAGGUCAAUAACAAUAAUUAGCUACUCAAGUAUGAGUAUAAACUUCUACAAAAAAACAUUCGUGUUUAAUUCAUAAAUGUCGUGCUUAUAAUAAGAAACUGUUCAUAUUAUAAAUCGUUAGGUAAAUAUUGUCUCUGCAGAAAAUGAAUUAAACAUAAUGUUGUUUAGUCAAUCAACUAUAGCAAAUAGAUAGACGAUUCGUAAUGCCUUUAUCAUUUUUGUCCAUUUGUUAGUGAUUUAUAAUAUGAACAGUUUUGAUCAAAAAUACGAAGUCUUAUGAAUUAGAAACAAAGAAAUUUUGAGUAAAAACUCAUACUCACCCUUUGAGCAGCUAAAUAUUAUUCGCGUCACAAAUAUACCAUGUAGAGCAAGAGAGAGAGAGAGUUUCUUGAACAUAGCCAUGUAUAUUUCUUGAACCAAAAAAAAAAAAAAAAAGGUGUACAAAUUAUGGUAGGAUUGCGUUUAGACCCUAAAACCCUUUUAUAGAACUAUAGUAAUAUGUUUAGCUAUGAGAUGGUGAUGGAUAUGAAGAAGGCAGUGACUCCAAAGAAGUGACUGAAACAAUGGAAAAGCGGGGGAUCCAUGUUCCGGUAUGACAUUUUGUGAAGUGAACAAACUUGCUUACCAAGACACAAGUAAAGGCAAUCAAGAGAGAGUCCAAGACAAUGAAAGGUUUUAGGGAGGCUGGAUUCAUAAGCUGGGCCGGUAGAAGUGCUGGUCCAAUUGCAGCUAUGAAGAAAAACAUAUAAUUUACGGUCUAGUGAUAUUUCUUUUUAUUUAUAAGUUAGAUGUCUUAGGUUCGAUUUGUAAGAAUGGCAAGUUUGAUACUAAAUUAAGCUUCAUGUCUCCCUCGAAUAAUUCAUUAAUUGUGUUCUUGAAAUGCAGCUAUGAAGAAAAACAUAUAAUUUACGGCCUAGUGAUAUUUCUCUUUAUUUAUAAGUUAGAUGUCUUAGGUUCGAUUUGUAAGAAUGACAAGUUUGAUACUAAAUUAAGCUUCAUGUCUCCCUCGAAUAAUUCAUUAAUAGUGUUCUUGAAAUGCAUUUUUUAAAAUUAAGUAUAAAGUUCCUAUUUAGUUUAAAGUUUAUGGUUUAAACAUAUAAUUUUUCUGCAUGGAGAAGGAAGCGGGAGAGACUCGAUAGUCCAUAGAGUGAGAUAUGAUGAAUUGAUAUGGAUAAAUAACUUAUAUAAUGAACCUACUUGUUCUAAUAUGUAAACACAAAACAAUACUAUUUGUAUCACAUUUUCUGACAAUCUCAUUGACCGCUUUUAAUUAAUAAAUUGGUCUCAAGUCUAGUUUCCUAAGAAUUUGUUUGUUUGGGCUCAUCUUUGUUGUAAUAACUUAAUUGGGCUUAAGAGUUUUAUUGGGUUUACCUAGCCGUGCGAGCUCAUAGUGAGCACCGAGCCUCCGAGUGGAUUGUAAUUUCCCGAGGAAUUCUCUUCUUAUUCUAAGAAUUCAAUUUAUCUAGAGGAUUAAACUUCUAAACUGUAAAGAAAAAGGGUUAAUGUUUUUCAUGUGUUGAUAAAAUGUUGGCUAGUAUUAGGGACAAAUUAGAGGUCUGUAUUUUUUAUAACACGUUCUGAUUUUGAUUCAUGAUACUGAUGAAUUAUACGAUGAUGGUUAAAGAAGAUUGAAAUGUCUUUGUGAUUCCACCUAACGUAAAGAUAAAUUAUUAUGACAAAGCCAUGUAUUUUUCUUCAUCCACUGCAUCCUGAAUUCAAUCCACUUCCCAUUUGAUAACCUUUGAAUUUCAAAAUUUUAACUAGGGUUGGUUAACAAUUUGUUUGUUUUGGGCAACAUUUGUUAGAUAAUCUUUGUAUUUAUUUGACGGAUGCCCCGAUUUGUUAUGGCAAAAGCAGCCACGCGGUCCACGCCCAAAAACCCUUCCCUCUCUCAUUUGGUCUUCGUCUGUUUUCCCGCAUCAUCCAACAGGUGGACUCGGCGCCUCUCUCUCUCUCCCCCCUCUUCGCCCUCUCCACCAAACCCUAACCCCCCAAAUUCCAACCUUCCACCAUUCAAUCCAACCCAAAUCCCCCCAAUCGGACCCCUACCCGACCCAGUUCACCUCCGAUUGCCUCCAAUUCCACUCCGCCCCGACCCAUUUCUUCAAAAUUCCAGCCAUGCCCAAGACUCCCGAAGCUUUGCGGGAUUAAUAAUAUAAUGAUCGAAUCGUUGAGGCACCGUACGAAUUCAUUUUAUGGGUUUGAGCAAUGCCGGAGCUUCGCAGAGGAGUACGCCGAGGCCGCGCUAGGGUAGCAAGCAAGCCCUCCGACCUACCGCCGCGGUCGCGGAGGACCCGUGCCACCGUCGCCCGAGAAGCCGCCGCCGAGGCCGUGGUGAGGCCCAGGACGAGGUUGGCUGUGAGGAAAUUGAAAGAAGAGGAGAAGCAGGAGCCGGAUCCGGAGGAAGACCCUGUGAUUGUGAUAUCCGUGAAAGACUCCGAUUCGGAGGGCAGUAAGGAAGAAGAAGAAGUCGAGGAAGAUAAGAAAGCUGUGAUGGCUGACGAUAGUGGUGGCCUGAGUGCUAAUAAGGCUGCUGGGCAAGAAGAAGAGGGCAGUACUGCCCCUUUCCCCGAAAAGGUAGCCAAUUUUUUCUUGCUAUUUCGAUGCAUUCGGUUGCGUUUUCCCUUUUAAGUUGGGGACUUGGAUGGUAUUGCUGCUGACGAAUGUGUUUUCUUUUCUAAUUGUUGCUCUUUGAUUGUUCAACUAUUGGUAGUCAACUUUAUUCAUCGGUUUUGGAAGCAUUUGUUAUGUUUAGUUGAUGUUCUUGUGACAAUUUGAUCCUAAGCAGCCAGUUUCCUUAUGGGGACCAGUAAAGAAAGAUUUUUUUUCAGUGUGAGGGUCGCACACGGUGCUACAAAUCCGUUCAUGUCUAAUCUAACACACGAAUUAGUAACAUCACUUGCCCGUGUGGCAGUCGUACUCAAAAUUUUCUCCGAGUAAAGUGGACGUCUUUAGUUUAAUACUUGUUUGCUAUGUUUGGCGCAUGCACCGGAUUGGGUUAACUUGGUGUUCUUUAAACUGUUGUAACCUAAUGAUCGAUUUGUUUGUAAUAGUUUAAAAGUUCAUAAUAAAGAGAAAGAGAUUUGGUGUCAACUUUAUUAUGUGUAGUAAUUUGGUGAUUUGUAUUCUGCUUUUCAAGGUUCAAGUAGGAGGGUCACCACUCUAUAAGGUAGAGAGGAAGCUGGGGAAAGGUGGCUUUGGUCAAGUGUUUGUUGGCCGUCGUGUUACGGGUGGAGUUGAUCGUCUAAGUGGUGCUGGUGCUAUUGAGGUAAGUUCCAAAUUUUCUUAUGUAGAAAGAAGGCUGCAUGGUAUAAAAUUGAUUAUCUCGUUAAUUAAUCAGUAAUUGUCCUCAUGGAUUUAUUUCUGACUUUUUUUAUCAGGUAGCACUUAAAUUCGAGCACAGAAAUAGCAAAGGAUGUACUUAUGGUCCUCCAUAUGAGUGGCAAGUUUACAAGUGAGUCUUUUUCUUUGUAUUAGAUUUUCAGUUUUUCCUUUGUUCUUUCUCAGGGUGAUGUGGUUAGGUUCAUUAAAGUAUAUUACAUAUAGACACACUUACACCUUUGUUUAUUAAUUGGUCAUUUCUUAUUGUUGAACAGUACCCUUGGUGGUAGUCAUGGAGUGCCAAAAGUACAUUAUAAAGGAAAGCAAGGAGACUAUUAUGUUAUGGUAUGAACUGUCGUAUCUUUUGUAUCAUUCCCUUUCCAAUAACUGGUUGAAUUUCUUGUUUCCUUGUACCAAAUACGUUUCUUAUUCUGUAUAAGCAGGUUAUGGACAUGCUAGGGCCUAGUUUAUGGGAUGUAUGGAAUUCUUCAGGGCAAGCGUGAGUAUUUAAGAUUAUUAUCCCUUUUUAUCCAAACAUUAUUCAUUAUGUUAUCCAUUCAUUUACUGUUCUCUUUAAAUCCAAAAGCUGAAUAUGCCAUUCGGCUGGAAAUUCCAGUUUUAAAUGUUUUUUUCCUUGUAUUUUGUGGGGUCUGCAUGGAGGCAAAUCUAUUUUGAGCCAUGCUUUAAGGAUUACCCUAAAGUUAACUUUAAGAUACUAGGGAAAUAGAAAGCAUGAGUUAUGUGAAGGUUUAUGGCUUUUGAUGUGGUCUGUGGGUAUCUAUUCUUAACUGAUUUUGACUUUACGUGGAAGAGCACGUGCAUGUUCUUCUAACUUUUGACUUCAGCUUUUGAAAGAUUUAUUCUUAUAUUUUGCUGUUUAUGUUUGAAUGAACACAGGAUGUCUGCAGAAAUGGUAGCUUGUAUAGCUGUCGAGUCUUUAUCAAUUCUAGAGAAGAUGCACUCAAGAGGGUAUGUGAAUGCAGUUGCUGUCAAUUUUAUUCACUUACUGGUGUUUGUUGUCCCAGUCGUUUGGCUUACUAUGAACACUUUUUCCUCAAUCCUCUUGUUUUAAGAGGGAGAAUUCCUUAUUAGAUUUCUAACUCAUGACUUGUUGACAUUAGCUAUGUGCAUGGAGAUGUAAAGCCCGAAAAUUUUUUACUUGGUCAGCCAUCUACAGCUCAAGAGAAGAAGUUGUUUCUUGUUGACCUUGGACUAGGUGUGUAAAUUUACUUCAUCUAUGGCUUGUCUCCAGUUAUUUCAUUUACUUCCAUUUCUUAUGCCUUCAUCACCUGAUUUUGCAGCGACAAAGUGGAAAGACACUAGUGGGGGGCAUGUUGAUUAUGAUCAACGUCCUGAUAUGUUUAGGUACGCUAAUAUCUGCAUGUUUUGGGCUAUAGUUUUCACUAUAAUACUUCUAUCUGUGGCCUUAAAUCCUUUCUAUGAUGCACCUCCAGGGGAACUGUGCGAUAUGCUAGUGUUCAUGCUCAUCUGGGAAGAACUGCUAGCAGAAGAGAUGAUCUUGAAUCUCUUGCUUAUACACUUAUUUUUCUCCACCGAGGCAGGUUACCAUGGCAAGGCUAUCAGGUACAUAAUAUGGAUUAAGUUCAGAGUCUGAUUUACUUCUUUUAAUUGUGUUUUUAUCUGAUCUAUACUUGCUCCUGUUUCAGGGUGAUAACAAAUCUUUCCUAGUUUGCAAAAAAAAGAUGGCAACAUCUCCUGAAAUGCUGUGCUGCUUCUGCCCCCCACCUCUAAGACAAUUUCUUGAGGUCGUGGUGAACAUGAAAUUUGAUGAAGAGCCUAACUAUUCGAAGUUAAUCUCGUUGUUUGAGGGUUUGAUAGGAUCAAAUCCUGCUGUAAGGCCAAUCAAAACUGAUGGUGCUCAAAAGGUUACUUUAGUGAUACUGUAAUCUAUAGAGUUCUUUUUUUUGUUUGUCCACUGGGAUUCUAAAUUUUUUUAUUAUGAACCUUUUCAGAUUAUCAGUCAGGUUGGCCAGAAACGGGGUAGAUUGAAUAUUGAGGAAGAUGAUGAUGGGCAGCCUAGGAAGAAGGUUCGGCUAGGAGUACCUGCCACCCAAUGGAUUUCAAUUUACAAUGCUAGGAUGCCGAUGAAACAGAGGUAGAAACUCAUUUGCAACGUUGUACCCUUCUUCUAAUGUUGUACUUUUUUCCUCUCUGUUGAUAGAUAGUGUCGUUUCAUUCUUCCUUGCAUAUUAACAGCAUCUUUGAUCCAAAAUUAAAAAGGAGAGAACGAUUAGAAUAUAAGAAUUCCUGACUGCAUUUUUUCUCAUGGCUUGCUUAUCUUUUAUUACUAGGUAUCAUUACAAUGUCGCUGAUGCGAGGUUGGCACAACAUGUGGAGAGAGGGAUUGCAGAUGGUCUGCUUAUAAGUUGUGUGUCAUCUUGUUCUAAUCUCUGGGCACUUAUUAUGGACGCUGGAACCGGUUUUACAAACCAAGUUUAUGAGCUCUCCCCCUUCUUCUUGCACAAGGUGGAUUGUAUUUCCGUGCGUGUUUAUAUUGGUAUAAGAUAUUGUACUAAAAAACCUGACAGACUUCUUGUUCCAAUUGGACAGGAAUGGAUCAUGGAACAAUGGGAGAAGAAUUAUUACAUUAGUUCUAUUGCCGGUGCUAACAAUGGAAGUUCCCUUGUAGUGAUGUCCAAAGGUAUGUUGCUUUAGUGAUUUGUUGGGCAUUGAUCUAUGAAGUCCAAUUUUGUCAAUUAAUAAAUCUGCAUGAUGCAUUUGUGUUUGUAUUCGACACUGAUGUAUUUGUAUUGGACAUUCAUGUUUUGAGUUUCUUGACAGAGGUUAAUGAGUCAUGUUUUCUUCUUAUGAAAGGGGAUCUUGUCAUUUUGUAAUCUGAAAUUAGUAGACAGCAUUUGUACUUGCAAAUUUGAAAAUCCACAUCAGUUUAAUUCACUUUCAGUCACUAAAUUAUUCAACUGUAACCAUGAUGGUGCAGGUACCCAGUAUACGCAACAGUCUUACAAAGUCAGUGAUUCUUUCCCCUUCAAGUGGAUAAAUAAGAAGUGGAGAGAAGGAUUUCAUGUGACCUCAAUGGCAACUGCUGGGAGCCGGUGGGGUGUUGUUAUGUCUCGCAAUGCGGGCUUCAGUGAUCAGGUGAGCUGUGCCCAGUUUAUCAUCAAUAUCAUCUGUUUAGGGUGGAUGUAGGCCAUUUAUGGAGCAUCCAACCUUUUGACCCGAGUUUAAAGCGAGUGGAUCCUGAUUAUGGCAAAGAGAUAUGCUAACUUCAUAUGCACUAAUGUGUGAUCAGUAGCAUUUCAUGAAAGCUAAUACAUGUGACUUUGCACUUAUUUCUGUUUUCUGGUUUUCCGCUUGGUGUCGCACCUCUCAUUUGCCAUUUUGUUUUCAUAGGUUGUGGAGCUUGAUUUUCUCUAUCCGAGUGAAGGCAUCCACAGACGUUGGGACAAUGGUUUCCGCAUAACAUCGACAGCCGCAACUUGGGAUCAAGCAGCUCUUAUCUUGAGUGUUCCAAAGCGCAAACCUGGUGACGAAACUCAGGAGACGCUGCGCACGUCUCAAUUCCCAAGCACACAUGUGAAGGUAUGAAAUAAACGGUUAAAUUUAUUUUUUUCUAGUCACAGAACAAUAGUAGAUUAUUGAUAUCCUCACUAAAUUAUCUUCUUAUAAACAGGAAAAAUGGGCGAAGAAUCUGUAUCUCGCUUGUUUGUGUUACGGGCGCACUGUAUCUUGAUUCCUGUGUAAUCAUCAGGAACUUGUAAGUCGAUAUUUGUAGACGACUUUGUUUUUCGUUCUCCCUCUCGUGGUCCAAUAUGAUUUGUAAGAAGAAUUGAUUGUACGAGAGGAGUUAGCUGCAGCAGCACAAAUUCUGUUGUAUGUUAAAAUGUUUUAUGAGCCGUAUAGUUGGCUUUUGCUUCGGAGUUCUCUAUGAAGUUAAAUGCAAGAUGUACACUCUUUGGUAAGUAAAUUGUAAGCAAGCAUAUGUGAUUAGGGCUUGUUGCGAUUUGUUUGGUUCGGUUUAGGCCUUUAAUUAACUGCGUCGAUUGGUUUGGUUUAGACCUCAAGCUGGUAGCAAAACUAAACGAAUGGAAUCCUGUUUAGUUACCGGUUUGAUUCGGUUGUUUCAGUUCAUAAGCUGCACAACGAACUCACGGUUUGGAUCGCUUUGGUUUAGACCCCAAACUGGUAGCGUAGCUAAAAACCGGGCAAGUCAUAUUUCUGGACUCGGAAACCGAACAUAACCGAAUUGAUUUGAGUUUGGUUUGAUGUGGUUCAAAAUUGCUCUCUAGUAAAAAUCAGAUCUAAUCGCUCAAAUUUGUUUGGUUUAGUUGGUUUGAACAAUUCAGUCGCUUUUCCAUACUUUUUCGGGCUAGUAGAGGGAUGCAUGCAUGAUUUAGUGAUCUUUUAUUUGACAAAUUCUGAUGAUGAACAAAUCUUAUAAAAAAAUUUGACCAAAGAAAAAAAAAAUUCUUGUUAAUUGAGCUAGAAAAAAGAAAGAAAAACAACCCCUUGGAAAAUGUGGUUGGAGAAAAAUAAAAAUAAAUUAACUGGAACAAUGGUCUCUUAACUUUAGUUUAAUUAGAGCUUUGGUCCAUGAACUUGUAAUAAUAUGGAGCAAAGUUCUUUUGGCUAACUUCGUUAGAACUUCUAUUCAUUUUUUGCGCCUUUAACCCCUCUAUUUUGAAUGGAAAUCUUAACGUAGUGAAAAUAACCAUUGCUUCACAUCAUACCAAGUUAGAGACCAACAUCCAUGAAUUUUUAGUUCAAAAACCAAAACUCCAAUUAGACCAAAUUUCAGGACUAUUGCUUCAGUUUUCUCAUGCGUUAAUAUCUAGGGAGGGACAAAAAUAGAAAGCCUGAAGGAGGAGGAUGUAGGGUCCCACCCAGUCGCGCUGUGUUAGUACAGUACUGAUGUACUUUUAUAAAAAGUAGGUAUAAAAAAAUGAGUUCAAAAAAGUGUUUGGUACACACUUAAAAACAACUUAUUUUCAUAGUUUUUAGUGAAAAAAAUGCUGAAAACGUGAAGCAACAAAAAUAAGCUUAUUCUCACAACACAAUAGAAGUAAUUUUUAUUUAAAGCAUAGCAAUACCAAACCAUCCCUCCGUAUGCAAAGAGAUCGAGAGAGAGGAUGGAUGAUAGACAUGAAGUGUCCCGCUAAGACCACAUAGACAGACAAACAUACAGAGAGAGAGGAUGAUGGCUUCUUCUUCUUCCUCUCAUCUCUCAGCCAUCCCCCUACGCCUCUCCAAAUCCUCCCAUCCAUCCCACUGUAAGUUCUCUCUCUCUCUCUCUCUCUCUCUCUCUCUCUCUCUCUCUCUCUAAAAUUUGAGUACCCAUUAACGAACUUGCUGAGAGUUGCUAAUUUCUCGUAAUUUCCAUGCAUAUAGUAAUUCCAAGUAAAUUGCUUUAUUCUGCCUUAUCUCUUCCUUCGUAAUUUGCAGAGUUCUUGCUUCCUUGUUUCUCGUUAUAUAUGCGGAUAUUAACUGCCGUAACGGUCACUCACCUCAUAGUUUUCUGCUAAUCAGCUUACUUUACCAAAUUUAAUCGUUGUCUACUUGGUUUUGCUUUGUCUCUAAUGUUGUCGUGUCAUUUUUGGGGUGUUUAAGUUUAAUUACGGGAAAAAUUAGAAAAAGGAUAUAAUGUUCAUCUAAUUUUCAUGAAUGAUGGGUUUACUGAUGGAAAGGUUCGAAAUUGACUGAAGCAAAUAGGGUUUUACUGGUGGCUGUUUCUAUUGAUUUUCCGAACGAAGAGAUUUUACAUGGGAUUUGUUUUCCUUUUCGGCAUUAACGAUUUGAGAACUUGAAAUAAUGUUAGAAUUCAGUCAAGGCAAUGUCAUGAAAUCUUAAUUCUUUACUUCCACUCAGACUAGUUCUGGGGAUCCAUUUUAACUCUAGAACCCGAUAUCCGGUGAUAGCGUGUACCCUUUCAUAAGAAAUGAAAGACAAGAUGAUUUAUGGUACUGAAAUUGUGCUUUCAAGUUGUAGCCGGUGAACAUUUUUCUUUUAACACUCAUUCGGUAAUGCAGCGCACGAUUGCUGUGAAAAUUAUGUUGAUGUCUUUGAAUCUUUUGUCACUAAUUGUUGAAAAAUGAUACUAGCUAGUAGCUUCAUUUGUAUGUCCAAAACUUGGCAGUCAAUUCGAAGUCAGUUGGGUUUCAUGCAAGAGCGAAUCUUGAGAAUGAGAGCAGCAGUCCAGGGGACGCAGAAAACUCAUCUAAACAUUCAAAGGUAACGAUCUUUCAUUAGAUUUAAGUAUCUAGUUUUUUUUAUUAGUGAUUACAAUAAGUUUAUUUGACUUUGAAGUUUGAAGGUAUGCCUGAUUCCAACAAAUUAUGGCCAUUGUUUAUGGCUUCAUGUCAUUCGUAUAUAGUGUACUGAUGCAUGUAGUAAAUGUGGCUAGAACUGAAUUCAUGCUCUUAAUGGUUAUACUUGCUUAAAGUUAACAUCUUUAGUAUUUUGUUGAAGGCAAUCUUUCCCAUGAUUUCCUCUGCUGCAAAAAGUCCUCAACUUUGCUUGAUAUAUUCGUUUUCUGAGAAUUCGACUUGCGUAGAUUACUCUUACCAAUUGGAACUUUUGAAACAAAAUUAUCUUUCUUAUCAGUUAGCUAUAAAGUAUGGUAAAAUUUGUUUGUAAUUGAUUUUUACAAAGGUUCGGUGACCACAGGAACCUCAAGUUUCAAUCUCUCGGCGAUUGUGUCUCACAUGUCUAUGUUCAACCGCUGCUUUGAUAAGCAAUUCUGCAACCACUUCUGCUCCAAAGGCACUUGCACUGGAUGGAAACGACAGACCUGGUUGCCGGAAUUGUGGGGGAAGUGGCGCUGUGCUUUGUAAGUAUAUUGUUUCUUUUCUGAAAUCAAGAUUUGAAAUGAUGUUGACAUUUUUACAUGCAUAAUGUGGACAAUUUUUAUCUUGAUUAGAGAAAUGAAAUUGGUCCAAGGGUUCUCGAAAACUAACUUUAAUGUUCAAAUUGGCUUCCAAACUGCUUCAAAUUUUGAUUUUUCUUUUGGUGGAUUUCUUUCUUUAAAGAGCAAUGGUUCUAAUCAAUAUCUAGUUUAAACCAAAGAUACAAAUUCCCUUCAACACGCCUUGAGUUGGUGCUUUUACUCGUAAAGGAGGAACAAAUUUUGCUUCUUCCUCUCAUAUAUUAGUUGGUUUAUAAAGAGUUUUAGAUCUAGAUAUUGUACUCGGAGCAUAAUGAUUUGUUAAAGAUGGCGUUCGUGCUACUGAAAAAGAACUCGAAAAAUGUAUGUUACUUGAGUUUCGUUUUCCCUGGAAAUUUUAGAUCUUAUGUUAAUUAUGGUAUCCCCUUCGUCCACGAGAUUUUGAUUUGCUUUUUUAUAUAGGUGAUAUGUGUGGUGGUACAGGAAAAUGGAAAGCUCUCAACAGAAAACGGGCUAAAGACGUGUACGAGUUCACGGAAUGUCCAAACUGUUACGGUAUGUAGAAUGUCCAAACUGUUACGGUAUGUACUCGUCACUGAUAUUCAUACUACUGUUUCAGCAUAUAGUGUUUCCAUGAGCUCCAAGAUUGCUUCACGCUUACAGUUGUUUGUUUGAAUAUUUCGAACUGGCUAAGCGUUUCCUUGAAGGCGAAAAUUCGAUUUGGAUUGUGUAAACAAAAGUACAGAGUUGUAAAACAAAUGACCACUGUAUGGUUAAGCAUUCUCUUUGAUGAGUAAUUUUUUGUUGUUGUAAACAGGACGGGGGAAACUCGUAUGUCCGGUGUGUUUAGGGACUGGUGUACCGAACAACAAAGGUCUUCUCCGCAGGCCUGAUGCCCGGCAGUUGCUCGAUAAGAUGUACAAUGGCCGGCUUUUGCCAAAUUCAUAAGAGAGUUGUUCUGCAUCACCGUGACCUCCACACGAAAGAGUUGAUUUCCAGCAUUGUGACCGUUCGAUUUUCACUAUAUACGCUUAACGGAUGUGUAUUUGAUUACAUCACAAUAUAUAUAUAUAACAGAUCCUGCAGUUGCAGAUCGUUUAUUCUGCAGACAUUUUCUUUUCUCUACACGCAGCGAAACAAAUAAGAAGUUUACAGACAUAAGAAGCAUCAACCGACAAACAAGAAACUCUUAAAUCUGACUUGCGUUUGUUUGUUCGUAUACAAAGCUUAUAUGGCAAGAAGGAAUAAGGCAAAAGAAAGAAAAACAGAGCUACCACUCGAUUUUCUUUCCUAGAAGACUGAACUGCUCGUGCAGGCCACAAUAAUUUAUCGAGCCAUAAUGUAAAGGGCGUGCGGUCCCCAGUUUAUCCUCCGUUAUUAAACUGAACUGGCCGAAAGAGCAAAUCAUUUCAGGCAAGAAAGUAUAUAGAUUACGGCAGAUACAGCUUCGUCUUCCAACAAAUGAACUCAAACACUUAGGAUUGACCUUUGCAGAAGACAGUUAAAAGGCUUCCCACAGCGCCAUUUGCCUCCUCGGUACGGAAAACUGUGAUAUCGUGAAUCAGGGCUGACUGUUCGGAAGCUUGACGAGUACAGAAUGCUCCGGUUUGUGGUCACAUUCAAAGUCAAGGUGAACAAAUGCUCGCUCAACUUCAGGAAGUUUCUCAAGCUUUAUCUGGAGGGUCUCUCCAAUGAUAUGUGCCUCUUUCAAGGGCAACUCCUCCGGGAGUUCAAUGUCAACCUGUUUUAACAAAUAUAUAAGUUCUUGUUAAAAAAAUUAUAUAUAAAAGUUUUCAAUCUAUUUCUUGAUAUAGAUUCAUAGAAUGCAGUCUGCAGAUUAUAAGGUUGAACUCAGUGAUUUGUAAGGUCACGCGACAAGUUCUCUCUCAUGAAAAUAUAACAUCGAAAUUGCCAGUAAUAUGACUAACCUCUACAAAAUAAAGAACACCAAAUGUGUAAGCACGAACUGUGUCAAUACGCUUCACUUGAGGGUGCCUUAUGGUAAGGUAUGUCAGUUUUUGUAGGAAUUCCGGAGGCGCUGAUUGUCCCACGAGGGAAACUGCAUGAUUGAGAUCCCAUGUUAAGUACAAAACAUUAGGGAGAUUUUAAAAUGUCAAGGAUAAUGCCAAUUCCUUUCAAUAAGAUGUGCAAAACUCGGCUGAUAUGAUGCCAAAACUUCUUUUUCUUUGUUUCUUUUACUCUUUUGCCAUCGCGUCCUUGACAAAUAUUAUGAAAAGUACUAAAUGCAACCACAUAUCUCUCCUUAGAUUGGCCCUAACAAAUAUAUCAAAGCAAGCAAGAAAACUGGAGGACAAGGUUCCAAACUGGUAUCUGAGUUGAGAUACAAGAAUGACCACACAACUAGUAAAUCACGCAAAGUUAGCAUGACGGAAAACUAGAUUUUUGUGAGAUCAAAAGUCAGUGAAGAAAAUUUAGAAAAAGUACCUGCAUUUUCUAGAACAGUUCCGGACCAAUUUGUAAUCGUGUAUACAGCAAGGAUAAUAGCACCAGCAGGAUCAAUCCACCACAAAAACUUAUCAGCAAGAACAGCAGCCACUAAUCCUACCACGUUUGUUACCACAUCAAAAUAGUGAUCCUGGUAAUUGCAUUAAAAGAAGUCAUAUAACAUGAAAAAAUAGAACUGAAAUCCCGUAAGAAAAAAAAAAACUUGUUGAAAAGGAAAGAAGGGAAAAACCUUGGCGUAGGCACGGACAAUCUUGUUCCCUGAGGUCCUGCAGUAUAACCAGAGUGCAAGCUUUACCACGGUGGCAAAUAUCAUGAUAGCGUACAACCACGCCAAUUGCUCUGCGGACAUCUUUUCAGUGGCAUUACCGGUUAUUAGUUGUUCUAAAGCCUGGAUGAAUACCUGAAACCCUGUAAUGAAGCAGAAGGGCAUAAAAUUUCAGCUGGUUUGAAGUUUUAUGUAUGCAGCAUAGUCUGGUUUAAUUAAAAAAAUUCUGCAAGCCUAACUUCAUACCUUUUUCUUACUGUUGUGACUCUAAAGUUCGUUCUUUCAUGUACUUACAUCAUGUACACUGGUAUACUACCAAGAAUUUUUCUAGGACUAAAUAGUAUUCAUCUCACAAUUUCUAUUUUUUCCUGCAGAGUAAAGCGUCGUUGAGCACACAAAAUAAUUUUUUCUUCACUUUACAAUAACAAAAAAGAUAUAUAAACCAUAAACUUUGACUACUGAUCCAUUCCUCAUAGAAAACCAUCACUCAUAUAUUAUAAUAAUUCAAUGCAUUAUUUGUAUAAUUUGCUUAGAUUAUAACUAACAUCAAUUGACACUUAUCUUAAAAUGUUGUCGAAAGAAGAACAUCUGAUCAAGUUCUGAAAAAUUUGAGGUUCGAGUUAGAUUCGAUUGUUAGAUGUCUCUCAUGAUCUUCUCACAUGUUCUUCAACAGACAAAAUGGAAGCUAAAGGAAGAUAUAAGACAAAUUCAUCUGGACAGAAGUUGACCAAUAUAACGCGAGACAAGAGAGCGAGGAAAAACAACAGAUGCCAAGGGAAAGAAAAGCUGUAAUGACGCACCGAGGGUAGCCAUGACAGCAGCAAAGACAAUUAUGCCAACAGGCUGCACCCUCAAUUUUCCGAUAGGAUAUUUAUAGAUAUUGACGCUCUUCAUUGCAAGGUGAGUGAACCAAAGUAUUCCACCAGCCAUGAGAUCGAGCAAAGAAUCUAGAGUCGAUGCAGCAAUGGCUAUCGAUCCACUCUUUACAGUAGCAUAGAUCUACACAUUCCAAAAUUAUUAUCUUAAAUUAGUAAAAUGCAAACAUGAAAUUGCAGACAAAACGUUGAUCUGUCUCAACAUAUACGGCGUAUGCUAUCACAAAAAAGAAUGAGAUUUUUUAAGCAUCCUGCAUAUUAUUUUCAUCUCACAUAACUUGUAUCAUAAUUCAUUCAUUUAAAAUAAUUUUUUUGAUACGACUUGUAGCUCAAGUGAUUAAAAGCGUGUACUCCUGAACCUGAGGUCUUGCGAUAAAUUAAGUACCUUAAGUCCCAAGAGAAUAAUAUUGGCAUAGUUGGAAAUCUUCAUUGCUCUUUCAUGUUGUGCUUGUUCUUCGAGAUCCUCAUCAUCGAUGCUGUCGGCUGCCGCCACAGCGUCAACCUCCUCAAAGGAUUUAAGUGUUUCAAAUUGGGCUUCAUAGUACUCCUUCUCUCCUACAAUUUACAGAACUUCCAGGAUCAACAAAUUGUUUGAAACAAACCAAAUAAACUCACACACGCAAAAACAAUUCCAAUUACAACAGUAGCUUCAAGAUCAAAUUGUACUACUCUGUUUGGUUGCUGAGAAAAUGAAGGAAAAUAAAUCAAACAUAAUCAUCUUAAAAACAAAUACCAAAUCGUCUCUUGGGUUCCUGACAGAUUGAAAGAAAAUGAUAAAAAUAGAAAACUUUUUCCCAAAGCAUUAACAUUUCCAAACAAAUGACAAAAUUUAUUUUCUACAUUUUCUCAGUUGCCAAACACAGAGAGAGAGGGAGAGACCACGGUUCAAGGCGGAGGUUCGAGAGAAGUCAAUGCCGUCAGGAGACUCGGGGUCAACACCGGCACGGACCUUGUCAGGGAGCCUCGAAAUGAAGUCCUUUCUGAGUGAGUUGUACGAGUUUCUUCGACUCAGUCGGCGACUGCGUCCACCGCUCCCCAACAGCGGUGUGAAGAGCGGCGUUUUUACACCGCUCGUUUCCGAUUUUUCCUCCAUCCGGACCCACCCAAAUGACCCGAUUAUUAAUCCGACUCCGACUCAAACUCUCUCUGUUCUGUCUCUCUCUCCUCUUUUCUCUCUGUGUCUCUGGUCAGAAGAGAUCCUAAAAGAACAGAGAAGGUGAGCUAACUUUAAACUGAAUUUCCCACCAAGUGGCAAGUACUAUUAACCGAUUAUCUUCUUUUCCUUUUGUCUUCAAAGCAAAAAUGUUUAGUUGACCAAGAAAAAAGUUCCCACAAGGAUACGUACGCACUCAGACUAAGGUCUUGUGUACAUAGGGCGGAGCUACCCACAACGGACAAGGAUUGUCUGCCAUCCCACUUUUCGUGCUAUCCUGUUUUGUCUGGCCACGGUUAAGCCACGUUAACAUUUUAUAUUAUUUUUUUAUAAAAAUAAUAAGAUAAAAAUGAAUAGUAAUAUAAAAUAUUGACGUGACUUAACCGCGACCUCACAAACAGAAGGACACGAAAAGUAGGAGGGCAAACAAUCAUUAUCCACCCACAACGCUAAGGUGGGAUGUAGCCAGAGAGGUUUUUUUGUAAGUGUAGUGUUUUCACGCUAGCCACUCCAUUCCCUCCCCCUACCCUCUCGUUCUGCUAAACCAUUAAUAGCUCGUUAAGACUUUUUUUUUAAUCAAAUUUAAACAAGGGUAAAAGAGGAAGUCCAACGGAAAUUUAAAAAAGUGGCGUGUAUUUAUAACAUUGUGUGAUGUCAAUAAAAUAACCAUUAAAUAAAUUACAAGGUCAACUAAUGCUAUGUAUAAAUUAAAGGAAAACUAAUGGAAAAAUGUUUGAAAUUUUUGAAUUUUAACGAUUAUGACAAAAUAAAAGGUAAAAUAAAUAGUACCAAGAUUGACUUUUUAGUGUAAAAAUGUGAUUUUUCGUUAAAGUAAAUAGAGAAAUACCUUAUGCACAUGCAGAGUGUUGUAAUGGUAUCACUUGUAAUGUUUGUCGUAAGUGUAAUAUUACAAACACACCACCCUAGAAUACUAAAUCAACCUAAGAACGACUACACCGUCAUUGUGACGUAUAUCAAACUGAAAUGUGUAAAGAGAAAUGUAUACAUGUCAUUAUAUUAUUAACGCAAGUAACUAUAAUAAUGUACUUACUCGUGCUAUGAAAGUCCUAGUAGUUACUCUUCUUCCAGAAGAUCACUUUGCUCAUAGGUUGGAUUAUGUGCUUGUUCUUUUGUUAUUGUUUGAAGCCGAGACAUGACCUAAAGUAUUAUUAACUCUUAAGGCAUUUCACUAUUUAGCCCCCAAAUGUCAAACAUGUAGAGUACCUACUGUACAAUUUCGAACAAUAUAAGCUUUUGGAUGUCUUUUUCGACGAGAAUCCGACAUAUAUACAAUAAUUUACUAUACAUAUUAUGAGAUGAAGAAACACCUUAUUUUAUUGUGCUUAACGUUUAAAAUGUUUAUUUCGGCCCCUCCACUUAUAAACAAUUAAAGUCUGAGUUGGAUUUUAACAUUUUUUUAACUAUAUGGUACAUAUGCUAUACACGUAUACAACGUUCAACGUAGAGCUGGUAAUUAAGAUGAACUUAACCCGUUAAUACGACUCAAUUUACCCACAAAAUUUAAUUAACGGUGAAAACUUAAUAGGUUGAGUUAAGAAUGAGUCACCGGUCAGCAAUCCAUUAGUUAACAUAUGAUAUUGGGUGUGUUUGUACCAUACUUGAUCAAUCCCGAAACUACUGAGCACCGAUCAAUGUUAUACCGUCAAGGACCCAGAAGAGUUUCCCUCCAACCAGGAGGCCAAUCACAGCGCCACACGUGUCGAUAUCAGAAGCCAAUCAUAACAUGACACGUGUCAACAUCAGAAGCUAAUCAUAACACAACACGUGUCAAUGUCAGAAUGAAACUAUAAACUCUCUUAUAUAAAUAGAGAUCAUUCUCUCACAAUAUUUCCUAAUGUCAUUUGUACUAAAUCAUUCACUAGUACUCACUAAAGGAGAGCUUGAACCUAUGUACUUAUGUAAAUCCUUCACAAUUAAUGAGAAUUCCUCUACUCCGUGGACGUAACCAAUCUGGGUGAACCACGUACAUCUUGUGUUUGCUUUCCUGUCCCUAUCCGUUUACUUAUCCACACUAGUGACCGGAGCAAUCUAGCGAAGGUCACAAACUUAACACUUUCUGUUGUAUCAAAGUCUUCGCUGAUUUUGUGCAUCAACAUGGUGAAUUCACGAAAACCCAUAAUCACCCAUUAAAGAGUUCAAAGGCAACAUAUUUAUAAAAAAAAAAAGGGUUUUAUCACUAAUGGUUACUGAAAUUGACCCUAACUAUCAAAAUGGUUAUUGAAAUUGAAAAUCAAUCAAUAUAAUUCCUGAAAAUAGAUGUCGCAAAUCAAUAUGGUCAUUCCGUUACAGUUAUGUUAAAAAAAAUCUGUUAAGUAUUGAUGUGACACAUAAAUGGGUCUUAUAAAUCCUUUUUUUUUUCUCAUAAAUGAUCUUUGAAAUUGACUCAUGACAUCAAAAUGGUCAUCAAAAUUGACCCGCGACAUCAAAAUGGUCCCUGAAAUUGAAAAUUGAUAAAUGUAAUCCCUCAAGUAAGUGUCUCAAAUCAAUAUAGUCAUUUCAUCAUAAUUAUGUCAAAAAAUCUUUUAUGUGCUAAUGUGACAUAUAAAUGGGUCACACAAGUUUAAUUAAAUUAAAAAAAAAUUACAAAUAGGCUUAAUAAUUUAAAAGUUAAUAAAAAAAAUUGUCAACCAAAAAACCCAGUCCUGCAAUCACCUCUGAUCCCAGUCCCCAUUUUUAUACCUCAUUCGCUAUCUAUUCUCUAAAAAAAAAUCUCAAUACACCUAUCUUUACACAGUUCAACACCCUUCACCGACUUGAACCUGAAUCGAGAUCAUCUUUGGUGACGGCUUGGCCUAUUAGUAACAACUUCUGGGACAUCACCGUUAACCUUUAGGCGAUCAUGAGAUAACUGAGGUGCGUCUAUUGUUGGUUGAAAACUAUUUCCACACCUCCUUUUAGGCCUUGGUUAAACCUUAUGCUUUUGAGAAUUUAUGGAAUAGAGCUCUUUUUAGAGUAAGCCUUACUAUAAAAAAAAAUUCAUUGUGCAAAAAGGUAUUUAGACAACUUUUUAAAUUAAUUAUUAAACCCACAUCAGUACAUAACAAUUUUUUUUACAAAAUUAUGGCGGAAGAAUCAUAUUGAUUUGCGACACCUAUUUUCAAAUACUACAUUGAUUAAUUUACAAUUUCAGAGACCAUAUUGAUGAUGUGGGUCAAUUUCAGGGACCAUCUUGAUGAUGAUGUAGGUCAAUCUUAAGGACAAUUUAUGAUAAAAAUCUGUAAAUCUUGUAAGGCCUAUUUAUGUGCCACAUCAGCACUUAACAAAAUUUUUAACAGAAAGUUGACGGAAUGACUAUAUUGAUCUGCGACACCUAUUUUCAGAAACUACAUUGAUUGAUUUUUAUUUCAAAAACCAUCUUGAUGGUGAAGGUCAAUUUCAGAGUCAUUUGUGAUAAUAACUCUAAAAAAAUUUAAUAUUGAAUUAUAACCCGAUUACAUAGCCAACAUUGUCCUUUUCGUCGAUCCAAAUGCACCAUACGAACCAGAAUCGAAACCCUCAUUCACAAUUAUUAUAAAAAUAUAAAAAAUUGCUCUGAUUUUUGGGAAAAUUUGGUACUAAUCCAGUUCUAGUGCGAGAACGGAAAAUUAAAAAACGAUUAGAAUUAGAUUUAGGAAACGAAAAAUCGAGAACUUGGAACUCCAUUGAAGCAGCGAUAUCAGAAGAGUCGGUUCGCAAAACCCGGAGGUCGACUCGGGCGAGGAUGCGAAGACCUUCAUGGCGGAGGGUUUGGAGCCGGGCUGGAAAGCUGAAGUUUCAGCAAGUUGAGGAGGAAGUACGCAGUGCGGAUUGCCGUCAGCGGGUCGUGGCCAACGACAGCGUCAUUUUGGGGGAGGUUAAGGGGAGAGGAGAUUGGAGGUGGUGGAGUGUAGCAAGUGGGUUAUGGCGUGUUUGGGUUGCUAUUGCUUUGGUCUGUUGUGGUUUUGUCGGUGAAGCCAUGAACGAGAGAGAGGAGCUUGUGUUAACGAGUGAAACGGUUGACGUAUUAACAGAAGAGGUCAUUUCAAGUUCGACUAUUUUCACCCAUAUUCAUGUGAGUUGAGUUUGAGUGAUUCAACCCCAUCGAAUCAGCUGAACCCAACUAUAUGCCAGCUAGUUCAAUGGACACACAGGGACUCACGUUCAGUGGUGGAUCCAGAAAAUAUUAUUACAGGUUCAGUAAAAAUGAUGCGCAUAGUGCGUAAAUUUUUUUAAACAGAAAUAGCAUACAAAUCGCUAUUUCAUCAAGUCCUGGUAGGCAUGAAGACAUUUGCAAAAGCAUAUUACACACCUGUUAAGGCCUCAUUUAAAUGGGUAACUAGCAUGUUUCAAGGCUACUCUCAUAUGAAUGCUUAACAAAGGAAUACACUUUAUCUUAAACUAACUAACAAAUUGAUUGAUAUCAUUACAUCCCAUUAAUAUGUAUGUGUGAUGCUUUGUCCAUUCUUUGAGAUUAGCAUUUCAUUUACUUUGCAUUUUUUUAUAGUCUUUUAUUUUAUCUUCCUACAAUUGUAAUUACAACCAACAAACGAGCUAAAGAUAAAUAAUAUUAGGACUAAACUGUAAAGGCAACACCUCUUUAAUGCAUUUUAUUAAGCAAUUGGAGGACAUAUAUGAAUCGCAACUCCAACCUUCAAAAUGACAGCAUCCAAGUCAUCCAUAAAAAUUCACCGAAAUUUAGAAAGUCAGCUGACCCCUCUUGUCCCUAAGUUGGUCCGCCUCUGCUCACAUUAGAAUAUAAAGUGGGUGUGCUAUCCACACAUCUCUUUUUACUUCUUACACACCUCUUGUUAAUUUCUGUCAUUUGAUUUUCUUCAAUUCAUCCGAUCCGACGGUCAAAAAUUAAAAAGGUGUGAGAGAAGUAAAAAAUGAUGUAUGAAUAUCACAUCCCUAUAAAAGUAAAGAAAUUUCAUAGUGCUAUUAAUUAAUAAUAUCAUAAAGGAAUCUUUGGAGUAUUUUAUUAUGAGCGAUCAAACGGGACUGUGACUAAGAAUAGAUGUUUCAUCUACUGCCGGGCUCUAUACGCGGCCGACAUGGGUCCUCUCCGGAUCCAUGUGUUUUAAUCCACCAAAUUUAUAUAUUUGGAUCGUUAAAAUUUUAUCUAAUAGCUAAUGUUAUUAUAAUUUUUAAAAUGAUCAUUUAUUUGUAAUCGUUGGAUUAAAUUUCAACAGUUUAGAUACAUGAAUUUGGUGAAUUAGGACACAUAGAUCCGAAGAGGACCCAUGUCCCUAUACGGCGGAAGAGGAUCCUCUCCUGAGCUUAUGAUGAAGAUUCUCCUGAUCAUGAAAUCCGGGCUGUUCAAAUUUAAUUCAACUGCUCUAAAUAGGAGGAUCCUCUAAAAAUUAUAAUAAUUGUAAUCAUUUGAUUAAAUUUAAAUGACCUGAAUUUCGUGGUUAGAAGAAUCUUCAUCCUGAGCCCAGGAGAGGAUCCUCUUCCCUAUACGGCAUCUAGUGAUCAGAUCGAUGCAUAAAUGGCUCUUUUAAUGCGAGGGAGCCAUCUAAUUCUAAUAUUAUACAUAUGUGGUUUGGGUGGGUUUCAUCCUUUUGCCUGGACCACCAAACAAAGAGAAAACGACUUCUGCAUGCAUGAUUAAGUAGACUCUACUUAGGCGGAACAAUUUGUCGUCAUUGUAGAGUAUUGAGCCACUAACACAAUAUUAUGUGUAAAAUAUAUCUCCACAACUAAUGAUUUUGUAUUAAUAGUUAAGGACGACAUGACAAAUGAUAAACUUGUUCUAUGUAAAUUAAUAUACAGUACGUUUACCUAUUCUCUCUCAUCUAACUUCACAUGCUGGGCAUGUAGUAUGUUUACGUAUCAUUUUAGAAAAAGAAAUGUCCAAAUGCAAACUAGCAGUCAAGACAGUAGUGAUGCGCGUGUCUUGUCUUUGUGGCAUCUAGUAUCGGCACCGUUGGGUUUUCAUGCCCAGUUCACUGAAAAAUAAAUAAAUUAAGAGUUCCACAGCUAGCCGACUAUGCAAUAGUAGUUUUUUUUGUUGGAGUUUUGAGACUUUUAGGUAUCGUUUGGUAUGCAGACAGGACGGGAUAAGACGAGACGGAACGGAGAGGGAGCAAAGAUGUCCUCGGAUGAAAACAAGGAGGAAGAAGAAGGAGAGGGAGAUGUUAUAAUUUUGUGUUCCACGGAUGUGGAACGAGUCGUUUCAGGGGGGUGAGGUGGAACGAAAAUUCACUCAAAACUCGUCCCGUGGAAUAGCACGUUCCACUCUUUUAAGGUGCACCAAACGUGGGACGGAACCCCCCGUCCCACUCCUUUCCGUCCCGUCCCACGUACCAAACAGUACCUUAGUGUCCACAUUGGGGACCAAUUGCCUUUAUAUAUCUUUAGUCCUUUAUGCUAGCAUUUAGGAUUUGGACCAUUUGGAAAUAAAUUGAAGGUUUGGACCUUAUGGUUGUUUGGAUUAGGUUUGUAUAAUAUAGCUUACAUACAAUUAAUAUUAAUUAAUCAAGACAAGGGCAUUUGAAGUUAAAAUUAAUCAGAUUCAUUAAUUUUAAUUUCAAAUUAAUUUUUUAAUUAAUUUAGUAAUUAAAAACGUUUUGAUUAGGAGACACAACUCUUAGAAAGAGUUGUGUACUUUCAAAUAUGCUGAACAAAUAUUUGAAAGGGUGUGAAACAACCUAUAUAUUUGCAAUCCCAGUUUCCAAGUGAGAUCAUCAUUUUCUUCCUUCUUCUCUUCCGUACAAACUUUCCAGAAAGUAAACACACAAAGCAAUUCGCUAGAAUUCUAUAAUCCAAUGCGGGUUGUAAAGUUAGGUAGCCGUAUCCGAAAAUUAUGUUCGAAGGAUAUAGCUUUUGCGCUAACCUCUACCUUUGAUUCAUUCAAGUUAGUAUCAUUUUAGUUUCUGUAUUUAUAGUGUAAUUUCAUUUUGUAUUGCAAGUAAUUUUUUUUUAAGUAAUAAAGUAUAAGUAUUCAAGUUUUGUAUUUCUGUUUCUAAAUUGUUCUCCAACAUUUUUAACUAUCUUUAAUUGAUCUACUGGCUCAAAACGAUGUUGUUUUGACAAGGUCAUUAAAAAAAAUAAAAAAUAAAAACUCUUCUUCUUUGCUAAGUACUCAGCCAUGGACUCCACAACCAACUGCCCUGGUAUGAUUCCAUCGUGGCUUAAAAAGAGUAAAUAUUUGAUGUGUUUGAUGUCUAGUUUGUAUUUAUAUGAUUUAUUUAGAAAGAAGAAAUAUCAAAGUGAGCGCUACAUACAUGUAUGCACUAGCCUUUAAAAAUUAUGUGCCUCUCAGUUUCCAAUGUUACAUUUUUGAAAUUUUCAUGCUCCAUUACUAAAACAGUUAUUUGCAUUAUACAAUUUUAUUACGGAGAACUACGUUAAAAACAAUAUUUUUAAUUCCACCUCUAUUAGGUAAGUGGGUAAUGCUACGUAGACCAAUUUUUUAAAACUAAAUUAAUAAAACAAAUUAUGUGUCAUCAAUAAUAAAUAAAUACAUUAAUUUCUUUUAUCAACAAAAAAAAAUUCAAAAUUCCAGCAUUAGAAAACUUCGACCACCCCAUCUCUCCAAACCCGAACCAUUCCCAAUUUCUACCUAUUCGCAACCCUCCACAACCACCUCCCCUACCACGCACAAUGAAAACCCCAAAGAUGUCAGACAUCACUAUCUCUCUCCCGACCUUUUUGAUGCAGGACAAACCAAAUGACCGAGGGAGAUAACUUGGGAAUCACUCAACCAGGGGCAACAGAACUCACUCGUGUUGCUAAUCGUGGAUUCGCUCACACGACCAAGCCAAACGCUUGAUUUUAGAAAGAGGAAACACUCACUUCAAAUGCACAAGGCAAAUAUAUUUUAAUUCAUUCCAGUCUUUCAAAUGAUUGUAUUACAUCAUAAUUUAAGGGAAGCAUAAAUGAAUUACAACUUCCUAAAAGACUCUCACCAUAUUCUAAAUAGACUUAACAAAUUUCUAAGUAAUUAAAAGUGCUCUGCCAUUAUAUUAUUCCAAUUCCAAUGCAUGUGAGCAAUUUCCAAGGUUGUAUGCUUACCGCAUCAUUCUCCCCUUUCUGAAAGAAAAUUCGUACUUGAAUUUCAUUUGGUCUUCCUCAAUCUUUUGGAUGCCCAACCAAUUUUUCCCGUAGUAGAGAUUUUAGUAGGAUAAUCACAAUUCGUACAACAUUGCAAAGAGCACAAAAUUCAUAAUAUAUUUUCUGUUUCCAUCAUGUAUAGACUGAUCCCCUUUUUCUUCCAAAAUAAUUGUGAUGCAUAUAGGCUUCCAAACUUAUUGCUUAUGGGAGACAGUAAAUACUUAUGAACGAGAAAAGAAAACUCCAAUAAUGAGCAAAAGGUAGUUCCUUAUCCAAGAAAUUUCUCUUAACCAAAGCACCAUCAAUGAAUUCAUCCCAAAUAUAAUCAUGAAGCAGAAUGCAAGAGAUUUCACAUUCUUUAUAAGUUGUCCACGGGACUCUUCAACCACAUCUUCAUCGCCUUUGUAGUGAUCAUAAACUGGGGCGGAAUUCCAUUUGGCAAAGUUAUCGACUACAUCAUUGCUUCCUAUAUGUUCCCCUUUUGUGUCAAACUCCAUGUUGGAACGUUUUUCAACCUCAAUCCAUGUACAACAAAUCUCACACGAACCAUCUGGACAACGAUUGAAUGCAUGUGAGCAAUUUCGAGGGUUGUAUGCUUGCUACCGCAUGACUUUUCCUUUCUAGGCCACACAACAACUCCUUUUUCCACGCAGUAUUAUGUCCAAACUCUGCCAAAACUAUCAACCAGUCGAAUCUAAUUGGUCCAACCAGUAUAUAUGUAUAGAAACACAAUUUUGAUAUUAUCAUGAAUUAUUCAAAAAAUAUUUUCAUGAACUCUGUUGGGUCUUUUUAAUGCGGGUUGCUAGGGAGAUAUGAUUCUAGUUUCCAAACUGUUGUUGGGGGGGGGGGGGGAAGUGAUGAGAGUUAGGGAGGGUAGCAAUUGUGGUGGCUGGGGUUAGAGAGAUGGAGAUGGCCAGAGUUGUCUAUUACUGGACUAUUUAUGUUUCUUUUUUUUUACUGGGUGUACAAGACAUUUGUUAGGCACAUUCAAAUUUUCAAGAUAAAAAAGAUAAUUAAGUAUCAAAAAAGAAUAAAUGAAUCAAAAUAAAAUUCCCAGUUCGUAAUCAUCUUCGCCUUUUUAAGCUAGAGACAAAUCUAUUAUGCUUCCGUUUAAGAUGAAUGAGGCUUGUAUAUUUUUAAAACAGAUGAAAGUAACGAAUCAGAAUAAAAUGGAGAAGCUGCAGAGUGGAGUAAACAGAAAUUAUUCGGCAGAUUGCAUUUCAUAAGUUACUGAAAAUUACAAUCUGAUUCCUACAACACUAUAAAACCAAGUGCAACAACAUCCCCAUCCCCAUCUCACAUAGAGUGGGAAGCACAGGACUUCAAAUACUUGCCCUGACAACGACAUAACAAACACGCUAAAACACACACACACACACAAACACAACACAUACUGAAGAAACAGACAGUAAACCAACAUAAGACAACAUCAAACUAGUCCCUCUCCUUCCUAGAGUAAACAACAUCUUCUUCCUCGUCGUCCUUUGCCAUGCCCAACGUAUUCUUGACAGCAUCAGUAGUAGUCUGUGCCAUGUUCUUCACUUUCUCUCCGGUCUGCUGGAGGAACCCCUCCGACUUCUCCUUGCCAGCGUCCGCGGUGCCUUUGGCCUUCUGGCCUACCUCCGAGGCCUUCUCCUCGGUCGCCUCCUUGCUCUGCCGUGCCUUUGCCUUUGUAACUUGUCCCUUCUCUUGGCCCUUGUCUCUAGUUGUUUGAGUUGCACCCUUUGCUCUCUCCUUGGCUGCCUGGGCUGUCUCGUGGGUCUUGUCCUUUACUUCUUGGGCCUCCUGCCCAAUUGUGUCCAUCAUCUGAUUUGUCUUUUCCUGGAUGUAAAAAACGAACGGAAGUGCAUCAACAUUAUUCAAAAUGUAAUGAUAAGAUGUCAAUCUGUUUAGACGACAACGAUAUAAAUUAGAUUGAAAUGACAUAUCCAACAAUUUUACACAUAAACAAGAUAACCUAAAGUGUGACAGUUUAACAUUCCUACUCUUCCUAAUUUAGUUUCUGCCACUGCCUACAGAACUUCAAAUACUCAAAUUCGAUGUGCUAAAAGCUAGACCGAGAGUAACCAAUAUCAAUAUAUGUUAUCAAAUGUAGCUAUACUAUCAUGUCAAUGUAUACCUGAGCUUGGCCCUUGGCUUCACCAGCUCGGUAGGUCUGUCUGUGAGACGCCAUUUUUGCUUUCGACACUGAGCGAUACGUAAAUUCUUUGAGUUAUAACUGUAAGACUGCUCUUCUUUCUAAGUUUGUGAUGCUGAGAAAGAUUAAUGCCUGCUAUAUACCUUUUCAAGUUUGCAACGUGAUUGACAUGUGUCUUACGUGCAGACAGUAGGCAACACGUGCCUUGCUCUAAGACAACCAUUGACAGCACUGUAAUACUAAUAUCGAUGACUCAUAACUUAGCGCCUACACCAUGUUGACACGUGCUGAUUCCCAUUCAGACAUAUACGAUUGUUUACUCGGAAGUUAUAUAUUGGCUGCACUCAAUCUUUGGAGCAAGAUAUUGUGUACAAUUAAAACAUGUACAGUACAGUAGUAUUGUAUCUUUGUAAUUAUAUAGGAUGGUGUUAUUUAUAUACUCAUUUUUAUCUUUUAAACACUUUUUUCAAGUUCCAAUCAUCGGAUCGUGUAAAUUAAAGAAGAUUAAUGAAUAAAAUUAAUAAGGAUGUAUGAGAUGUAAAAUAAGGUGUAUGAAUAACACUUCUCAUUAUAUAUCUCCAGAUUUGAACUAUUGCUCUCAAAUUACACGGUUGGUCUUUUCGAUCCCAUCUUUUAAGUUUUAGGCAAUUUGCCAUGGUCACAUUUUUGUAAAACUCACCAUGAUCAUGUGGUUGAUUAUCUUCUUUUAAAUACGAUUAAAUGGGUGGACUACUAUACACUUAUAAAUCAACCACUUUAAUUUUUGGUAAGGGCACUUCUCCAACAAAUAUGCAGCUAUAUUAUACACCUUCGUUGCAAUUUUUUUUACAUUUUCGUCACUAAUUUGGUUUCUUAUUGGAAAUUUUAGUUAUAAUUUCUGCAACGAGAACAAUGUCUUUCUUUUGGUAUAAGCCACAGUAGAUUGGUUGUAAAGCAAACACAUGUGUAGAAGAAAACUGUUGCUUCUUUUUCUAAUCUAGAAGCAUAUUUGUACGUUACAAAUCAUGAUCAAAGUGAUAUGCAUAUAUUGUCAGGGCCACAUCAGCCUCCGCAAUUCAACAAAUUUGGGUUCAUAUUUAUCGUAUGUAUGAUGACGUUUUUGGUUUUCCACCUUUAGUUGUUUAAUAAAGUAGCUAAGCCACCAACUCAUGAACUUCCAAAACCCUAGUCUUCAUUAUCUUUCUAGACACAUAUAAUAGUGGCAUUUAUAAGAUUAAAAAAAAACCAAUUCUUUAAUUAUUUUCAAGAAAAAUUAGUGUGAUAUAGUUACACUGUAACAUAGUAUUAUUGAUUCAGAUGUUAUAAUAUAAAAUGAUUAUAUAAUUAAUUUUUCAAGUUUGAAAUGUAACAUUAAUAAAUAAAUACAUGCAUUUUAUGAAGAGUGGGAUUAGUAAUAGUGAGUAACAGUGCAAAUAUCACAUAGAAUAAUUUAUGCGAAGAAAGAGAGAGAAGAAAGAAGUGAGGCCUUUGAAAGUCCUGUGCAGCCGAGUCUAUGCCACUGGCUAAUUUAUUAUAUAAUUACGUAUAAUUAAGCAUGUGUGGUCAAGUAAUAACCUUUCUGCUGAUUGGCCUAAAAAAGUCUUUAGGAAGCGGCGUCAUGGCUGCUGCUCUCUUCCUUUUUCUCCUCCUAUACAUAGCAGAUAAUUGAGCAAAUUGUAUUCAUUGCAAGCCUUCUCUCAAACUUUUCCGCAACUACUUCACUUAGAAAGGAAAUUAAAAGGAAAACAAUGGACGUUGAGAUCACUUCCUUGGCGAUGGUAAAUAAUACAUUGAUGAAGGUUGCUAUGUUUGUGCUAGUUCAAGCUUUGGUUUAUCUGAUCCUUUCAAGUUCAUCCAGCCUCUUCUCCAAGAACAAAUUGAGGUCACUCAACAGCUUUCGGCCCAUUCGUUCUGCUAGCAUUAACCGGAUUCUGGCUGUCAUCUCCGACUUGCCAACCAGCAGCACUGCUGCUGAUUAGCCUUCACCACGUACAUGAUCCCAGCAGGAAAAAUUCUUCUAUUUAUAGAUGAUUCAUGUCCUAUAUAUCAUUAAUUCUUUUAGAAGCAUAUAUAUAAUGUUAUACAAUAUAUUGAUGAUAAUAUUCAGUUUAUUCUUUAAUGUUACACAUAAGCUGCUGUAAUAUUCCACAUGUAACUCUGUAAUAUAUGAUCUUCUUUUGUUGUGUAAUUUCUUCUGAAGUAUUGUUAUAUAUAUGUUCCUGUGAUCUGAGGGACCUAGUUCGUAAGUCCGAAAAAUCAACUAGGGUUUUCGGUAGAGAAGUUCAAUUUUUUUUUUCUUGUACCCUGCGUUAAUUAGUCUCUAAAACACAUAUAUGUGAGCAUAUAUAGACACCUUAUUUUAAAGGAAUUCCUGCCAAGAUGACGAAUCCUGCCAUAUGUGCUUCAAGAUGAGCUUCGGGUAACUGGUACCAUAGGAGACCUUGAAAAGAACAAAUUAUUGAUGAAUGCUUUAAAAGAGGGCAAAGAGUGAGCAUGAUUUCAAAGCCAAAAUCUUGUUUGCGAUCUAAUUUAACUUAAUAGAUUAAUUAGAGUAGCCUCUUCAUUCCAUUUUGUUUAUCCAUCAGUACACAAAUUAAAUGACAGCUGUUUAAAGUAUCCCCAUCAGUUCCGGUUACUUUAAAAGUGCAUCAAAACCCGAUCAUCUUUUUCGGGAGGGAAAGAAAUGAUAAUAGGAGAAGAGAGAGUCAUAUUCAUUUCUAAUUGAUAAUAGGAGAAGAGAGAGUCAUAUUCAUUUCUAAUUAGCCUUCUAGACCACUGUAAAAUUUGGGGCAUGCACCAUAUCAUAGACAAAGAUUGAAAUCCAAGCCCAAAGGCCAUAAAGAGCAUACGUUUGGGGUGUUUAGGCAAUUGGUGGCUCCCUUGCUUAAUGCUUUGGUCACCGUAAAAUCUCACUUCCUUAUAACAACGUCAAAACAUUAUAACAACUCAUUAUUUAAGUCAUUCUUUUAAUACUUACAUUAAUGGGGUGGAGGAACAAAUUGAUUGCAAAUUCACCAUUUUCGAGAUAUUAAAGAGGAAUAUUACUAUAUUGUAAUCGUAUAGUACCAAAUGACAAUUAUUUAAGCUAGUUGAGAUGCCAUUAUAUAUAUAUAUAUUCCUAGAGAUGCUAGAGAUGGAGAUGAAAUCAUGAAAAACCAGAACCCUGUGAAACCACAAGCAAACUACCAUAUGCAAUAAGUUCGACCCUAAAUAGAAAAAGGAAGAUUAGAACUUUUGUCAUCGAUGCGGGGACAAAUGUUUCGUCACUGAAAUUAGAAAGACAAUUUCAAUGAUUUUGAAUUCGUGAAAACAUUAUUCAUUCAUAUAUUAAGAAACAUUGACUUCGAUCCAUUACCAGUAAGGAUUAGUGAUGGCUACUACGAUCCAUCUUCCGCCCAAAACAACCAAAUUACAACAUGAAGGAGCAAACGUGGCAAGCACAUCAAUCGGUUGGCCGGCGGCGGCUUUUGUUCCAGGAACGUGGCAUGAAAUAGUCCAAUUUUAAUUAUAUUAGGCUAAGGGAAUUGUUAUUAAAACUCUACAAAUCUCAUUUGACACUUCAAAUUUUCUAUAAUUAGAAAAAAAAAACACUUGUGAGGAGUGUAGAAUGAGAUAUUUGGAGUGCUAAUAACACCUCCCUAGGCUAAACAUAUCUUCUAGCUAGUGACACAUCUUAAACAUUGAUUUAACUGAUAUAUGUUAUUGAUGAGAAAAUGGAUUUUGUAUGAACUUAUAAGUAAGUUGGAUUAGUUUCCAUACUGCCAAUUGAUUUUAUGUUGGAACCUCAAUUUUAUUUAUAGUAUCAGAGCAGAUUGUCUCCUAUGUAAAGUCCAAAGACCACAUGAGCUCUACGACACCCCAUUUGUAUUAUCCACAUGUUAGAAUUGAAUAUUCGCCACACAUAAAAGGAUUUGUUGAUAAUAAAUUAUACAUUAAUGAGAGGAGAGAAAUUAUAUAAACUUAUAAGUAAAUUAAGUUACUCUUUACAUUUUCAAUUGAUUUUUUUUUAUAGAACAUCAACAUCAACUUUCUUAUUGUAUGCUGUUUUCUUAUCUUCGUAAAUUAUGACCCACAGGAGACCACGAUGACAUAGAAAUCUAUAGCCUUCAAUCCUAGCUGCCAACUGGUCCUCCAGGAUUGGCUUAGGAACCCCAACGUGGAGUGGAGACAUAAAAUAGUAUAUAUUAUAUCUUUACAUAUAUAGCUACCAUUGGCACAACGAAACGUGUAUAAAAGUUCAAAAAUUUACAUUGUUCAAUCACCCCUUGACUUUUUCAAAUGUUGUUGUCGAUCGCCUGCCGGUAUUGUGACACCAGAGGCAGACAUGGAAUACAACAACUUUACAGGGAUGCGUUUUAUGUGGUAUCCAAGGACAAAGAUUUACAUCGCUUUCAAUGUGAAGGAUCUUCUUGAUGAUCACUAAAUCAUGACAUUUUAUUGAUGACAAGAAAUGAUUUAUUAAAAAAAAUAUAAAGGCCAAAUGAUUUUGUUUAUGAUAAUAAUCACUCAUGCCUAAGAGAAAUUGGAAGUCAAGCAUUAAUUACUUUACUAAAUUAUACCAAUGCAAGUCAUAUUAUUAUGUUAAAAGUUUAUUUGGAAGAGUUUUUAAAAUGACGGAAAAUACUUUUAGUGAAAUAUUUUUAAAAACAAUCAUUAACAAAAAUACAAGUGAGUCAUGAAAAAACAAUUAAAAUACUUCCAGGAAACACUUCAAAGUGUUUAUGGAACACAAAAAUAUUUCUUUAAAAAUGAUUUCAGUCAUUUUAAAAACACUUCCAAACGAAUCAUAAAUUGUCUAGAUGGACCAGUGAUCCUUGUUAACCUUAAAAAAAAAACCUUUUCAUGUAUACUCACCGUAUUUCCUUAUACUAUAUACAAGCAUAGGCAUAAUGAAUAUCUAAUACCUUAAUGGCGGAAGUAACAACAAUUUUUUAAGUAGAGUUGUAGUUGCAACUUGCAACAGCUUUUUAGAAACGUAAACUAACGAUUAUAAGUCAUUCGUAAAAAUGACUAUCAAUUAAUAGUACUUACAUUAACGACUGAAAAUCAUUCACACACUAGCAAACACUGUCCCUAACAUUUCUCUUCUAUCAAAUUUGCUCUCACAUUGAUUGCCUUAAAUGUAAGAGAAAUAACAAAAAUGGAAAACCAAAAUCAAACAUUGGAUUCGGGAAUUCAAGACUACAUGGUCUUUUAUUCGGGCAUUCAUAAUUCCACAAGCUCAAGUUCACAUGAAUUCCACAACCCAUGAAACCACCGAGGACUGUCUCUCCUUCAUAGGAGCCAUCACGAUUCUCCUGUCCCACGUGGAUCCAGUGAUUUGAGGCUGGUUUGGUAUUGCUGUGCUUUAAAAAAAAACUGCUUCUGCUGUGCUGUGAGAAUAAGCGGCUGUGAAAUAAAGCUGUAGAGUGUUUGGUAUACUUUUUUGUAAAAAUGCUUUUGAAAAAAAAAAACAGUAUUAUAGUGUUUGAUAAACUUUUAUAUAAAAUAGAUGUAAAAAAAACCGAUUUUUCAAAGCUGUGUUUUGCAGCUUCUUGUUUUUGAUUUUUUUUCACCAAAAAUUGUGAAAAAAAACUGAAGCUGAAUAUUUACCAAACACAAAAAAGCUCUCAACUUUUUUUAUACCAUCUUUUUUCAUAAUUACAUCAAUACCAAACCAGAUAUUGGUCAUGUUGACUCAGUUUCCCUUGGCUUUCUAGAACCACAACCAUGACCACAUCUCCCAUGCACCCCCGCUGUUUGAAAUCCACGUUUUUCAACUUUUAACGGCCCGAUUGUCAGGAGAAAAACUGGGGUUUCGUUUGAAAUAUUCAAAACGUUGCGUGCGGGAAAUGUCGGACAAGGAUUGUCUGCCUCUACUUCCGGUGCUUUUUUCGUGACAUUUUGUUUGUGUGGUCACGAUUAAGCCACGUCAAUAUUUUAUAUUACUAUUUAUUUUUAUCUUAUUAUAUCUAAAAAAAAAUAAUAUAAAAUAUUGACGUGGCUUAACCGUGACCACACAAAACAGGAAGACGAGCACCGGAAGUGGAGGGCAGACAAUCCUUGUCCGGGAAAUGUCACCUUCCCCAUGCCACACUGAGCCUGAGCCACCGUUAAGGGCAACAACAGAAAGAAAUGAACGAAGAACUUACUUAAACCGAAUCCAUUACAAUAAGGUGGUUUAAAAAAUAACACAGUAUUAUGUGUCUUAAUUUACUUUUAUACCAAUGCAUUAUUGGUUCGGAACAUUUAUACUGACGUUUUUACAGAAUGACACUGGUUGCUAAUUUUCAAUAAAAAUUGGAACUUUAGGAAUAUUCAGACAUCUAUAAAUGAAAAAGUACCAUGAUUUUUGUGUGUCUUAUAGUCCAUUCGUGGCAAUUUAACUAUAUUUUUUAUUAAAAGUUUGUAACGAGAGUCGACAAUAGAGACAUAUUGUGGUAUAUACAAGUGAAACUGGUUACAAGAAAAAAAAACCAACUUUGAUUUGAUAUAGAAAAUAGACUGCGGUAUAUAAACAUGCUUACUUAACACAAUUGAGUAUACAUGUUACUUCUUGUAUUUACUAUUUGUUUCGUUUACGACGCUGUUAUUUAUACAAUCUGUUUUACCUUUUACACAAUCUUAUUAAUUUUUAUCAAUUAAUUUUUUUUUUAUCGAUUAAUUUGUUUUAAUUCAUUCAAUUUGAUCGUUGAGAAGUAAAAGGGAUUGUGUAAGGUAUAGCACCAUCCUUAGUUUAAUGAAAAGUUUACACCUGUGUUGAUUUCCUAUUUAUCAAUCAAUUAAUCAAUUAUUGUAUGGAAAUACUAUAAAUAUUGUCCGAAAGUGUGCUUAGGUGUCGGAGGCAGACGCAGAGAAAGGUCGCACUCUCACAAGUGGUGCUAGGCGGAAGGAAAGGGAAAGCAAAUCCAUAAAUGAAAACCCAUCUUCUUUGAGAGAGAGAGAGAGAGAGAGAGAGACGAGAGAGAGUUUGACUCUUGAAACUUGAGAGUAGGAAACUUUGUCAUGCCCAUAUCAAUCUAAAGACACGCCAAAUCCGGGCCAGCUUUCACGGAUUCUCCUCCACCUCAACACCUCCUUCUUCUGCUUGUCUUUCUUUAAGCAUUUGGACUCAAAAUCUCAUCUGGGGAUUCGGCAGUUUGCUUUUCCAAGCCAUUGGGGUAUUGCAGUUCUUGGUAAGGGUUUUUUCCCGUUAAUUUUUGUGUUUUUAAUUUAAAUUUGGUAGUUUUUAGUUGGGAGAAUGCAAUUUUGGUUGAUUUGUUGAAUUGGGUUUUGGAGUAUGCAAUUUGUACUGUUAAAUUUCCAUUUCCUGGAAGUGCUUUUGUAAAAAUGAACUGAAGAAUGGCGUGAAAUUUGAAAAGUAGCAAAGCAGCUUCUGGAUUUUGCUUCUGAGUUUUUCCACUUUUUGUUGCAUCUUACCUGGAAAUAAUCACUACCAAUCUUGUUUUCUUCCACUUUUCAAUCAUUUAUUUUUGCAGAGAUCAUCACUGUGCAUAUUAGCUUUUAGCCUGUUAAGGGAUUCUCAAAAGCAUUUGGAAGUUGUUUGAUCUGAUAAUUUUACCUUUCUGAUAAAUCAUGUAAAGCACAAGACUUGUAUAUGCUUUUUAAGGCUUCAUGCUGGCAAAACAAGGCAACUAGGCAUUUUUUACUUUCCAAGCGGCACGAGGGGUUUGUUCUUCCGGUUUUCUUCACAAGCAAUUUAGGCAUUUUUUACUUCUUUUGAUAGGUUUUGUUUCUCAAGUAAAGUACUUUUUCUCCAAUUACUUCUGUUAAUAGUUUUGAUAGGUUAAGUUGUGAAUAGGAAAUACCAUUGUAGCGGCAACUGCUAUGGAAUCAUUGCUUAUAACUUCCGUUCGAGAAAGAUCUCGUUGACCAUGCUAAAUUUGGAACUGCCCUAUUAUCUGUCAUCAUCUCUUAGAGAAUUUAAGAUACUUGGUAUAUGUUUAGGGGUGGAGUUGUAAUGAAUCAAGAGGUGUUGUACUAAACAAGGAAUUGGAUCUCAUUGUUUCAUUUGCCAGUUUAAAAGAUGGGAUUUUGGGCUUUAAACAAUUCAUAAAUCUGUACUGAAGUUUUCCAAGUAGGAUAUCGUAUCCCUUUCUCACCCGGACCCUACCUCAAACUCUUCCGAAUGCGUGAGAGUUUAUGUUUUUUCACUUGCCUAAAGUUUAAUUCAAUGCUAUUAUAUGGCUUUCUUGAAACUGUAGAUUGGCAUCUUUAUUUCAUGCCUUUUUUCUGACAAAUACCUUGCUUUCCAUUACAUCAACUGCAUGCAUUUUGUUAAAAGAAAAGUUAUGCAGAACACUAAACUUUUUAAUGGGGGAUGACAGGGUAUUUUAAUUGAUACUUGUGGAAUGUGACACAAUUGGGGAAAAAGACUAAUAUUGAUCCCAAUCUGAGAGUACCGGGAUUGACGUUUGAGGAAGAAACAUGUCUCCUGGAGGUCGCUUCUUUGAGGAUGUGGCCGAGUCUCAUGUGGCAUUUGCAGAUUCUGAUGUUGCAACUUCCACUGCUGAUCUAAGGGCUUCUCCAUUCAGAAAAGCGGCCCCUGGUUUGUUUGGAAAUCCUGGAAUGCCACCAAAUAGUAAUGUGCACGACCUACUCGAGUGUCCUGUUUGCAUGAAUUUAAUGUGUCCUCCAAUUCAUCAGGUAUGUUUUAGUACUUGUUUAAAUUUGAAUGAUCAUGAGGAUUCACGUCUUUUUUGUUAAUAUCAAUACGUAUUUUCGUUUUGGUAGAAAGUGAAGAUAAGUCGUGAAAUUGAUGCUAAUAGGGUUUGAAGCAUCUGGUAUUACUAUAAAGUUACACACAUGAAAUUUAAAAUUCAUUGUGCCGCCACAACUAUAUACAACUCAGAAAAUAUUCACAAAGUUGUCAAUCUUAAAAAUGAUCUCCAAAACUGGAUUUCUUAAGAAAUGCUUACUCAUCAAAUAUGAAGGAUCAAUUGAGAAAUACCGUCACACAACAUCUAGCAUGAUGAUUAUAUGCACACCAACCUAUUUUGUACAUCAAUUUCAGAUUGGAUUGCAUGCAUACAGGUCUAAUAUACAUAUUCUAAGUUGUAAUUUUAUCAAAAUGAGAACUUAUUGAAGCUUAUAUUGUAGUGUCCAAAUGGCCAUACUCUCUGCUCGAGCUGUAAGGUUAGAGUGCACAACUGUUGCCCCACUUGCCGGAAUGAACUUGGAAAUAUAAGGUGCUUGGCACUGGAGAAAGUAGCAGAGUCGCUGGAUCUUCCUUGUAGACACCAAAUUUAUGGUUGCCAAGAUAUAUUCCCAUACUACAGCAAGCUGAAGCACGAGAAAACCUGUAAAUAUCGCCCGUACAGCUGCCCUUAUGCUGGAGCUGAAUGUUCUGUCACUGGAGAUAUCCAAUUCCUUAUGAUGCAUCUUAAAAAUGAUCACAAGGUCGACAUGCAUGACGGGAGUACUUUCAACCAUAGAUAUGUCAAAUCCAAUCCCCAAGAAGUUGAAAAUGCUACAUGGAUGUUGACAGUAUGUUUCUCUCUCCCUCUCUCUCUCUCUCUCUCUCUCUAUAUAUAUAUAUAUAUAUAUCCUACACGGUACAGACACACACGAAUUGCGUUUCUAUACCCUGUUAAUAAGAUUGCAUCUUUUAAGCACUACACUCGAUCCAGUUUUUGUUUUUGGUUAUCUGUCAAAGUGCCUUCAUUGAUUGCAGUGUGGGAAAUUCAACUGUUUAAUUAAAAGCUACCCCUUUGUGGGAAAUUCAUGGGGCCAAUGUUGGGACCAUCAAAAGACCUACUGAGACAGCUUACUUUGUAGUUCCAGGCUUUCUUAAUCCCUAAUUGCUGACUUUCGUGUUUUUCUUUCUCUAUGACUUCUCCGUUUCACUUCUUUAAUUCUGAGUAGAAAUAGGGGUAAAAACUUUGCAGUCUUAGAAAUAUCUUUGAAAUGGCUGCCUAAUCCAUAGUCAAAUUUCAUUCCCUUUCGCCCUUAUCGGCAAACUUUGAUCCUAUUUGUUUGAUUGUUUCCCUUUCCUCAGUAACUGGUUAUGCAUCCUGUUCAUAUAUACACUAGUAGGCAACAAUAUCUCUUUUCAGUUUUACAUGAACGUCAUCCGGUUCUUUUGUGUAAGUAUAUAUCUUGAAGUUUUUAAGACAUCUUUCCGUAAAGGUCGUACCCAGUGCACAAGGCUCCCGCUUUACGUCGGGUCUGGGAGAGGUGAAUGUCGGCUAGCCUUACCCCCAUUUAUGGAGAGGCUGUUCCCAAGUCUCGAACCCGAGACCUACCGCUCAUGGGCGAAGGCACUUGCCAUCGCACCAAGUGCGACCUCUACCAAGUGCGACAUCUUUCCGUAUUAAAAAAAAAAUUAAAAAUAUCUUUUAUGUUCUUGUUUAGCACUGAACAGUAACACAAAUCGGUCUUCUCAUAUUUGGUUCCGUUCAACCUCCACCAAUGUAUUCAAACCCCUCUUUGAUUUUGAAUGUAGUGCAGAUUUUCAACUGUUUUGGCCGUCAGUUUUGCUUGCAUUUUGAGGCUUUCCACAUUGGAACUGCACCUGUUUACAUGGCCUUCCUAAGGUUUAUGGGUGACGAUGAUGAGGCGAAGCAAUUCACUUAUAGUCUUGAAGUUAGUGGCAGUGGCAGAAAGCUUACAUGGCAAGGAAUUCCCCGGAGUAUCCGAGAUAGCCACCGAAAGGUCCGUGACAGUCAAGACGGAUUAAUCAUUCAGAGAAACCUAGCACUCUUCUUCUCGGGUGGCAAUAGGCAGGAGUUGAAGCUGAAAGUCGCCGGACGUAUAUGGAAAGAACACUGAGAUAUAAAAACUGGAAAACCUGUUCAAAGAUAUUGUAACCUUGUUACUGUGAAAAAUAAAAGGUUGGAAGGAAUUGACGGAGCUCUAUGUGAAAGGCUGGAUAUGUAUGUUGCUUGAUCAAAUUAAUUUAAGAUCUCUUUUGCUGAGUCUUGAUAUGAAUCUCCUGUGUUUUGUCAGCUGCGCAUAUAAUGCAACAGACUUGUAGCUCAAGUUGUUAAGAGUAUGUACUGUUGACACACGACACACGACAUUCUGUGUUCGAUUCCUCCCUUAUCGUAUCGCUUCUUACACCAGAAUCUAGAAAGUUCCUUUGAUCAAGUAACAAAAAAGGCAGGGAUUUCAUUCAGAUAAGUUUUAACCGAGUCAUGGUCUAAAGUAUAUUUCCGUAUCCAAUGCAUGCAGAUAAGUCUUGAUGAACGUGGAAAAAGAUAAGUCUUGAUUAACGUGGAAAAAGAAACUUUACUUGAGUCACGGUCCAAGUAUAUUUCCAUAUCACUAUCUCAUCGGCCGUCGCAGUAUAGUGUCCAUGACUAUCUAGAACGAUUAUCGACUAUUAAUGUAUGUAAAAGAUUUGUCGGUAAAAAUUAUCUUUUUAAACAUAAUAUACAUUUGACUUAAUCGUUUAACGAUUCAUUUUGACCUCCCGACUGCACGCCCGAAAUACCGCACCAAUAUAUUUUGGUUGCCCACUCCUGUAUACACAGGCUCGAACACAAGAAUUUCUCCAUACCUAACUCAUUCGCACAAAGAACACCAACGUAAGAAGUCUUACAUCAGUAAGUGGGCUUGUAUAAUCCUAGAGCGCUACCUCACCAACUUUUUUUGUUAGUUCCAAGUACUGAUCCAUGUCUUUUCUAAUAUUUUUUUUUCAAGUCUUAAUGUCUUUUGGCAUGAGCCCCUAUCUGUUAACAAUAUUUUCUAAUUGGAGCUCUGCAGUAAGUUUUUGGAUCAUAUGUUCAAAUCAACUAAAUCGAUUUUUUUUCAUUUUAUCUUUAAUUACGAUUAUUCAUAAUUUACCUUGUUCUUAAUCUUGUCAUUUCACACAUCCACCAAAAUAUUCUCGUAUGUUACGCUCAUUUUUUGCAUGUGAACCUAGCCCCUCCCCAUUAAGGAAAAAUUUGUACGACAAACUAGAAGAAGUACAAAGAAAAUCUUACCUUCCAAUUACAAGCUUUGAUUUCUCAACCGUGUGGUUUGAUGAAAUACCAAAGCCCAAAAUCCGAAGUGGCACUUUACCAUGUUGAGCCUUUAAAUAACAACGGUGUGAGUUCGAAUUCCGUCAAUUGUUAAUCUAAUAUUUAAUUUAACAAAUUUACAGUUAAAAAUAUAAAAAAAUCCACCGCCUCGGACACAAAACUCGGUGGUGACCUCCUCCGCCUAAACCCUAAACCUUACAAACUUCUCUCUCUUCUCUCUCUCUUCUCUCUCUCCUCCAUCCCAAAAUCAAAGAAAGAAAUGCUACUGAUAGCUCGAACUCACUCUCUCUCUAAGCUCAAACCCCUCCUUUCUCUCUCUCUCCUCGCCCAAUCCUUCCCAUCCCAAACCCCACUUUCAAAUUUCACUUCAAUCCUAAAACCCCAUUUCCCAAGCCCCACAAAUUCUCAACCUUUACCAUUCUCCGCCAUUUUCUUCAACCCAUUUUCUUCGUCUCAAUCUUUGCCCUUGGACCGCGAAGGAAAUUACGAUGAAACCACCACCGCAGCUCGCCAUGUCUGCCGUGGGUGUGGGGUUCAAAUGCAGGAUUCCGACCCCAAACACCCGGGAUUCUUCCUCAAGCCCUCGAAAAAGGAUCCGAGGGCGUAUCGAUUGGGGACCCAUCUCGAGCACGUUGGGCAAGUGCCGGAAUUCAACGAUUCCCUCAAAAGGGGUCUAAUAAUCGACCCCGAAAACUUGAGUUCCGAGGUCGAUUUGGUGGGAGUCAAGGGCGAAAAGCCGGUGGUCUGCGCACGGUGUCACUCUCUGAGGCAUUACGGGAAGGUGAAGGAUCCGACGGUGGAGAACUUGCUACCGGAUUUCGAUUUUGAUCAUACCGUUGGGAGGAAGUUGGCUUUGACGUCUGGGACCCGAUCGGUUGUGCUAAUGGUGGUGGAUGCUGCAGACUUUGAUGGGUCAUUUCCGAAAAAGGUUGCCAAGUUGGUUUCGGAUACAAUCGAGGAGCAUUCCACAGCUUGGAAACAGGGGAAGUCAGGGAAUGUGCCGAGAGUGGUGCUUGUAGUGACAAAGAUUGAUCUUUUGCCAAGUUCGUUGUCGCCCACGAGGUUAGAGCAUUGGGUUAGGACUAGAGCAAGGGAGGGCGGAGCAAGUAAGAUAACGAGUGUACAUUUGGUGAGUUCUGUAAGGGAUUGGGGGUUGAAGAAUCUUGUUGAUGAUGUUGCUAGCUUGGCAGGACCAAGAGGGAACGUGUGGGCAAUAGGGGCACAGAAUGCCGGGAAGAGUACGCUGAUAAACGCAAUAGGGAAGCAUGUUGGAGGGAAGAUUACACAUCUGACAGAAGCGCCUGUGCCCGGAACAACAUUGGGAAUUGUUAGAGUGGAAGGUGUUCUUCCUGGUCAUACCAAGUUGUUUGAUACUCCCGGGCUUUUGAAUCCUCAUCAGAUUACAACUAGGUUGACAAGAGAGGAACAGAGUCUUGUAAACAUUAGCAAGGAAUUGAAGCCAAGGACAUACAGAAUCAAGGUAAGCUUACUUGAGCAUCAAGUACCUUACAGUGAUUUUUGUGUAUUUGGUUAUUAGAAACCUUUGAAUAAACUGUGCUGUAGUACUCAUUGUAAACUCGCAGUAAUGUGUUUCUACCAGUGCAAAUAAUUCAUUAACACAAACCAUGUUUAUAGAUUGUAUCUAAAAGCUCAAGUUUUUGUUUGUAUUGCUAAGCACCCAUCGCUUCAAUUGUUUAAGUAUGAUUCCUUUUUCUGUUUUGCUGGUCGAGGAAAACUCAAGAGGUGUCUUCAAUUGUUUAAGUAUUGGAUGUUCAUUUACCACUGACUAGUACUUAACUUUUGCUUCUGAUUGUGUGUGUGUGUGUGUAAAGCUCUGCUUUGCUACUUUUUGGAUUCUGUUAAAAUGCAUAGUUCAUUGUCAAUCUCAGAAUAUCGUUGUUGCAAAAUUAUAUUCCAUGUGAUUACUUAAUAUUUUUUCCAUUUAUCAUAGCUCAUUUUUCUUGUCCUUUGGUUGUUACAGGAUGGCUAUUCAGUUCAUAUUGCUGGGCUUAUGAGGCUGGAUAUAGAAGAAUCAUCAGUAGAUUCUGUUUAUGUUACGACAUGGGCAUCUCCUUAUCUUCCGCUACACAUGGGAAAAACCGAAAAUGCCUGCACAAUGGUAGAGGAACAUUUUGGUCGUCAAUUACAGGUAUUAGCACUAGGUGACGAGUGAUAAUUCAACAAAUUCUUGGUUUCUAGUCUAGUAGUCAUUAGUCUUAUUGAUUUUCAACAUGUUACCGUUGGAGAGAUUUGAAUUCACAAAUACCAAUAAGCACAACACACACACACACACAUAUAUAUGUAUAUGUAUAUAUGUAAUACCAGUCUGUUUGCUGAUUCUUUUUAAUUUCUAAAUUCAGGGUAUAAUUUUUCAGUUUCCUAAAUAGUAUAAAUUUGUUGAGAAUCAAGAGAUUUGUGUAGGCUUCGGGCUUCCUAACGGCAUUAAAUCUUGCGCCUAGUUAUGAUGCUUGAAAUUCCAUCUUUAGAUACGAGGCUAUGAUAAAAAUGAGGUGUGCUCUCCACACACCCAUUUUUACUUCUCACACACCCUUCUAAUUUUGAGUCAUCAGAUCGGAUAAAUUGAAGAAGAUCAAAUGACAUAAAUUAACAAGGGGAGUGUGAGAAGUAAAAAGAGGUGUGUGGAUAGCACACCCCUAAAGAUAUGCUUAUCAUUAAAUCUUUCAAGGGAACGCAUGAUAUGGUUGCAUACAUAUAUGUAGGUGUAGUUCUGAUGCCAAAAUGAACUUCCCAUUGUUUCAGCCACCAAUUGGAGAGAAUAGAGUCAAGGAGCUUGGGCAGUGGGUGAGAAAGGAAUUUCGAAUCAGUGGAAACAGUUGGGAUUCAAGUUCGGUGGAUAUUGCUGCUGCAGGUCUUGGUUGGUUUGCUGUUGGACUUAAAGGAGAGGCAGUUGUGAGUGUUUGGACGUACGAUGGUAUUGAUGUUGUUCUUCGCAAUGCAUUGCUUCCUCAUAGAUCAUACACUUUUGAAGUUGCUGGGUUUACCGUCUCUAAGAUCGUUUCCAAGGCUGACCAAGCUUCAAAUAAGCCACAACACAAAAGUGAGAAGAAGAGGAAACAAAGCAACCAGAAGGAAUCUGUUGCGUGCUGAUUUGGUACUUAAUUCCUAACUUACCACCCGAAGCAGGCUCAACUUAUUUUGACAACUGGAAGUGUUAGCGAGUAAAAGAGAAAGUUCUUAUGGAAAUGGAAAACCAGUGUUGUGGCAAUUUACAGUUGAUAUACUACCGGUGAGGAAUAUUUCAGUAAGCAACGUCAACCUUUUCUAGGAAUGAAAAGGGUAGGCAUCUUCUUGAGCCACCGACGAAACUGUCGAUUCUUUCUCCGACCAUGGAAGGGGUGGAUGUUCCAUAUUGGGAUGAUCUUUCUGCAGUAUUGAUAUUUAAGAAUGACAACUCAAAGGCGGCGUUUCUUUUACAGGCCUCAGAACUACGGUGAAAGACGCAAAGGCUUUUGUGACUCACAAGUGCAUGAGCCUUGUGUUGAAUUUCUUAUUCAUUAUUCUUCUCUCUGUAAAUUGCAAGUCUGAAGAGCUGAGUUUAAUCAGUUUACAGCUGUCUGGUAUGAAGCUUUGUCAUGAUUUUGUACUGGCUUUUCAUAAUUUUGGCAAAAUGGCCAAAAUUUAAUGACUUGGGCUAGUUUGGUAUUGCUGAGCUUUGAAAAAAAACUGUUUUUGCUGUGCUGUGAAAAUAAGCUCAUUUUUGCUGCUUCACGUUUUCAACUUUUUUUCACCCAAAACUGUGAAAAUAAGCUGUUUUUUAAGUAUUUACCAAACAUUUUUUUUAUCUCAGUUUUUUUUUAUAUCAAUUGUUUAUAAAAGCACCUCAGUACCAAACCAGAACUUGAAGACGUACAGCUUGUUGGCAUGAAACUUUUUGUAUAUUUCGUACUGUAAUCCUCAAAAUUAUUUUCUUCUCCUUAUUGCCUAAUCAGAGGUCGCACUUGGUGCGAUGACAAGUGCCUUCGUCUAUGAGCGGUAGGUCUCGGGUUCGAGACUUGGGAGCAGCCUCUCCAUAAAUGGGGGUAAGGCUAGCCGACAUUCACCUCUCCCAGAUCCUGCUUAAAGCGGGAGCCUUGUGCACUGGGUACGACCUUUUUUUAUUGCCUAAUUGCAAUAAUAAUUUCUUCUUAAGUUAAAACAAGCACAACUGUUUGCACAACUCAACACGAAUACGUUCAGUUAGCUGACUUCGCAUAUUGACCUUAUUUGCAUGGAUAAUGCGCAUAAUUAAGGUUUAGCCUCAGUAUAUAAUGUUCUUGCUGGGUUUUAGGUUCAGUCGCUCGCGCAUCUGUGGGUUGAUGUGUACAGUUGAUGCUUCUUCCUAACACAUCAACGACGCACAAUCAAUCAUCACGAGCAUAAGCGUUUCAUAGUCACACAAAUUGAACUUUCUUGAGCCGAAUUUGUGAAACUACGAGAUUAAAUAACUUUCGCCUCAAAACGAAGCCCCUGCCGUGUUCACCUUCGCUUCGAAAGAAAAUGAAACAAAACGAAAUUAGCAGACAGAGACUCAAAAUUUGCAGCCAAAAUCUUUCUGCAAGCCAUCAACUGAGAAGAAAUCCUUCAAGAUCUCCGGUGAGUGGUUUGCAACUUAAAAGAGGAGAAACUACGUUUUCGGAAAUCACUUCCAACAAGAAACAGUAGUACUUACAUAACUUUAUGAAUUGCAAAAUACAACACUGGUACAACAACAACAACAACAAAGCCUUUUCCCACUAAGUGGGGUCGGCUAUAUGAAUCCUAGAACGCCAUUGCGCUCGGUUUUGUGUCAUGUCCUCCGUUAGAUCCAAGUACUCUAAGUCUUUUCUUAGAGUCUCUUCCAAAGUUUUCCUAGGUCUUCCUCUACCCCUUUGGCCCUGAACCUCUGUCCCGUAGUCACAUCUUCGAACCGGAGCGUCAGUCGGCCUUCUUUGCACAUGUCCAAAUCAUCGGAGCCGAUUUUCUCUCAUCUUUCCUACAAUUUCGGCUACUCCUACUUUACCUCGGAUAUCCUCAUUCCCAAUCUUAUCCUUUCUCGUGUGCCCACACAUCCCACGAAGCAUCCUCAUCUCCGCUACACCCAUUUUGUGUACGUGUUGAUGCUUCACCGCCCAACAUUCUGUGCCAUACAACAUCGCUGGCCUUAUUGCCGUCCUAUAAAAUUUUUCCUUGAGCUUCAGUGGCCUACGACGGUCACACAACACGCCGGAUGCACUCUUACACUUCAUCCAUCCAGCUCGUAUUCUAUGGUUGAGAUCUCCAUCUAAUUCUCCGUUCUCUUGCAAGAUAGGUCCUAGGUAGCGAAAACGGUUGCUUUUUGUGAUCUUCGCUAGAUUGCUCCGGUCAUUAGUGUGGAUAAGUAUAUAUAAAUGGAUAGAGAUAGGAAAGCAAACACAAGAUGUACGUGGUUCACCCAGAUUGGCUACGUCCACGGAAUAGAAGAGUUCUCAUUAAUUGUGAAGGGUUUACACAAGUACAUAGGUUCAAGCUCUCCUUUAGUGAGUACAAGUGAAUGAUUUAGUACAAAUGACAUUAGGAAAUAUUGUGGGAGAAUGAUCUCGUAAUCACGAAACUUCUAAGUAUCGGAGUGUGGUGUCGUCUUGACUUGCCUUAUCUGUCUCAUAGGUAGAUGUGGCAUCUUCUCUGGAAGUACUCUUCCUCCAUCCAGGGGUGGUAUCUUUAACUGGUGGAGAUGCACAAGGUAAUGUAUCAAUUUCACUUGAAGCUUACUUGUAGUUCUCAGGCUUGGUCAAGCGCGAUACAAACCAUGUAGUAGGAGUCCCCCAAGUCGCCGAGCUAGGGAGUCUGCUGAAAGAGGUGACAGACAAGGUAAGCAAUCAGAGCUCCGACUGAUUGUUCACCUUCUCCCCAUCUUGCAGCAGCAUGAAGGAUAAAGAGAAGAAAAAUGAGAAGAGAUGAUAUGAGAUACUUUUGCUUUUGAAGAAGUAACUUUCCACAGGCUUAUUCUUGAACUGAGCUGGAGGGUUUUCUGGUUUCCUCCAGAGUAUAAGGCCGACUGAAGAAUUUGAGGGUCAAAACAAGUCCAUCAAAUCUAGAGUACGUUCCACCCUGCUGAUAUGGGAUACUUUUGCUUUUGACAGAGUAAUGGAUGUAUCGGCACGUGUGCUGUUACGCUUGUCUCCACAUGCUUCCUUGUAUCCUUCGCACUUGCCCUAUCUGUUCCUCAAGCAGAUGCGGAAUCUUCCCUGGAAACAUAAGAUGUUGAAGAUGAGUACUCGAGAGCAAUGCCAGGUAAGUAAUCAGGUAAGGGGUUCCAGGCAGUCAGUUCCUGGCUGGAAGCUUGAUUCCAAGUGCUGACUGAUUGCUCUCUUUCUCCUUGUCUUGCAGGUAAAAACAAGGCCAAAGGAAAAGACAGGGAAAAAGCAUGAUAUGGGAUACUCUUGCUUUUAACCCUGAUGAUAUGAGAUAUUCUUGCUCUAGUAUAGCUUGUUUGCAGGGGUAUUAUCGGGGGGAAAGAAAGCUGAAAUAUUUCGAAAGGCUUCGUUGGGAGUGCCCUCUCAGAUAUGAUGAAGGGUUGAGCAUUUUUGCAGGUCUGCCUGUCCGUUGGGGAUGGAGGUCGACAUAUAUAGGAGUUUCCCUAACAACAAGUAGUAAUGCUAUUCCUUUACCCUGCUUGGUCAUAGCACGGUAGUGGGAGCUGCCAGUUUCACAUGUUUUAACUCUGUCAGAGCACUUUGAAAAAGUGGUCUGUGGUAUCUGGCUCUCGAGAUUCGGAGAACGAUGCCUCUUCGAUUUUUGAGAAAGCAAUCAUGCUGGGGGUCUGGCUCUCGAGAUUCGGAGAGCAGUGUCUCUUCGAUUUUUGAGGAAGUAAUCAUGUUGGGAGUCUGGCUCUCGAGAUUUGGAGGGCGGUGCCUCUUCGAUUUUGGAGCAAGCAAUCCUGUUGGGAGUGUUGUCUCGAAUGUGAGUAAAGGUUGGGCAUGUUUGCUAGUCUACCUUGCCACGAAGCACAAAGGUUGACACAGGGACUUUCCAAUUAUCCAGCAAUGGUACUGUUCCUUUACCCUCUCUUCGCUUUUGAGAAAGUAGUCAUGUUGAGAGUCUGGCUCUCGAGAUUCGGAGGACGGUGCCUCUUCGAUUUUGGAGCAAGCAAUCUUGUUGGGAGUGUUUUCUCGAAAGUGAGUAAAGGUUGGGCAUGUUUGCUAGUCUACCUUGCCACGAAGCACAGAGGUUGACACACAGGGACUUUCCAAUUAUCCAGCAGUGGUACUGUUCCUUUACCCUUGUGGGUAAUAAUAUGGUAGCUAGACCUUCAAAAUUUAUGUGUCUAAACUUUGUUAGUGCUGUUUCUUUGCUAUUCUUUUACCUUUCUUGGUCAGAGCGAUGUAGUGGGAGCUGCAAGCUUCACGUGCUCAACUUUGGCAGAGAACUUUGGCAAAGUUAUCUGUGGUACCCAUGAGCUAUUGUUGCGUGUGGGAAGUGGGUGAUUGAACAGUAAGAUUCAUGUGCUUUCUACUUCACCAGAAGUCUUCGACAGAAUGCCCAUAAUUUCUGCAAAGCUGAGUGUGCGUGUGACAGGUGCUGACAAGGCUAGAAAAGUAGGUGCCUCUUCGAUUUCUGAGAUCGGCCCUCGUGGUCUCUGAGCAGCCCAGCUUUUGAGAAAGCGAGCGCCUCUUCGAUUGAUUCGGAGAACGAUGCCUCAUCGAUUUUUGAGAAAGCAAUCAUGCUGGGGGUCUGGCUCUCGAAGAUUCGGGGAGCAGUGUCUCUUCGAUUUUUGAGAAAGUAAUCACGUUGGGAGUCUAGCUCUCGAGAUUCGGAGGGCGGUGCCUCUUCGAUUUUGGAGCCAGCAAUCUUGUUGGGAGUGUUUUCUCGAAUGUGAGUAAAGGUUGGGCAUGUUUGCUAGUCUACCUUGCCACGAAGCACAGAGGUUGACACACAGGGACUUUCCAAUUAUCCAGCAAUGGUACUGUUCCUUUACCCUCUCUUCGAUUUUUAAGAAAGUAGUCAUGUUGGGAGUCUGGCUCUCGAGAUUCGGAGGACGGUGCCUCUUCGAUUUUGGAGCAAGCAAUCUUAUUGGGAGUGUUUUCUCGAAUGUGAGUAAAGGUUGGGCAUGUUUGCUAGUCUACCUUGCCACGAAGCACAGAGGUUGACACACAGGGACUUUCCAAUUAUCCAGCAGUGGUACUGUUCCUUUACCCUUGUGGGUAAUAAUAUGGUAGCUAGACCUUCAAAAUUUAUGGGUCUAAACUUUGUUAGUGCUGUUUCUUUGCUAUUCUUUUACCCUUCUUGGUCAGAGCGAUGUAGUGGGAGCUGCAAGCUUCACGUGCUCAACUUUGGCAGAGAACUUUGGCAAAGUUAUCUGUGGUACCCAUGAGCUAUUGUUGCGUGUGGGAAGUGGGUGAUUGAACAGUAAGAUUCAUGUGUUUUCUACUUCCUCAGAAGUCUUCGACAGAAUGCCCAUAAUUUCCGCAAAGCUGAGUGUGCGUGUGACAGGUGCUGACAAGGCUGGAAAAGUAGGUGCCUCUUCGAUUUUUGAGAUCGGCCCUCGUGGUCUCUGGGAGCCCAGCUUUUGAGAAAGCGAGCGCCUCUUCGAUUUCUGAGAUCGGCCUUCGUGGUCUUUGAGCAGCCCAACUUUUGAGAAGCAAACGCCUCUUCGAUUUCUGAGAUCAACCCUCGUGAUCUCUAAGCAGCCCAGCUUUUGAGAAAGCAAACGCCUCUUCGAUUUCUGAGCAGGCGCCUCUUCGAUUUCUGAAGCUCCGUCGAGUGCAGAUUUUAUAUAGGGGCUGGCAUUAAGUUCCAAAGCACACUUGAAUCUCCACCAGUAGAAGCUUCAUUCUUGCACUUCUAAGAUCUUGAUUUGUCCGACCUCUUCUCUCUUCAACACCUUUGAAAAUGUCUGGCCCCUCCGACCGUCGUUUUGACUUGAACCUUGUUGAAGAGGCAGCCCCGCCUUCUCCAGACAACAUAUGGCGCCCAUCCUUCGUCUCCCCUACUGGUCCUCUUACCGUUGGGGAUUCCGUGAUGAAGAAUGAUAUGACCGCUGCGGUGGUGGCCAGGAACCUUCUCACUCCCAAAGAUAACAGACUACUUUCCAAACGGUCUGAUGAGUUAGCUGUUAAGGAUUCGCUGGCUCUCAGUGUUCAGUGUGCAGGUUCUGUGUCUAAUAUGGCCCAACGCCUAUUUGCUCGAACCCGCCAAGUUGAAUCAUUGGCGGCUGAAGUGAUGAGUCUCAAACAGGAGAUUAGAGGGCUCAAGCAUGAGAAUAAACAGUUGCACCGGCUCGCACAUGACUAUGCUACAAACAUGAAGAGGAAGCUUGACCAGAUGAAGGAAACUGAUGGUCAGGUUUUACUUGAUCAUCAGAGAUUUGUGGGUUUGUUCCAAAGGCAUUUAUUGCCUUCGUCUUCUGGGGCUGUACCGCGUAAUGAAGCUCCAAAUGAUCAACCUCUGAUGCCUCCUCCUUCUAGGGUUCUGUCCAGUACUGAGGCUCCAAAUGAUCCCCCUCCGGUGCCUUCUCUUUCUGGGGCUCUACCGACUGCUGAGACUUCUCCUAAGCAACCUUUGUGAAGGCUCCCUCUUGUUGUGUUUAUUUUGACUCAUGUAUAUGUACAUAUUUGUAGCUUAUCGGGGAUAUCAAUAAAUAAGCUUUCCUUCAUUUCAACGUAUUGUGUUAAAUACACCAAAGCCUUCUUCGCUAAGUUCUUUGAAUUUUCUUUUGUUGAAGCUUGUAUGUUGAAGCUUUCUGAGUGGAGCAUGUAGGUUGGGGUAGUGUUCCCUUAAUUUCCCGAGUGAGGAAAACUUCUCGGUUGGAGACUUGGAAAAUCCAAGUCACUGAGUGGGAUCGGCUAUAUGAAUCUUAGAACGCCAUUGUGCUCGAUCCUGUGUCAUGUCCUUCGUUAGAUCCAAGUACUCUAAGUCUUUUCUUAGAGUCUCUUCCAAAGUUUUCCUAGGUCUUCCUCUACCCCUUCGGCCCUGAACCUCUGUCCCAUAGUCGCAUCUUCUAAUCGGAGCGUCAGUAGGCCUUCUUUGCACAUGUCCAAACCACCGUAACCGAUUUUCUCUCAUCUUUCCUUCAAUUUCGGCUACUCCUACUUUACCCCGGAUAUCCUCAUUCCUAAUCUUAUCCUUUCUCGUGUGCCCACACAUCCAACGAAGCAUCCUCAUCUCCGCUACACCCAUUUUGUGUACGUGUUGAUGUUUCACCGCCCAACAUUCUGUGCCAUACAGCAUCGCCGGCCUUAUUGCCGUCCUAUAAAAUUUUCCCUUGAGCUUCAAUGGCAUACGGCGGUCACACAACACGCCGGAUGCACUCUUCCACUUCAUCCAUCCAGCUUGUAUUCUAUGGUUGAGAUCUCCAUCUAAUUCUCCGUUCUUUUGCAAGAUAGAUCCUAGGUAACGAAAACGGUCGCUCUUUGGUAUUUCUUGAUCUCCGAUCCUCACCCCUAACUCGUUUUGGCCUCCAUUUGCACUGAACUUGCACUCCAUAUAUUCUGUCUUUGAUCGGCUUAGGCGAAGACCUUUAGAUUCCAACACUUCUCUCCAAAGGUUAAGCUUUGCAUUUACCCCUUCCUGAGUUUCAUCUAUCAACACAACACUAUAUCGUCUGCGAAAAGCAUACACCAAGGAAUAUCAUCUUGAAUAUGUCCUGUUAACUCAUCCAUUACCAACGCAAAAAGGUAAGGACUUAAGGAUGAGCCUUGAUGUAAUCCUACAGUUAUGGGAAAGCUUUCGGUUUGUCCUUCAUGAGUUCUUACGGCAGUCUUUGCUCCUUCAUACAUAUCCUUUAUAGCUUGGAUAUAUGCUACUCGUACUCCUUUCUUCUCUAAAAUCCUCCAAAGAAUGUCUCUUGGGACCCUAUCAUACGCUUUUUCCAAAUCUAUAAAGACCAUGUGUAAAUCCUUUUUCCCAUCUCUAUAUCUUUCCAUCAAUCUUCGUAAGAGAUAGAUUGCCUCCAUGGUUGAGCGCCCUGGCAUGAACCCGAAUUGGUUGUCCGAAACCCGUGUCUCUUACCUCAAUCUAUGCUCAAUGACUCUCUCCCAGAGCUUCAUUGUAUGACUCAUUAGCUUAAUACCCCUAUAGUUCAUGCAAUUUUGUACGUCGCCCUUAUUCUUGUAGAUAGGCACCAAAGUGCUCGUUCGCCACUCAUUUGGCAUCUUCUUCGUUUUCAAAAUCCUAUUGAAAAGGUCAGUGAGCCAUGUUAUACCUGUCUCUCCCAAAAGUUUCCACACUUCGAUUGGUAUAUUGUCUGGUCCUAUUGCUUUUUUAUGCUUCAUCUUCUUCAAAGCUACAACCACUUCUUCCUUCCGGAUUCGACGAUAAAAAGAGUAGUUUCUACACUCUUCUGAGUUACUCAACUCCCCUAAAGAAUCACUCAUUUCAUGUCCUUCAUUGAAAAGAUUAUGAAAAAUAACCUCUCCAUCUGUCUUUAACCGCGUUCUCUGUAGCAAGAACCUUUCCAUCCUCAUCCUUGAUGCACCUCACUUGGUUUAGGUCCCUUGUCUUCUUUUCCCUUGCUCUAGAUAGUUUAUAGAUAUCCAACUCUCCUUCUUUGGUAUCUAGUCGUUUAUACAUAUCGUCGUAAGCCGCUAACUUAGCUUCUCUGACAGCUUUUUUCGCCUCUUGCUUCGCUUUUCUAUACCUUUCACCAUUUUCAUCGGUCCUCUCCUUGUAUAAGGCUUUACAACAUUCAUUCUUAGCCUUCACCUUUGUUUGUACCUCCUCAUUCCACCACCAAGAUUCCUUUUGGUGUGGGGCAAAGCCCUUGGACUCUCCUAAUACCUCUUUUGCUACUUUUCGGAUACAACUAGCCAUGGAAUCCCACAUUUGGCUAGCUUCCCCCUCUCUAUCCCACACACAUUGGGUGAUUACCUUCUCUUUGAAAAUGACUUGUUGUUUUUCUUCUUUUAGAUUCCACCAUCUAGUCCUUGGGCACUUCCAAGUCUUGUUCUUUUGUCUUACUCUUUUGAUAUGUACAUCCAUCACCAACAAGCGAUGUUGAUUAGCCACGCUCUCUCCUGGUAUAACUUUGCAAUCCUUACAAGUUAUACGAUCCCCUUUCCUCAUUAGAAGAAAAUCUAUUUGUGUUUUUGACGACCCACUCUUGUAGGUGAUCACAUGUUCUUCUCUCUUCUUAAAGAAGGUGUUGGCUAAGAAGAGAUCAUAUGCCAUUGCAAAAUCCAAGAUAGCUUCCCCAUCCUCGUUUCUCUCCCCAAAACCAUGGCCACCAUGAAAACCUCCAUAGUUGCCUGUCUCCCUGCCCACGUGUCCAUUUAAAUCUCCUCCUAUAAAUAACUUCUCCGUCUGAGCAAUUCCUUGCACCAAGUCUCCAAGAUCUUCCCAAAAUUUCUCCUUCGAACUCGUAUCCAACCCUACUUGAGGUGCGUACGCACUAAUCACAUUGAUAAGUUCUUGUCCUAUUACAAUCUUGAUUGCCAUGAUUCUAUCUCCUACCCUCUUGACAUCUACAACAUCUUGUACCAAGGUCUUGUCCACGAUGAUGCCAACACCGUUUCUCGUUCUAUUUGUGCCCGAAUACCAAAGUUUAAACCCUGAGUUUUCUAGAUCCUUUGCCUUACUACCAACCCACUUAGUUUCUUGUAGGCACAUAAUAUUUAUCCUUCUCCUCACCAUAACUUCCACUACUUCCAUAGAUUUUCCCGUUAAGGUUCCUAUAUUCCACGUUCCUAAACGCAUUUUGCUCUCUUGAACUCUACCCUUCUGUCCUAGCUUCUUCACCCUCCCCCGUCUAAUAGGAUCAAAGAAGAUAAAUAGUACAUACUAGUAGCAUGCACUGAAACAAAAGGAACACAAUUUUCCAGCCAAGCUACUGUAAACUCGGACUGUACCAACUCACUCCCCAAGUGAAUUCAGUUUCAAUACUAUCAUAAAAUUUUUUGGAUCUUCCAAAUUUCCGGCCAUCUAAGUAGAAAGGAUGAGAAAAAUCACACAUGGUGGUUCUACUAUGUCCAGAAUUCUCAACACAAAACAUGUCGUCGUGGUCAAUUCCUCCUAACUCCACAAAAUAAAUGCAGUUUGCUUCCGACCCGUUGGAAUUACUCACUGGAAAGGAAAAGGAACAGCCUCGGCUUGUUACAAAUAAUAUUUGAUUCCCCAAACUCUGUACCUCGAUAAAGCUUUCACCAUUCUCCGGAUCGAUCUUGUAAACUAGAAAAUCAUGAGUCCUUGUCCAGGUAUUCAAAUCGGUUUUCAUUUGAUCCUUUAUUUGACGGAUCAACAAGACUUCGUUGCUGGUUGUUGAUUCUAUCAAAUAUGACUCGUCUUUGACCUUGACAUCCAAAAAGUCACCUUCACCCCAGCAGUUGAAUGAACCCUUUCGUGAUUUUUCUUUGUCAUAAACCAACUUCAAUUCCAGCUCAUCACCAUCUCCGAGGCAUAAUGUGCGAGUUACAACGUGUCCAGACUUACUGUUUUUGACAGUGUUUUCGACUAAGACAUAUAGCAUGCCACAAGACGAAAACAGUAGGCAUGAAGGACACGUUUUUCUAUCCCACAUCCGAGAUAUUUUCCAACCUUUUUUUGGCCUGCACACACCAAUUUCCCCAGAAGAAAAAAUUGCUGCCACCGUACAUUCUGAUAGAUUUGAACUCGAUAGUGCAAUUUUGUCAACAAAUCGGUCGGCUUUUCCACCAAAUUUCUUGAAAUAUGGGAUUCUUCUCAAGGAAGGAAGUUCGUGUUUGGCUCCUGAAAUAGGGUUUAGUAGAAAUACUUCAGAGUGUUCUUCAUUGACCAUUAUCAACCAACCUUUGGAGGAACUAUGAAAGCACCCUUGAUUUCGCUUAGGCAACCCUAGCUUGAUGACUCUACCUUCAGGUGGGAUGGAGAACUCUAAGUAACUGGAACUCGGUUGAGUUCCAAAUAAUAGCCAGGAAGCUGCUUCAGAUGGGCCUACUAACCAUGGGAAUGGCGGAGCACUGCGGAUAAUUUGCAUAACAAUCAUUCUCCAGGACUUGCAGAGGAUGCUUAAGCGAAUCCGAUCAAGUAAGUCGAGGCGUUGUACGAUAUUCUCCAUGAUAUCCAAAGGUGGUCUCUGCCAACGCCCAUCUACAACUAACCAUAGCCAUGCCAAUCGUUCAGUUCUAAUCCAUGAACAACAAAAACAAUUCCAAAAUUCAAAGUUUCAAAAGAAAUAAAAAGAGCAAUCGAAUUACCUUCAACCUCGUUGACGCUGUUAUUCUUCUUCUCCAAGCCCUGCAUGCCGAUCUCCUUCUCCUCGCCGACGUUGAGAACGGGGCACGCAUCGUCGGGGAGAGCCAAGUCCUCGUUCGUCUCCUUCGGCGCCAGCAUGUCUUAGUCCUCGUCUAUUUUCUCGAUAGCGCCAGAUAAUUCUGACGAGGAUUAUAGAACGAGUGGGUGAGGAAGACGAAGGUCCUAUACAUGGUGUGAUUUUUGUGAGUUAUAGGUUCCAGGUUUCAUCCAACGGCCAGAUUAAUUAAUGUUUUCCAUGACGGCAUGACCCAAAAAUUUCGGAUCAAACCCAAAAAACAAGAAAAAAAAAAAUUCUAUGACCCCACAAUGAACCCUAAUUCAUUAGCUCCCAGAAUCUAGUCAUAAACCCUAAUUCCAGCUUUUUAUACCAUAUUUAGGUAUCACCAAACCAAUAGAGCAAGGGUUAACUCCACAGCUGGUCCACAUGUAGGUCUAUUACGGCCCGCGUUUCAGAGAUCACAUGAUGUGCAUGUGUGGUUUCCUUCUCUCUAGCAUCACCUAGAAAGAAAACAUAAAUACAUCUAUCCUUAAAAAGGCACUCUAAAACCCUAAACCCCCGGCUCAUGACACGCCUCGAUUCUGAUAUUCACCAAAUACCAGGAUGGGCACGUGUUGGCCGACACCUGAGGGCGACGAAACCAUUUUAAUAUGUAUGCAAGUUAUAAAGAAAGAACAAACAUAAAUAAAAUAUAUAAAUUUAUAAAUAAUGACAUGCAAAUGCAGAAACAUGUUCAGAGCAUACGACUAAUAAAAAAUGCUACAAAAAGAAUAUUAUAAAAAGAUAUGAACAAAGGAAUGGGUCCUACACUGAGAGGACUCGAAGAUACCGAUGCGUGAGUGCUAAAGACGUUGGGAUUGUAAGUCUCGUUUCUAAGUCUUCUAGGACGCUUAAAACAAAACGUGAGUGGACUAAUAAUAAUAAUAAUAAUAAUAAUAAUAAUAAUAAUAAUAAUAAUAAUAAUGAGAAAACUGUUUUUCUUUCGAACAUACUAACCCCCUGUUUUGAAAACACAUAUAUUACUACAUAGUAGGUUUUUUUGAAAACUCUAACAUGCUAUGAAAACGUUCGUAUGAUAAAAUCAUAACUUGAAGUGAUAUCAAAAUCGCCCAAAGGCAAAUCCAUAAAAACUCGUAACUCAAAACACUAAUGUACUCAAAUAGGGGUAUCAUAGUCGCCCGAAGGCAUAUCCAUCACUCGAGGGUGAAGCUGUACCACACUGGGUUACGUCACUAAAGAAAUAUGGUAGGCCCCAUCAUCUGAAGAUGAAGCUGUAUGACUCUGGGUUAUGUCAGAGAAGAAAAUGUACAUAACACACUGACACUAGUCGUGGUUAGUGAAGCUGUUUGACACUAGUUUCACAAGUGAAACUGUGAGUAUGUCAUAAAUAUCUCACUUAUCCUCAAUUGUGUCCUAUGACCAUAUACGUAUACAUACUCGUGUUGUGUAUAUGUAUCGUAUGAAUACCCACUAAUUAAGCACAUAAAACAUAAUUCAAAAUCUCAUACCAAGCUUAGAAUUCAAAACCUCAUCAUUCGAAAUCAUAAGCAAUCCGAUAACCAUGGUUUCCAUAAAUACAAAUUUUCAUAAACUUUAAACUAAUAACUCAUGAAUAUCUCAUAAAAGCAUUUUAGAUAAAUCAUAAGUUCUCCAUAAAUUAAAAGUCCAGAAAUUUGUAAAAACAUAUGAUAAAACAUAAAUAAUUCAUGAAUGUAGAAUUAUGAAAUCAUACUUUCCGUGAAUGCAUACCUAAUAUUUUUAUAAAAACAUGCAAUUUAAAAAGAGGCCCACUCACAAAUAUUCUGCUACCGGGGAGCUGAUCGAACUAGGGAGGAUGAGAUCACUUCCAACCAAUGCACCUACACACAAAUAAGGACCAUUUAUUAUAACUCUGUUAAAUCGAUCGAAUUUGGAAAAACGGAUGGCAGAUUCGGAUUCAGAACGUUGAAAAACCUAAGGAGGGAUCUCGGGUUCCCCACGUGCCGCCACGAGGCGGCGGCCCUAGUCACCACGCACCACCCCACGAUUUUCUGGAAUUUUUUCCAGAUUUUUCCUCCCAACUUCAAGAGCUGAUUCUGAGCUCGAUACAAGUCCAAAUUGAGUGAUUCAGAAGCCAAAAUGUAGUUAGGAAUGUGGAGAAGAGAUUCAUACCCUUAGAAGGCUCAACGAAGAUUGGAGUUGGCUGGAAAAAUGGUAGGAAGGUGGCCAAACGACCACGGUUUCAGUUUUCCAGAAAUGAACAGUGACUUAUCUUGUGUUUUCCGAGUUCCUACGCCAGCAAAACCACCCAAAAACUUACUAAUCAUGAACCUAGACACGAUCUACAAUGAUAGGGACCAAUUUCGAGGCUUACCUUGGCCGAAAAUGGCAAGAAUUCGCCGGAGAAGUUCCUUGUACAGUAACCGCACUGUGCAGCGCGGGGAGGGAGUUUUUAAAUGAUUUUUCUCCUCUUUUCUGGUUCAAGAACUCACAGGGAUUACAAGGGAAGGUGGUGGUGCAGUCUGGUUGUUAUUGUAGGUGUGCGGGUGUGUGUGUGUUCGGCAAAGAGAGGGAGAAAGGGUGAAUGAGAUGAGUGAGGGAGAGAAGAAUGAGAGAUUAAAAGAGAGGUACACGGGACAGAGAAGAAAACCACAGAAAAUGAAGAAUUUUUUAGUUGUAAUGGAACACAAGUGGUAUAUCACAUGUUUUAAUAGGAGUGGUGACAAAUUUAAUUUCUAAGUUAUUAACUUUUUAGCACACAUAUCCCACAAUUUGUAUAAUGACAUGUGAUGCACCGGUCACAUUAAAAAAUCUUUCCAAAAAAUGGUGGAGAACCUACCACGUGUCACCCCAUGAGUGGUCCAAGAUGGAGAAAUAUCUCCUAAAGUGAAAUUACAUAAAUGUCUUUGACGUUCAAAAAUUCGUAGAAACUUCGUUUUAACUCCGAAUUCAAUUUCGUUCGUGCUUACUCAUUCGCAUCGACAAGGGCUACAUGAAUAAAUUAAAAGAAUAAUUCUUACAUUUCAUAGAGCGAGAGUCAACGGAAGUGAACGCUUUCAUCGUUAGGGAUAUUUUCAUAAAUUUAUCCACUUAGAACAUAAAAUUCAAGAUGGAUUGUUACAGCUCCUAUUCGUUUUGAUGAUCUAUACUCAACGUCUUCUACCUUUUCGAAAAUUCUGCUGACAAGUGCGAUGCAACAUCCAUUGUCUCUUUUAUGACCAGAGGUGGCUACAGGUCUUGGUUAUGCUUUUCUCCUAAUUGCAGUUGUACUCUUGAACGACACCGUACUUUUGUUGCUAAUCUUUUUGUUUGUCCGUCAUCUGGUUGGUUGCUGUCGAAGAAAAGCCUUGUGCAUAAAUGGAGUAGUAGUUCCAGGCGGUGCCCUAUUUGCUUGGAAGAUUUUGUCGAAGGCGAGUCCUGUCGUGUUCUUGUGACGUGCAAGCGCACCUUCCAUUUGAUCUGCAUCGAUGGUUGGCUCAAAUCUCAGCUAACGUGCCCUCAUCGUCGUAAUUUUGUCUGUACAACAUAAGACUUGUUGAUUAACUUUGAGGUUUUCGGUAACCACGAUAGCUUCGCUGAUCCAUUCACGUGCUAGUCGAACUCAAGACAUGCUUAGUCGCACCAAAACAAAGAGGGGCAUUAUAUAGCGAUGACUUGAUCUUUGUUUGGUAUAGGUUUGUUAUGUCUAUCGUCAUUGUGACAGAUUUAUAAUGGUGCAUUUGUUUUGUGUGGUAGUGGUAUAAGGGUUUAAUACUCUUAGGUGUUUGUGUGAAUUUACCUCCAAAUCAAGAUUUUGCUCACUAGAGUUUAUGUACCUAUGUUAGAACCGCUUGUAACUAUUUGUUCAUUGAUGGAACCAUGCUAUCGAUCGUUUUCUGAUCAAAUCUCAUGCUCAAGGAUAAAUCUUGAAAAGGAACAUUGGUUGUUCCAUGUGUGGCAAUAAGAUGGGUGGUUUAAGGGCAUUGGGGGCAAUCUACGUAUUAGCCAGUGAUAAUGUGAUUGUUAUUGUUAUUUAUUCACCUUUGUUGUAUGGUAUAAUACCAUUAGGCAAAUACAUUUUUCAUGAUUCUUUUAACACAAUGAUAUAUUUACAUAAAUAAUGUGGGACUAAAUUGGUUUCAAACUCGUGAUUCACGAGAUUUGAAUCUUAAGAUCCCUCACUUAAGUAAACAUAAAUUGAUCAUACAUAUGUGUAAUGACUCACUGAGAUAAUAUUUUUUUUGAUAUAAAAUAUAUUCUACUUUAAACUAAAUAAACUUUAAACAAAAAUAUCCAAAUUCAAGUGCAUUAAAAAGAAUACAUCCUCUCUAUCCAAAUUUAAUAAUUUGAAUGAAUGUAUCACCGCUGCCGUGAUAAUAUAGUAUCACUCUGUAAUUUCUCCCGGCGAAGAGGACUAAACUAAAGUCUGCAUAGAUUAGUCAUAAUAAGUCAUGACUGUGGUCCCUGGCAACACACCAAGACUGUGAAAUUCUAAUCUAACGGCUCGGAUUUCAUCUCACCCAAAAGACCUCAUGUGACAAACGUUAUCCGGGUUAUAUUUCGGCUCCAUCUGGCCCAGUGACCUCCUUAGCCCAGAAUCAUGGAGUCCCAGAUCAGCGUUAAAAAGCGCACCCAAUCCAAAUGCUCCUCAGAACCCAAUCUCUAUCGCUCUUCAUCUUCAACCAAUCAACAACCGAAACCAGAGCGCAUAAAACCCAAGCAUUUCAGAUCAAACCCACCAAGCAAGAUUCGAAAUUUGACUUUUUCGACGACCCCACGAUGAGUUCUUCAUCCAAAACGGCGAGGAAGCUGCAGGUGGCGUCGCCGGUGCCGGCGGACAUCGACAUUGCCACUCUGUCGAGCCUCUCCACAUCUCUGAGAUUGCAAAAGAGCUUCAUCUCAGUCCCGAUCACUAUGAUCUUUAUGGAAAGUACAAGGCCAAGGUUGGUCAUUUGAUUCGUUUAGUUGCUAACUGGUUAGCGCUCGAGCAUGUCUGUAUAUGUAAUAUGUUCAUUUUCUUCAUUGGUAUGGAAUUUUUUUUUGAAAUUUGACUAAUCUGGGUUUGUUGCCAAGGUUGGUCAUUUUUUUGUUUUACUUAUUAACCGAUUAGCGCUCGAGUGCGUCUGUAUGUGUAAUAUGUUCAUUUUCUUCAUUGGUAUAUAAACAUUUUGAAAUUUGAUUACUUGGGUUUAUUUGAUGGGAGAUACCAGGCCAAGUUUGGUCAUUUGAUUCGUUUACUUGCUACCUGGUUAGCGCUUGAGCGCUUCUGGAUGCGUAAUAUGUUCAUUGAUUUGGAAGGAUUUUGAAUUUUGGAUUUGCUGGGUUUGUUUUGUAGGUUUUGUUAUCAGUGAUUGAUGAGCUGAAAGGAUCUGGAGAUGGGUAUUAUGUGGUGGUUGGAGGGAUAACUCCUACCCCUCUUGGAGAAGGCAAGUCGACCACUACUGUUGGACUCUGUCAAGCUUUGGGUGCUUUUCAGGAUAAGAAGGUGAAAUUGUCUAUUUGUUUUCUGUUUCAAAAGUUUUUUUUUUUUUUUUUUUUUUUUUUAAUCGGUAUCGAAAAUUUUGGGCAUACGUUGGUUUUCCCUUUUUUUCCUUUUAUGGGCAGUUGAUGUUGAACAUUUAACUGAAUAAUCUAGAAAUCUGAAUUGAGUUUACCCCUCUUUCUUACGAAAAUUCUCGAAACAAAAAGAAUAAAUUCAGAGGUUACAUUGAUUCUUGCUUUGUGUUAUUGAUUGCACUUGGUGUUGCUUGAACUUUUUAUGCUGAGAAACUGAGGCUAAACGUUAAGGUUGGGGUGUUUAAUUGAUGAGGAAUGCUCGUAUGAAGGAAAGUGUCGCUGAGCAAUACACUGACAAGCAUUAAAAACAAGAUUCGUUGUGAUUGUUCUUUGUUAUUAUGAUGUUUUAUAUGCGUUUUUAACUUUAAAUUUAGUUCAUUCUGUUUUCCCCUUGUUUCUGUGGGUAGAAGUUAAAAGUUUAGUGGUCUCUGACACAGUCUCUUCUGACCAAGAUGUUAUCAAGCUGUUUUGAGGCACGGGCCUUGGCCCCUAGUCCUGUUUACUGCAUCUGAAGAGAAUUUGUUUUAUGAGGAAAAAACUAAACUUUUGGAUAAGUUCGAACUUUAGCAGUUAAUUUUCGACUUCGUUUUCAAAAUGAAAAGCAAAGUAUUUCAAGCUUGUCUUGUAUUUGUCUACUUUGUUGUCAAGUUUUCUUGCAAGUAUUGCAAUUUAUAUGGAAGACUUAAAACCACAGUAGGUCCUGCAAAAGUAGACACAUGCAGCUUUUCCGUAUUACUUCUUGUUGCUAAUGGAAAUUUAUAUUAAUUAUGAAGACUUAGAUAAAUUUUAUUUCACAGUUGACAGCUAUAUUUUUAUGGUCCUGAUCCUGUAUUCUCUCCUUUGUGACAAUAGGUUGUUACUUGCCUUCGUCAACCAUCACAAGGACCAACAUUUGGAAUCAAAGGGGGUGCAGCAGGUGGUGGUUAUAGUCAGGUGAUCCCAAUGGAUGAGUUUAAUCUUCACAUGACAGGAGAUAUUCAUGCAAUAACAGCUGCAAACAAUCUUCUGGCUGCUGCCAUUGAUACUCGGAUUUUCCACGAGGCAACCCAAUCAGAUAAGGCUCUACUGAACCGGUUAUGUCCACCAAACAAAGAAGGAAAACGGAGUUUCAAUGACAUCAUGUUUAGACGUCUAAAGAAGCUUGGCAUCUCCAAGACCACACCCGAGGAGCUUACACUGGAAGAAGUUAAGCAAUUUGCUAGGCUUGAUAUUGACCCAGAUUCUAUCACUUGGAGAAGAGUAAUGGAUAUAAAUGAUCGGUUCUUGAGGAAGAUUUCAAUUGGCCAAGGCCCUGAUGAGAAAGGGAUGGUAAGAGAAACAGGAUUUGAUAUUUCAGUUGCCAGUGAAAUAAUGGCAGUUUUGGCCCUUACAACAUCUCUAGCGGAUAUGAGGGAGAGGCUUGGGAAAAUGGUGAUUGGAAACAGCAGGGCUGGUGACCCUGUAACUGCUGAUGAUCUUGGUGUUGGAGGUGCAUUAACAGUGCUAAUGAAGGAUGCUAUUAACCCUACAUUAAUGCAGACUCUUGAGGGAACCCCAGUUCUUGUUCAUGCUGGUCCUUUUGCAAACAUUGCGCACGGGAAUUCCUCUAUUGUGGCCGAUAAGAUUGCACUGAAACUGGUAGGACCAGGUGGGUUUGUAGUCACAGAAGCUGGUUUUGGUGCUGAUAUUGGUACUGAGAAGUUCAUGAACAUAAAAUGCAGAUAUAGUGGUUUAACACCACAAUGUGCAGUUAUAGUUGCAACUAUAAGGGCCUUGAAAAUGCAUGGUGGGGGGCCUGAUGUUGUUGCUGGGAAGCCUCUUAACAAGGCCUAUGUAACUGAGGAUGUGGCUUUGGUUGAGGCGGGUUGUGUGAAUUUGGCCAAGCAUAUUUCAAACACAAAAGCCUAUGGUGUGAAUGUUGUUGUUGCUGUGAACAAGUUCUCGACUGAUAGUGAAGCAGAACUAAAUGCAGUCAGAAAUGCAGCAUUGGCUGCUGGGGCAUAUGAUGCUGUUAUUUGCACUCAUCACGCCCAUGGUGGAAAAGGAGCGGUUAGUCUCUUCAUCCCAUUAACUGAUUAGUUUUCACUUCUCUUGUUUACCUGCUGCUGGAUAGUACUCUUGGAAACUUCUGCUAUAAUCUCAUAUUUGUUCCAAGUAUUCCAUCGUGUGUGUAGCCUUCAACUGCGGUAAAUGGUUGUCAUAAUAAAUGAAGUUUACUGUGAUCUGCAGGUGGACCUAGGAAUUGCAGUUCAGAAAGCCUGCGAGAAUGUUACACAACCACUGAAGUUUUUAUAUCCUCUGGAGUUUAGUAUUAAAGAGAAAAUAGAAGCAAUAGCCAACUCAUAUGGCGCGAGCAGUGUUGAAUACUCAGAGCAGGUAAGCUUACGUGCUAUUAUUCUUCAAUUCAGUUGACACUAUUUAUUCAAUCUCUCCUGCUCUCCGAUUCAUUCAUGGAUAGACAAGCAUUUCCAAUGCCAAUGAAUACAACUAUUGCUCUUGUUUUUCUCAUUAAAGAAAAGAAAUAUGUACUGUUUGCUGCGAACAGAACAUCAACUUGAUUCUUCUACAACCUUUGCAGGAUAGACAUUUUAUUUUCUCUUUUCCCCUUUCUUUUGAUACCACUGAAGCCAAAGUGUCCUAAACUUUAAACCAGCAUAGAAGUUUACUCCACAUGCUUAUGCUUAUUGAUACGAGUUUCCUUAUUUGUGUGAGUAGGCUGAGAAACAAAUUGAGAUGUACAGCAAGCAAGGGUUUUCUGUUCUGCCCAUAUGCAUGGCGAAAACCCAGUAUUCGUUUUCACAUAAUGCUUCUGAGAAAGGAGCUCCCACGGGAUUCGUCUUACCAAUAAGGGAUGUAAGAGCUAGCAUUGGAGCUGGAUUCAUCUAUCCUUUGGUGGGAACAAUGAGUACAAUGCCAGGUCUUCCAACUCGUCCUUGCUUCUAUGAUAUUGAUCUUGACACCACAACCGGAAGGGUCAUCGGUCUUUCUUAGAUCGUUCUGCAUUUGGCUCUCCAUUUGCUCACCGAGGCAACUUACCUAUACAGUUGUUCAAGCUUCUGUUGUUUGUGUUUUCUUGUUGUGCAAGUUUUCUGUAUCACUAGUUAUUGAUUUUGCAAAUAAAGAAAUCUCUUGAGGUUAAUAAUUAUCUUAUUGUAAUUUUACCCCGGAUGAAUAGCUUAUUGUAGGGCAAGGGUUGUUUGAAUACAACCACGCAUUGUUGUUUCAAUACGUAGUUCAAUCUCGUGACAAUUCAUAAUAUUAGUAAGAAACACUUUGUUAUGUGAAAAAUUAAACUACGAAAAAAGAAACCCUGCAUGUGUAUUGCAAUAAAACUACGAAACACUUUGGCCGAAGUGCUUUCAUUUUUCAGAGCGGUGCUUUAAGUGCUUUUUAACUAUAAAAUGGUGUAGGAGUACUUUUGAAUAACUCAUAAUACAAGCAAUAAAGUUAAAUUAGCGUGAAGCGUUAUCAUGCGUUAACUAUAACGUAGUCAUAUAUCAACCGAAAAAAACAGACAAACAGAAACGGUUGACUUUCCAAAAAUAAAAAAUAAAUAACAAAAAGAGAACUCUCGAACUUGAUCACUGCGUGCUUACAUAAAAAAAUAGCCAAUAUUACCUAAUUAACCACAACGUUAACAGAAAAGUUGCAAUAAUUCUCACAACAAUUGAAUCAAACCAACUCCAAAACUCCGUUUGUCUUCUCGACCAUCUCCUUCUCUCUAUUUUGAGACAAUUAGGGUUUGCAAUUAAACCGGACUCACAGCAUCCCUGUCCUCAGUUAGUUUUCAUUGUAACUUACAGCACAAGUAAUACCUUAACUGAAAACGAAACAAUCCAAGUUAUAUAACAAUGGCGGAUUCUCGGUCAAAUUCAAUCAGGCAUCAUUUGCUUGCAAAACCAAUAUCAGAGUCAGUGACGGUGGUCUGUCCUCGGCCCUCAGUCGCACACAUCUCAGUUAAUCCUUUGAACAUAACCAUGAGCAUCACAAGCCCGCCUUCCAUGAAGCACUCAUCACCUACGAAAGCAGAGCCGAAGGCCCCUUUGCUUUCAAUCUUGUUCUCCAAAAGAAAAUCCAUGGCCUUCACUUAUGUAUUCAUGUUUGCCUUCAUUGCCUGCACUUUCUUUUUGGUUUUCAGCCCGUCUCGCCAAAACGGCCCUCUUCCUCUCCGCUUCAAGAACCUGCUUCAUGCCUCCUUCUACUCUUCUUCUCAGAACCCUAAUGCACAUUUGGUGCUUUCUCGGAGAGACCCUUUUUCCGGGAAACCUAAUUUUUCGCCACAGUUUUAUGAGGUUGCAAGUUUGAAGGGUCAUAAGGUGGAUAAGCAUGAGAUUGGUCUCUCUCAAUUUCCGGAGAAAAACGAAAGCUUGAAGGGAGAUAAUAACAAUGCUCAAUCAUCCAACCCCAUUCUUUUAUUGUCCAACAACACGGAAAUUGAAUUUUCCGGGAAAAUGGAGGGUUCCAGGAGAAGAAACGAGACCAAGAAGCAUGCACAUUCGAAUUCUCCUUCUUCGAAAGAUUCAAAUGGAAAACGUGGCUCGAAGAAGAAAACUGAUAGUAAAAUGAUGUCAUCUAAGAAGCAAGGGAAACAAAGUGAGUUGAAGUCCAAGUUGACGAAUGGCUGUGACAUAUUUGAUGGAAGAUGGGUGAGAGAUGAUUCGUACCCACUUUAUGCUCCGGGGUCUUGUCCUUGGAUCGAUGAGCCUUUCGAUUGUUUUCUGAAUGGAAGGCCAGACAAUGGAUACGAGAGGUAUAGAUGGCAACCAAAACGUUGCAAUAUCCCAAGGUAAUUAAUUUGCGGACUUUUCUACUUAUAAUUGGAGUACGCUUUGUUCAUACUAUGUUUUAUUUUCUUUUGCUUCUAAACCAAGGCAACCUCUAAGAGUGUUUAUACUUCAAGUUGCUCUAAGUUCAAACUGAUUUUCGUAAUGGCGUGCAUUUAUAUUGCAUUUGCUACAUUGGUUCUGUUAAUAAAGCUUCUUGGUUUCGGUGUUGUGCAGGUUGAAUGGUAAGAAGAUGUUGAGAUUGUUGACGGGGAAGCGUCUGGUUUUUGUUGGCGAUUCUCUCAACAGGAAUAUGUGGGAGUCUUUGCUAUGUGUUCUUAGAAACUCAGUGGAUGAUAAGAACAAAGUCUAUGAAGUUUCUGGUAGGCAAGAAUUUCGCACAGAGGGCUCUUACUCCUUUGUUUUCGAGGUAUGUUAGUUUCGAUUUCAUAGCCUCAUAAAUUCUUCCUUCUUACCUUUCGGCCUUGUUCAUCUUAUUAAGUAAUAUUAAUGUAUUUGUUGUUCAAUGGAUCAAUAGGAGUACAACUGUUCCGUGGAGUUCUUUCAAUCACGGUUUCUAGUUCAAGAAUGGGAGAUGCCGGAACCAAGUGGAUCAAAGAAGGAAACGCUUCGCAUUGAUUUGAUUGAGAGAUCCUCUGACAACUACAAAAAUGCAGAUGUUCUCAUCUUCAACACAGGUCACUGGUGGACUCAUGAGAAAACUUCCAGCGGGUAAUUCUCCUGCUCACUCUACGUCAUGGAUUUUUUGGAAAGUAGUCACUACGCAGCGAAGUUAAAAUAUUUAUAAAUCUUGCAGGAAGGGUUACUAUCAAGAGGGUAGCCAUAUUUAUGGUGAACUGAAUGUUGACGAUGCAUUUCGCAAGGCUUUAACGACAUGGGCUCAAUGGAUAGACACCAAUGUAAAUCCUAAGAAAACUGCUGUUUUCUUCCGGGGCUAUUCACCUUCUCACUUUAGGUACAUUUUGAAGACAUGAAAUACUUCAACUUGGUUAACAAAUGUAUUGCAUCUUGCUAAUCUUUUUACUCACAGAGGCGGAGCAUGGAAUUCUGGAGGGCAUUGCCAUGGCGAAACAAAGCCAACUACCAGCUUGGAAUCCACGGAAUAUGGAGGAGAGUAUCCAACAAACAUGAAAAUCUUUGACUCGGUACUCAAGGGGAUGAAGACGCCAGUCAACUAUCUGAACAUUACAACAAUGACUGAUUUUCGGAAGGAUGCUCAUCCAUCGAUUUACAGAAAGCCGAAUUUAACUGAGGAGGAGCGAAAACGGCCUAUGAUCCAGGAUUGCAGUCACUGGUGCCUCCCUGGCGUUCCUGAUACAUGGAACGAGCUUAUAUAUGCUCAACUCCUCAAACAUAACCAGAAACAGCAUAGACAGAAGAAACAGCAAAAUCAGAGGACAACUUCUUAAAUAUGGAGAAAAAAAAUUAUAUAGUAUACAUGUUUUGUUGGAAAGCUCACCGUAUGGAGAAUAUCGAACAAGUAUGCUCAAACGAAGGAUAAGAGCAAUAGUUGUAGACUUGUAGUUAGGCAAAGAGGUGGGGCAAUGUGGUCUAGUGAAAAAUUGUGUUUCCAGUUGUGGGAUAGAGGUGGUGAGGGAAACAGGAUUUAGCCCUUGCGUCCUCUCUGGUGCAUUUGAAGGAGAGGCUUGAAAAAUCGGUGACUCGAAACAGUGAGUGCCGGUGAUCAUGGUGGUCGCAGAAGCUGGUUUUCGUAUUGAGAAGGUCAUGAAUAUAAAAUUCUGGUAUAGUACUGGUUUAACGCCACAAUGUGCAGUUGUGGUUGCAACUUUAAGAGCCUUAAAAUGCCUGCAUGACUGAGACUGUGGCUCUGGCUGAAGCCGGUUACAUGAAAUUUUCCAGGCAUGUCUCAAACACGAAACACUAGAGUGUAAGCGUGGUUGUUACUGCAAACAAAUUUUCGAUUGAUAGUGAAGCAGAACUAAAUGCAGUCAGAAAUAUGCAGCAUUGUGCAGCCGGGGCAUGUCAGCACUUAAUUAUACUCAUCAUGCACUUUGUGGAGAAGCGGUUAGUCACUUCAUCCCAUUAGUCUUAUUAUUGGCUAAAGGAAUUGGACAUCAAUUUCUUGUAUCAGAAGAAAUGAGUCACUAUUAAUAUCGACACAUAUGAGAUCGCCAGCCCUUCGGGAGUUCCUCUAUUUUCUUCUUGCUUGCAUUGCAGAUCCUACUAAAACUUUCAAUCCCAGUUUUAUAUUGUGGUUGGAACAACGAGCACAAUGCCGGAUUUUCUGACUAGGCCUCGUGUCUAUCACAUUGAUCUUGACACCACCUAUCGGAAAUUAGGUUAUCAGUCUUGCUUGAAAAUCAAUGUAUAUGUUUGUGGUGGAAUUUUCCCGUGGGGGAUGUUUCCUGUCCGACGAGCACACAGCUCCCCGAGAGGUUUGGCGUCGGUUGAGGGCUGCUGUCGGGUUUCUGUUUCACUGUCGGGCAAGUCUCGUCGGGCAAGUCUCGUCGGGCAAGUCUCGUCGGGCCAGGCUGAAAGAGAAGGACAAAGUUAACUUUGAGAGGUGCCUUUGUAA
rnacentral:lncRNA from 1 species